AAAAAACAGUAAUUAUCCCGAUCGUUCAUGACAUAGCUCAUCUCCCCGGUCAACUGCGCCGCCCCAUUUUUCUCCCGUGCGCUGCCUCCAGCUCCAAGGUCGCCGUCGAUUGACUGAUUGUGAUUGUGUAUUGUAUGUAGGCGCUUACCCCAGUUUUCGCCCUGAUAGCGCCUCGGUACCAGUUCACGGGUUCCAGCAAGAACGGGCCGGCGGUGUCGCGCGACCCGGAGGCGCUGAGGGUCAAGUACUCGGACCCGCUGGUUUUCACGGGGUCCAUCCGGGUGCGCACCGGCUACGAGAUCCUCCGGCUCACGGCCUACCUGCAGCAGCACCUGCGCAGGGUCACGGUGCCGCUGCUGGUGCUGCACGGCGCCGACGACAUGGUGACCGACCCGGAGGGCUCGCGCCGGCUGCACCGGGAGGCCUCCACCCCGGACAAGGCCAUCCGGCUCUACGACGGCCUGCUGCACGACCUCCUCAUCGAGCCCGAGAAGGAGGUGGUGCUGGGCGACAUCGUCGACUGGCUCAGCCCCAGGAUCUGACACAUCACGCUGGUCGCCGCGCCGGCCGGCCGGUCCGUGGGCUGAGGCAGGAGGGUCGGAUCAUGUCCGCCGAGCGUGUCGGGGACAAAAGUCCGUCCCCGGCGGUGAUGACGCGGUUGGUCCGAUCGCCUGCGCCCCAGAGCGAGGACGGCGAGGAUGGUGAUGAUCUUCUUCAUCCUCCCAUCCCGGCGGAGGAGGCAGUUUUGCGAGCGCGGGAAGCUGCAUUAGUAACUACCACUACUACUAGUACGUUGUGGUGCGGUACGGGGUGACGACUGGUGGUGGCCGAGAUUGCUCUGCUCCCGGUGUGUGUGUCCCGAGCUAUGUUUUUGACCCAUAUUUUUGUCCGGUAGGGUAAACAAACGUUCGUUCCUUGGAGUCGCCCGGUGUGGUGCUCAAUAAUGUAGACGCCUACCUUCCCUCUCGCAGGGGAUGUUUUUCUGUGUCUCGAAAGAUUCUCAAUCAGAAUCUGCGGCAGAAUUGAUUUGAUUUCCUUGGGCUUGUCCUUUGUCACAAUGUAUUAUUGUGUUGCUCGCUGCUGCAGUGUUGUUGGGCUCGUGGAGCUUUCGGCUUUGACGAUCUUGACGCCAGUGGCUGGCCGCGUCCCUGUGUCUCGCUCGGCGCACAGCGUUCUCAGGAUUUCGCUGGCUGAACUCGCGGUUCUGUCCAGAGAUGUCGCGCUCGACUUUUUCACGACGGCGAGAGCUGAGAGGGCAAAAAUCGGCCCGGAAAUGGGGGUGCGGCCGAGAGUGGUGAUUCCCCGAUCUGAUCUACGAGUGGAUGGCCCGCUGCCGCUUUCUAUCGCGAUGUGUGAGGUCAGCUUAGCUAUCGGCAUCGGCUAACUCUGUCAUGACGUGCGAGGUCGGCUAUCAGACAUUGAAUGAUCAUCUCAGCUUCUCCAUGCCGCAACCGCAGCCGUGUGCCGUCCGUCCUUGUCGCAAUGCUUCACCGGCACCACAAAUUAUUAUUACACGUUUGAUUGAGUCUCAACACACGCAGCACCCAUGUUCAGAUCAAAGUUUCUUCUUUCUGAAGAAGGGUUUCCUCCGAUUUGUGUCACCAUAAACCAUAGAGUGUUUUAGAGUUCAAGAACACCGGUACCAAAAGAGUAAAAGGGAAACACAAAAGGAAACAACAUCCAUCAGCAAUCUAACCAGCUGACCAUAUCAAGUUAGUGAGGACAUCAACAAAGCCAGGGUCGCUCGCGAUGUCCAUAUCAAGGCUCUGCUCCUCUUGGGACAUCCGCAACGGUUGUGAGCUUGUCUAGACUAUAGAGAAAAUACUCCCUCCGUUUUUAUUUACUCCACAUAUUAGAGUCGACUGAAGUUAAACUUUGUAAAGUUUGACCAAAUAUAUUGAAAAGAAUAUAUAUACGGGGAGUGCUUCGGUACACCCCCCUAAAACGUAUAAGGAUAGUAUGGUCAUUUCACAUUAGGUAUAGGAAUACCCACCUCGACGCCGUACGCCCGCGCGCGACGUCGUACGCCCGCCCGCGUAUGCCGCACCCGUCGCUGUACGUACGCCUGCCCGCGUACCCGCACCCGUCGCUGUACGUCGCCGCCGUACGCCCGCACGUCUCCACGUUGGCGUCGAUAGUUAUUGGAAAAAAAACGACACGGUAGCCGCCGACGCCCGCCGUCAAAACCCUAAACCCUAAACGCUUCCACGCCGUCUCCACGACGACCCCCAUCUGCACGAAGUCGCCGUCGCCCGGGUCGCCGCCCAAACAGGCCGCUGCGCGUGCCCCGGCACCGUUGCCGCUGCCACCGCGUCCCAUUCCCGUCGCCCAGAUGGCCGCCCACCCGUGAUCUUCGUCGCCGCCUCCCUCCGCGCACUCCGCCUGCUACGACCAGCCAUUGUCCUCACGCCGUCGACACCUGCCUCCGCCGGCUAGCAACGUCACGCCGUCAUCGCGUUCGUUAUCGGACAAAAUGGAUCCGGCUGAAAUCCUCGCCGCCGUGCCAGAGGUUGGUUUGAGACGUCGUUGUGCUUGAUGAACAAAUUGUUUUAGGGAUGAUGUUACACGGUGUUUGAUUGAUCUUAGAAUUUUUUUUAAACAUGUAUAGUUAGAGGAGGAGGGCGAUUAUGAUGGCGAUGAUUACAGCGAGGACAACGAAACCUCGUCACGGAAUAUGGAUGAACCUGCUGAGGAGAACCACAUGAGUUUGGAUGAAUCUUAUAGUGUCAAUGUAAGUGUGAUCAAUGUUGACAAAAACAAUAAAUAUGAUAAACCGCACAGACAAUUACAUGUUUUUUUUGCAUCAUGCAGCGACAUGGCGAUGAUGAUGAUGACAUGGAUAUAGAUGAUUCAUUUGCUGAAAGUGCACUCCGGGUAUGUUUUUAAAAAAAUCAGAGAAGAAAUGACAUAAUAACCAUAUGAGCGCUUACAUGUAUUUUUUUGAAAUGUGCGCAUAUGGACGAGGACGGGGACUUUGUGAGGAAUAUUGUGGACGAUGAAAGUGACAAAUCACACGUUGAUGCAUCUCAUGAUGACGGCUCCAGCAAAGUAAGUUUUGAAACUUACAUGCAUUAGAUAUUAAAAUAAUAUCUGACUGACAUAAAUGGUUUCAUGCAUUAAUUUACAGGGAGAUGUAGAUGGUACAAGCGGGAAGGAUGAGCAUGUUGGUGAUGAUUUGUUUAACUUUGACAUCGGAUUUGAUGAAUAUCAGCAAGAAUCAUUGAACAUGCAUUGAAAGGUCAUGAGGAAGACGUUCAAGUCACUAGGAGAGGCUUACAAUUUCUAUAACCAGUAUGCUUACGAGCGUGGUUUCAGCGUAAGAAAGGACUCACCGAAAUAUUCGAAAGGUCCUGAGGGAACUAAGUGAGGGAGUCCUGGAUUAGGAGGUCCUCGGACGGCCGGACUAUGUACUUGUGCCAGACUGUUGGACUAUGAAGAUACAAGAUUGAAGACUUCGUCCCGUGUCCGGAUGGGACUCUCCUUGCGUGGAAGGCAGGCUUGGCAAUUCGGAUAUGUAGAUCUCCUUCUCUGUAACCGACUCUGUGUAACCCUAGCCCCCUCCAGUGUCUAUAUAAACCGGAGGGUUUAGUCCAUAGGACAAUAACAAUCAUAAUCGUAGGCUAGCUUAGAGGGUUUAGCCUCUACGAUCUCGUGGUAGAUCAACUCUUGUAAUACUCAUAUCAUCAAGAUCAAUCAAGUAGGGUAUUACCUUCAUCGAGAGGGCCCGAACCUGGGUAAACAUUGUGUCCCCCGCCUCCUGUUAUCAUUAGCCUUAGACGCACAGUUCGGGACCCCCUACCCGAGAUCUGCCGGUUUUGACACCGACAUUGGUGCUUUCAUUGAGAGUUCCACUGUGCCGUCACGGUAAGGCUUGGUGGCUCGCCUUGUUAUCAAGGACAACAUCACCACUGGGGGAGCCCUGGCUGUAGGCCAAACUCUCCGACUAGGCGGCUUCGUCAUGACCGCCCAUUCGGCCACCGCGCCGACGAUGACUUCUGCGGUCAUCAAAAACAGCCUCCACGUCAGCUCGGAAUUCACCGAGCAGAUGGAUCCAAUGGAGCUCUCCUCCCUGAACAAGCUCUUGGAUCGCAUCACCGCCUUGGGAGUCGCUACGGACUAUGAUCGGAUCGGGCUUAAACCCGACCAAAGAGAGAUUAACUCUCCGCCGGUCACCCAUCAGAUAGCGAUGGUGGAGGAGCAAUGCAGCGAUUUUUCCUCUAUUUUGAGGACGAACUAUGUCCGGAUUCCUGAGCUCUCCGAGCCGGAUACCCGUCUACGGGAGGACAUGACCCAAGCUCCAAACCUAGAAUCGGACAGCGGGCCAGAGAAAUUGGGCAACAUCCCGGAGCCCGAACUGCCAAAAUCGGAAGCUCCUUCGCCCCUGGGUCUCAGAUCGAGUCAGGGUUUGGAUUUAACUCUACCCACCCACCCAGAUACAAGCGAUCUUGCCCACAUUAGAAAGGAUCCCCAAGAGACAAUACAUCACUUCUGGGCCAGAUUCCUCCUUGUAAUGAGCAAGGUCAAGGACUAUCACGAGGAAGACGCAAUCUCAUUCUUUUGCAAAAAUUGCACGGACAAGGGAAUCCUCAACGCAAUAAGUCGCCGUGACAUAGCACACUUUGCUGACUUGGCGGCCAUAGUACAGAAGUACUGUGCGAUGAAAAGAGCCUGGAAAACCCAAACAAAAUUCUGGGAUCAUCCGGCUCUCACUAAACCCCUCGUCCGACCUAAAAGGGUGCACUCUCGCAAGUCACCUGAUCCAAUUACAAAGAAACCAAAGCCCACUACAGGGCGUGGAACCGUAUUGGAGGGAUGGCUCAAUAGGCCAUGCAAAAUUCACAACACACAGGAUACCAUACCAACACACAACCUUAGAACAUGUUGGAUACUCCGGCAGGUGGCCAAUAGCGGCGAGGAUCUCCUCAUUAACGAUACCGCAGAGCAUCAUCCCGCAGAAAAUAACAAUAUAGUAUUGACAGUCUUCGAGACUUUCACCUCAAAUAACAGGCGCAAAUUGUUGGAAAUAUGCCCUAGAGGCAAUAAUAAAAGUGUUAUUAUUAUAUUUCCUUGUUCAUGAUAAUUGUCUUUUAUUCAUGCUAUAACUGUAUUAUCCGGAAAUUGUAAUACACGUGUGAAUACAUAGACCACAAUAUGUCCCUAGUGAGCCUCUAGUUGACUAGCUCGUUGAUCAACAGAUGGUUAUGGUUUCCUGACCAUGGACAUUGGAUGUCGUUGAUAACGGGAUCACAUCAUUAGGAGAAUCAUGUGAUGGACAAGACCCAAUCCUAAGACUAGCACAAAGAUCGUGUAGUUCGUUUUGCUAGAGCUUUGCCAAUGUUAAGUAUCUCUUCCUUCGACCAUGAGAGCGUGUAACUCCUGGAUACCGUAGGAGUGCUUUGGGUGUAUCAAACGUCACAACGUAACUGGGUGACUAUAAAGGUGCACUACAGGUAUCUCCGAAAGUAUCUAUUGUUUUAUGCGGAUCGAGACUGGGAUUUGUCACUCCGUGUAAACGGAGAGGUAUCUCUGGGCCCACUCGGUAGGACAUCAUCAUAUGCGCAAUGUGACCAAGGAGUUGAUCACGGGAUGAUGUGUUACGGAACGAGUAAAGUGACUUGCCGGUAACGAGAUUGAACAAGGUAUUGGAUGCCGACGAUCGAGUCUCGGGCAAGUAACAUACCGAUAGACAAAGGGAAUUGAAUACGGGAUUGAAUAAGUCCUUGACAUCGUGGUUCAUCCGAUGAGAUCAUCGUGGAACAUGUGGGAGCCAUCAUGGGUAUCCAGAUCCCGCUGUUGGUUAUUGACCGGAGAACGUCUCGGUCAUGUCUGCAUGUCUCCCGAACCCGUAGGGUCUACACACUUAAGGUUCGAUGACGCUAGGGUUAUAAAGGAAGCUUGUAUGUGGUUACCGAAUGUUGUUCGGAGUCCCGGAUGAGAUCCUGGACGUCACGAGGAGUUCCGGAAUGGUCCGGAGGUAAAGAUUUAUAUAUAGGAAGUCCUAUUUCGGCCAUCGGGACAAGUUUCAGGGUCAUCGGUAUUGUACCGGGACCACCGGAAGGGUCCCGGGGGCCCACCGGGUGGGGCCACCUGCCCCGGGGGGGCCACAUGGGCUGUAGGGGGUGCGCCUUGGCCUACAUGGGCCAAGGGCACCAGCCCCAAGAGGCCCAUGCGCCUAGGGAACCCUAGAGGGAAGAGUCCUCAAGGGGGAAGGCACCUCCGAGGUGCCUUGGGGAGGAUGGACUCCUCCCCCCCCUCUUGGCCGCACCCCUUUCUUGGAGUAAGGGGCAAGGCUGCGCCUCCCCCCUCUCCCUUGCCCCUAUAUAUAGUGGAGGGGAGGGAGGGCAUCCAUACCUGAGCCCUUGGCGCCUCCCUCCCUCCCGUGACACCUCCUCCUCUCCCGUAGGUGCUUGGCGAAGCCCUGCAGGAUUGCCACGCUCCUCCAUCACCACCACGCCGUUGUGCUGCUGCUGGAUGGAGUCUUCCUCAACCUCUCCCUCUCUCCUUGCUGGAUCAAGGCGUGGGAGACAUCGUCGAGCUGUACGUGUGUUGAACGCGGAGGUGCCGUGCGUUCGGCACUUGAUCAUCGGUGAUUUGAAUCACGACGAGUACGACUCCAUCAACCCCGUUCACUUGAACGCUUCCGCUUAGCGAUCUACAAGGGUAUGUAGAUGCACUCUCUUUCUACUCGUUGCUGGUCUCUCCAUAGAUAGAUCUUGGUGACACGUAGGAAAAUUUUGAAUUUCUGCUACGUUCCCCAACAGUGGCAUCAUGAGCUAGGUCUAUUGCGUAGAUUCUUUGCACGAGUAGAACACAAAGUAGUUGUGGGCGUUGAUGUUGUUCAAUAUGCUUACCGUUACUAGUCCAAUCUUGUUUCGACGGUAUUGUGGGAUGAAGCGGCCCGGACCGACCUUACACGUACUCUUACGUGAGACAGGUUCCACCGAUUGACAUGCACUUGGUGCAUAAGGUGGCUAGCGGGUGCCAGUCUCUCCCACUUUAGUCGGAACGGAUUCGAUGAAAAGGGUCCUUAUGAAGGGUAAAUAGCAAUUGGCAUAUCACGUUGUGGUUUUGCGUAGGUAAGAAACGUUCUUGCUAGAAACCCAUAGCAGCCACGGAAAACAUGCAAACAACAAUUAGAGGACGUCUAACUUGUUUUUGCAGGGUAUGCUAUGUGAUGUGAUAUGGCCAAGAAGAAUGUGAUGAAUGAUAUGUGAUGUAUGAGAUUGAUCAUGUUCUUGUAAUAGGAAUCACGACUUGCAUGUCGAUGAGUAUGACAACCGGCAGGAGCCAUAGGAGUUGUCUUUAUUUAUUGUAUGACCUGCGUGUCAUUGAAGAACGCCAUGUAAAUUACUUUACUUUAUUGCUAAACGCGUUCGCCAUAGAAGUAGAAGUAGUCGUUGGCGUGACAACUUCAUGAAGACACGAUGAUGGAGAUCAUGAUGAUGGAGAUCAUGGUGUCAUGCCGGUGACGAUGAUGAUCAUGGAGCCCCGAAGAUGAAGAUCAAAAGGAGCAAAAUGAUAUUGGCCAUAUCAUGUCACUAUAUAAUUGCAUGUGAUGUUUAUUAUGUUUAUGCAUCUUGUUUGCUUAGAACGACGGUAGUAAAUAAGAUGAUCCCUUACAAAAUUUCAAGAAGUGUUCUCCCCUAAUUGUGCACCGUUGCUACAGUUCGUCGCUUCUAAGCACCACGUGAUGAUCGGGUGUGAUGGAUUCUUACGUUCACAUACAACGGGUGUAAGACAGUUUUACACAGCGAAAACACUUAGGGUUAACUUGACGAGCCUAGCAUGUACAGACAUGGCCUCGAAACACGGAGACCGAAAGGUCGAGCAUGAGUCGUAUGGUAGAUACGAUCAACAUGAAGAUGUUCACCGACGUUAACUAGUCCGUCUCACGUGAUGAUCGGACACGGCCUAGUUGACUCGGAUCAUGUAAUCACUUAGAUGACCAGAGGGAUGUCUAUCUGAGUGGGAGUUCAUAAGAUGAACUUAAUUAUCCUGAACAUAGUCAAAAGACUUUUUGCAAAUUAUGUCGUAGUUCACGCUAUAGUUCUAUUGUUUUAGAUAUGUUCCUAGAGAAAAUAUAGUUGAAAGUUGAAAGUAGCGAUUAUGCAGACAGUAGAUAGCUUAUGUCCUUAAUGCACCGCUUAGUGUGCUAAACCCCAAACGUCGUUUGUGGAUGUUGUGAACAUCGGACAUACACGUUUUGAUAACUACGUGAUAGUUCAGUUAAACGGUUUAGAGUUGAGGCACCAAAGACGUUUUUCGAAACGUCGCGGAACAUAUGAGAUGUUUCGAGGGCUGAAAUUGGGAUUUCAGGCUCGUGCCCAUGUCAAGAGGUAUGAGACCUCCGACGAUUUUCUUAGCCUGCAAACUAAGGGAGAAAAGCUCAAUCGUUGAGCUUGUGCUCAGAUUGUCUGAGUGCAACAAUCACUUGAAUCGAGUGGGAGUUGAUCUUCCAGAUAAGAUGGUGAUGUUUCUCCAAAGUCAUUGCCACCAAGCUGCUAGAGCUUCGUGAUGAACUAUAACAUAUCAGGGAUAGAUAUGAUGAUCCUUGAAAUAAUCGUGAUGUUUGACACCGCGAAAGUAGAAAUCAAGAAGGAGCAUCAAUUGUUGAUGGUUGGUGAAACCACUAGUUUCAAGAAGGGCAAGGGAACAAAGGGAUACUUCAUGAAACGGCAAUUCAGCUGCUGCUCUAUUGAAGAAACCCAAGGUUGAACCCAAACCCAAGACUAAGUGCUUCUGUAAUAAGGGGAACAACCACUGGAGCAGCAUUACCCUAGAUACUUGGUAGAUGAGAAGGCUGGCAAGGUCGAUAGAAGUAUAUUGGAUAUACAUUAUGUUAAUGUGUACUUUACUAGUACUCCUAGUAGCACCAAGGGUAUUGGAUACCGGUUCGGUUGCUAAGUGUUAGUAACUCGAAAUAAAAGCUACGGAAUAAACGGAGACUAGCUAAAGGUGAGCUGACGAUAUAUGUUGGAAGUGUUUCCAAGGUUGAUAUGAUCAAGCAUCGCACGCUCCCUCUACCACCGAGAUUGGUGUUUGCGUUGAGCAUAGACAUGAUUGGAUUAUGUCUAUCGCAAUACGGUUAUUCAUUUAAGGAGAAUAAUGGUUACUCUAUUUUGAAUAAUACCUUCAAUGGUCAUGCACCUAAAGGAAUGGUUUAUUGAAUCUCGAUCCUAGUGAUACACAUUUUCAUGCCAAAAGAUAUAAGAUAGUAAUGAUAGUACCACUUACUUGUGGCACUGCCAUGUAAGUCAUAAUGGUAUAAAACGCAUGAAGAAGCUCCAUGUUGAUGGAUCUUUGGACUCACUCAUUUUUGAAAAGUUUGAGACAUGCGAACCAUGUCUAUUGGUAUAUAUGCAUGAAGAAACUCCAUGCAAAUGGACCGUUUGAACUCACUUGAUUUUGAAUCACUUGAGAUAUGCAAAUCAUACCACAUGGGCAAGAUGACUGAAAAGCCUCGGUUUCAGUAAGAUGGAACAAGAUAGCAACUUGUUGGAAGUAACACAUUUUGAUGUGUGCAGUCCAAUGAGUGCUGAGGCAUGCAGUGAAUAUCGUUAUGUUCUUACUUCACAGAUGAUUCGAGUAGAUGUUGAGAAUAUUUACUUGAUGAAACACAAGUCUGAAUUAUUGAAUGGUUCAAGUAAUUUCAGAGUGAAGUAGAAGAUCAUUGUGACAAGAGGAUAAAAUGUCUAUGGUAUGAUCAUAGAGAUGAAUAUCUGAGUUACGAGUUUUGGCACACAAUUAAGACAUUGUGGAAAUUGUUUCGCAAUUAAUACCGCCUGGAACACCAUAGUGUGAUGGUGUGUCCGAACAUCAUAACUGCACCCUAUUGGAUAUGAUGCAUACCAUGAUGUCUCUUAUCGAAUUACCACUAUCGUUCAUGGGUUAGGCAUUAGAGACAACCACAUUCACUUUAAAUAGGGCACCACGUAAUUCCGUUGAGAUGACACCGUAUGAAUUAUGGUUUAGAGAAACCUAAGUUGUCGUUUCUUAAAAGUUUGGGGCUACGACGCUUAUGUGAAAAAGUUUCAGGCUGAUAAGCUAGAACCCAAAGCGGAUAAAUGCAUCUUCAUAGGACACCCAAAACAGUUGGGUAUACCUCCUGUCUCAGAUCCAAAAGCAAUAAAGGAUUGUUUCUUGAAUCAGGUCCUUUCUCGAGGAAAGGUUUCUCUCGAAAGAAUUGAGUGGGAGGAUGGUGGAGACUUGAUGAGGUUAUUGAACCAUCACUUCAACCAGUGUGUAGCAGGGCACAGGAAGUUGUUCCCGUGGCACCUACACCAAUUGAAGUGGAAGCUUAUGAUAGUGAUCAUGAAACUUCAGAUCAAGUCACUCCCAAACCUCGUAGGAUGACAAGGAUGCAUACUACUUGAGAGUGGUACGUAAUCCUGUCUUGGAAGUCAUGUUGCUAGACAACAAUGAGCCUACGAGCUAUGGAGAAGCGAUGGUGGGCCCGGAUUCCGAUAAAUGGCUUGAGGCCAUAAAAUCCGAGAGAGGAUCCAUGUAUGAAAACAAAGUGAAGACUUUGGCAGAACGGCUCGAUGGUCGUAAGGCAAAUGAGUACGGAUGGAUUUUAAAAGGAAGACAGACAAUGAUGGUAAGAAUUACCAUUAAGAAAGCUCGACUUGUCGUUAAGAUGUUUUCCGACAAGUUCAAGGAGUUGACUACGAUGAGAUUUUCUCACUCGUAGCGAUGCUAAGAGUCUGUUGGAAUUAUAUUAGCGAUUACUGCAUUAUUUAUGAAAUCUUGCAGAUAGGAUGUCAAAACAUUGUUUCCUCGACGAUUUUCUUGAGGAAAGGUUGUAUGUGAUACAACCAGAAGGUUUUGUCAAUCCCGAAAGAUGCUAAUAAGUAUGCAAAGCUCCAGCAAUCCUUCUAAGGACUAGAGUGAGCAUCUCGGAGUUAGAAUGUAUGCUUUGAUGAUGAUCAAAGAUUUUGGGUUUGUACAAAGUUUAUGAGAAACUUGUAUUUCCAAAGAAGUGAGUGGGAGCACUAUAGAAUUUCUGAUGAGUAUAUGUUGUUGACAUAUUGUUGAUCAGAAAUGACGUAGAAUUUCUGGAAAGCAUAUAGGGUUAUUUUGAAAGUGUUUUUCAAUGGAAAGCCUGGAUUAAGCUACUUGAACAUUGAGCAUCAAGAUCUAUAAGGACAGAUCAAAAUGCUUAAUAAUACUUUCAAAUGAGCACAUACCUUGACAUGAUCUUGAAGGUGUUCAAGAUGGACCAGUCAAAGAAGGAGUUCUUGCCUGAGUUGUAAGGUAUGAAGUUAAGACUUAAAGCUCGACCUCGGCAGAAUAGAGAGAAAGGACGAAGGUUGUCCCCUAUGCUUAAGACAUAGGCUCUACAGUAUGCCAUGCUGAGUACCGCACCUGAAGUGUGCCUUGCCAUGAGUCAGUCAAGGGGUACAAGAGUGAUCCAUGAAUGGAUCACAGACAGCGGUCAAAGUUAUCCUUGGUAACUAGUGGACUAAGGAAUUUUCUCGAUUAUGGAGGUGGUAAAAGAGUUCGUCGUAAAGGUUACGUCGAUGCAAGCUUAACACCUAUCAGGAUAGCUCUAAGAAGAGAUACCGGAUACGUAUUAUGGGGCAACAAUUUAGAAUAGCUCCAAGUAGAACAGUUAUUUGGAAUAGCUCCAAAUAGAGCGUGGUAGCUACAUCUAGGAGAUGACAUAGAGAUUUGUAAAGCACACACGGAUCUGAAAGGUUCGGACCCGUUGACUAAAACCUCUCUCACAAGCAACAUGAUCAAACCUAAAACUCUUGGGUAUUAGUCACAUGGCGAUGUGACCUGUGAGUGUUAAUCACAUGGCGAUGUGAACUAGAUUAUUGACUCUAGUGCAAGUGGGAGACUGUUGGAAAUAUGCCCUAGAGGCAAUAAUAAAAGUGUUAUUAUUAUAUUUCCUUGUUCAUGAUAAUUGUAUUUUAUUCAUGCUAUAACUGUAUUAUCCGGAAAUCACAAUACACGUGUGAAUACAUAGACCACAAUAUGUCCCUAGUGAGCCUCUAGUUGACUAGCUCGUUGAUCAACAGAUGGUUACGGUUUCCUGACCAUGGACAUUGGAUGUCGUUGAUAACGGGAUCACAUCAUUAGGAGAAUCAUGUGAUGGACAAGACCCAAUCCUAAGACUAGCACAAAGAUCGUGUAGUUCGUUUUGCUAGAGCUUUGCCAAUGUCAAGUAUCUCUUCCUUCGACCAUGAGAGCGUGUAACUCCUGGAUACCGUAGGAGUGCUUUGGGUGUAUCAAACGUCACAACGUAACUGGGUGACUAUAAAGGUGCACUACAGGUAUCUCCGAAAGUAUCUAUUGUUUUAUGCGGAUCGAGACUGGGAUUUGUCACUCCGUGUAAACGGAGAGGUAUCUCUGGGCCCACUCGGUAGGACAUCAUCAUAUGCGCAAUGUGACCAAGGAGUUGAUCACGGGAUGAUGUGUUACGGAACGAGUAAAGUGACUUGCCGGUAACGAGAUUGAACAAGGUAUUGGAUGCCGACGAUCGAGUCUCGGGCAAGUAACAUACCGAUAGACAAAGGGAAUUGAAUACGGGAUUGAAUAAGUCCUUGACAUCGUGGUUCAUCCGAUGAGAUCAUCGUGGAACAUGUGGGAGCCAUCAUGGGUAUCCAGAUCCCGCUGUUGGUUAUUGACCGGAGAANNNNNNNNNNAUGUCUGCAUGUCUCCCGAACCCGUAGGGUCUACACACUUAAGGUUCGAUGACGCUAGGGUUAUAAAGGAAGCUUGUAUGUGGUUACCGAAUGUUGUUCGGAGUCCCGGAUGAGAUCCCGGACGUCACGAGGAGUUCCGGAAUGGUCCGGAGGUAAAGAUUUAUAUAUAGGAAGUCCUGUUUCGGCCAUCGGGACAAGUUUCGGGGUCAUCGGUAUUGUACCGGGACCACCGGAAGGGUCCCGGGGGCCCACCGGGUGGGGCCACCUGCCCCGGGGGGGCCACAUGGGCUGUAGGGGGUGCGCCUUGGCCUACAUGGGCCAAGGGCACCAGCCCCAAGAGGCCCAUGCGCCUAGGGAACCCUAGAGGGAAGAGUCCUCAAGGGGGAAGGCACCUCCGAGGUGCCUUGGGGAGGAUGGACUCCUCCCCCCCCUCUUGGCCGCACCCCUUUCUUGGAGUAAGGGGCAAGGCUGCGCCUCCCCCUCUCCCUUGCCCCUAUAUAUAGUGGAGGGGAGGGAGGGCAUCCAUACCUGAGCCCUUGGCGCCUCCCUCCCUCCCGUGACACCUCCUCCUCUCCCGUAGGUGCUUGGCGAAGCCCUGCAGGAUUGCCACGCUCCUCCAUCACCACCACGCCGUUGUGCUGCUGCUGGAUGGAGUCUUCCUCAACCUCUCCCUCUCUCCUUGCUGGAUCAAGGCGUGGGAGACAUCGUCGAGCUGUACGUGUGUUGAACGCGGAGGUGCCGUGCGUUCGGCACUUGAUCAUCGGUGAUUUGAAUCACGACGAGUAUGACUCCAUCAACCCCGUUCACUUGAACGCUUCCGCUUAGCGAUCUACAAGGGUAUGUAGAUGCACUCUCUUUCUACUCGUUGCUGGUCUCUCCAUAGAUAGAUCUUGGUGACACGUAGGAAAAUUUUGAAUUUCUGCUACGUUCCCCAACAGCGAGCACUCCGCAGCCUCGCCGAAGUCUGCCACAUUGCAGCAAUAAAUCCAUGGAACGACAUGGCCAUAACCUUCAAUGCCAGUGACAAACCUCAAUUCCGACAGUCCGAGCACCAGACGCUUUGGUCCUUAGUCCAAUUGUGCACGACUUCCGUCUUACUAAAGUACUCAUGGACGGCCGCAGCGGAUUAAACCUCAUCUAUGAAGAAACUCUCAACAAAAUGGAAAUAGAUAAGAGCCGCAUUGAGCAAAGCAGCACGACCUUUAGAGGAAUCAUCCCUAGUCGGGAGGCACGAUGUGCGGGAAAAAUCACACUAGAUGUGGUAUUCGGCACGCCGGAGAAUUAUAGGUCCGAAGAAAUCACAUUCCAAGUGGCCCCGUUCAGUAGCGGAUACCACGCCCUUUUAGGGCGGGAUGCAUUCACGAGCUUCCAAGCUAUACCCCAUUAUGGGUACAUGAAGCUCAAGAUGCCUGGGCCCAAUGGAAUCAUCACUCUAGCUAGUGAUCCAGACGUAGCACUCUGAGCCGAAAAUAAAACCGCCGCACUGGGCCUGGAGGCAUUAUCCGAAGCCCUCGCAUCUGAAGAACUAACUGCCUUGCGCUCCACAGUGGAUAGGAACGACGUGAUACUCGACAAACGACCCAAGUCCACCUCUUUCAAACCAGCGGACGAAAUAGUUAAAUUCCAGGUCCACCCAACGGACUCUACAAAAACAGCAUCCAUCGGGGCACAGCUGAACCCUACAAUAGACGCCAAACUGCGAGAGUUCUUGCGCGAGAAUUGGGACAUCUUCGCCUGGCAUCCUUCAGACAUGCCAGGUAUCCCACGCAGGCUGGUCGAGCAUAGCCUAAACAUACUGAAGGGAUACAAGCCGGUCAAGCAGACUCUUCGGCGUUUUUCAGAACCUAAGCGACAAGCCAUGGGAGAGGAGCUAGGCAAGUUACUCGAGGCCGGAUUCAUCAGAGAAAUAAAACAUCCGGACUGGCUAGCAAACCUGGUGAUGGUACCAAAGAAGGACAAAUCCUGGCGCCUAUGUGUCGAUUUCAAGGACCUCAAUAAGGCUUGCCCCAAGGAUCCCUUCUCCCUCCCCCGCAUCGAUCAAAUCAUCAACGCUACCGCAUGACACGACUCAUUGUGCUUCCUCAACGCAUACUCUGGAUACCAUCAAAUCAAGAUGGCGGAGUUCGAACAAGCCGCAACAGCAUUCAUCACUCCAUACGGCCCCUUCUGUUUUAACACCAUGCCUUUUGGGCUCAAAAACGCUGGUGCAACCUAUCAACGCAUGAUUCAGACAUGCCUGGAAACACAAAUUGGCAAAACAGUUGAGGCAUACGUAGACGAUAUGGUCAUCAAAACCAGACACGUCGAGUCUUUAGUAGACGACCUGAGGCUUACGUUCGACAAUCUUCAAACAUAUGACAUCAAGCUCAACCCGGAAAAAUGCGUUUUCGGCGUCCCUGCCGGAAAGCUGCUAGGCUUCAUCGUUUCCAAUAGAGGAAUUGAAGCAAAUCCAGCUAAAAUCUGAGCUCUGUCACAGUUGGAUACCCCAAUAGACGUCAAGCAAAUCCAGAAGUUAACUGGAUCGUGGCUGCCUUAAGCUGCUUUAUCUCCCGAUUGGGAGAAAAGGCACUACCUCUCUAUCGCCUUCUUCGACGCACCAAACACUUCGAGUGGACGGAUGCGGCCACGGCCGGACUGGAAGAAAUAAAGGCCCUCUUGGCUAGCAAUCCAAUCCUGGCCGCACCAAACAUCGGCGAACCCAUGCUGUUAUAUAUAGCUGCAACGCACCAAGUUGUAAGCGUAGUGCUAGUCGUCGAACAAGAGGAGGACGAACAUAAGUUUCCGCUUCAAAAGCCGAUAUACUACGUAUCCAUUGUCCUCACACCAUGCAAGUCACGGUACCCACAUUAUCAAAAGAUAGCAUACGCGGUCUUCAUGGCAUCCCAGAAACUGCGACACUACUUUCAAGAGUGUUCAAUCACGGUGGCCUCAGAAGUACCACUCAACGAUAUAAUAAAUAACCGCGAUGCCACGGGCCGGAUUGCUAAGUGGGCCAUCGGGCUCCUCCCGUUCGACAUCAUAUAUAAACCACGACGAGCCAUUAAGUCGCAAGUACUGGCUGACUUUGUCGCCGAAUGGACAGAAGCCGAACUCCCUAAAGAGUACGGCGCAUACUCCAAUUGGAUCAUGCACUUUGACGGCUCUAAGAUGCUGGCUGGUCUGGGAGCGGGUGUUGUCCUGACAUCCCCCACUGGAGAUACAGUCCAAUACACAUUACAAAUACUAUACACAGACUCCAACAAUGUAGCCAAAUACGAGGCUCUGUUGCACGGUCUUCCGAUGGCGGUCUCCAUUGGCAUUUAACGCCUAGAGGCGCGGGGGGAUUCGUACCUCGCAAUAUCUCAAAUAAAUGGAGACUUUGAUGCCAAGGACCCAAAAAUGGCGGCUUACCGCAAUGUCAUCCUCAAAAUGUCAGCUCGGUUCAAGGGGCUCGAAUUCCACCAUGUGGUCCGAGAAAACAAUCAAGCGGCGGAUAUCCUCGCCCGCAUCGGUGCUAAGAGCAACCCCGUCCCACCUAAUAUCUUCUCGGAAAGGCUGUUCAAGCCAUCCGUGGUGUGGGAAGGGGAGACCGGCAAUACUAGUCCGGAUCCGACCACAACCCCAGAUCCCGAACACUCUGACAUAAUCGGAGGCUCCGCCACAGAAAUAACACCUUUGGCCCACGUUAUCAUGGCUGUUAUCGCCCCGUGGAUAGAACCCUUCUUAGCCUACCUAAAUAGGCAAGAACUCCCUGAGGACCAAAAUGAGGCACGUUGCAUUGUGCGGCGCUCUAAAGCCUACAAAGUUCACGAGGGAGAUCUUUAUAAGAAAAGCGCUACCGGAGUACUCCAAAGGUGCAUCUCCGAAGAGGAAGGGCGGCAGCUUUUGGCUGAAAUUCAUGCUGGACUCGGCGGCCACCACGACGCUGCUCGGGCCCUUGUAUACAAGGCCUUCCGUACAGGUUUCUACUGGCCGACAGCCCGAGCAGAUGCACAGGACCUCGUCCAACAUUGCGUCGGUUGCCAGCUGUUUGCAAAUUAAAGUAAUAUGCCACUCACCGCCCUCCAAACAAUCCCCAUAACUUGGCCCUUUGCGGUCUGGGGGCUCAAUAUGGUUGGACCCCUUAAAGAAGGAAGCCAUAAUAAAAAAAUACUUGUUGGUCAUGGUGGAUAAAUUCACCAAAUGGAUAGAAGCCAAACCAGUUAAAACGGCCGAAUCCGGACCACUAAUAGACUUCAUAUCAGGGGUCGUAUGAUACAUCUCCAACGUAUCUAUAAUUUUUGAUUGUUCCAUGCUAUUAUAUUAUCCCUUUUGGAUGUUUAUGGGCUUUAUUUGACACAUUUAUAUCAUUUUUGGGACUAACCUACUAAUCGGAGGCCCAGCCCGUAUUGCUGUUUUUUUGGCCUAUUUCAGUAUUUCGAAGAAAAAGAAUAUCAAACGGAGUCCAAACGGAAUGAAACCUUUGGGACCGUGAUUUUUGGAACAAACGUGAUCGAGAGGACUUGGAGUGCAAGUCAAGAAGCAGCCGAGGCUUCCACGAGAUAGGAGGGCGCCCCCCUAUAGGGCGCGCCCCUGUCUCGUGGGCCCCUCGGGCGGCCACCGACGUACUUCUUCCUCCUAUAUAAGCCUACGUACCCCAAAAACAUCCAGGGAGCCAACGAAACACAAUUUCCACCGCCGUAACCUUCUGUUUCCGCGAGAUCUCAUCUUGGAGCCUUCGCCGGCACUCUGCCGGAGGGGGAAUCGACCAUGUAGGGCUUCUACAUCAACAUCCUUUCCCCUCUGAUGAGUUGUGAGUAGUUUACCACAAACCUACGGGUCCAUAGUUAUUAGCUACAUGGCUUCUUCUCUCUUUUUGGAUCUCAAUACAAUGUUCUCCCCUCUCUUGUGGAGAUUUAUUCGAUGUAAACUCUUUUUGCAGUGUGUUUGUCGAGAUCCAAUGAAUUGUGGGUUUAUGAUCAAGUUUAUCUAUGAAUAAUAUUUGAAUCUUCUCUGAAUUCUUUUAUGUAUGAUUGAGUUAUCUUUGCAAGUCUCUUCGAAUUAUCAGUUUGGUUUGGCCUACUAGAUUGAUCUUUCUUGCCAUGGGAGAAGUGCUUAGCGUUGGGUUCAAUCUUGCGGUGUCCUUACCCAGUGACAGCAGGGGUUGCAAGGCACAUAUUGUAUUGUUGCCAUCGAGGAUAAAAAGAUGGGGUUUAUAUCAUAUUGCUUGAGUUUAUCCCUCUACAUCAUGUCAUCUUGCUUAAGGUAUUACUCUGUUCUUAUGAACUUAAUACUCUAGAUGCAGGCAGGAGUCGGUCGAUGUGUGGAGUAAUAGUAGUAGAUGUAGGCAUGAGUCGGUCUACUUGUUGCGGACGUGAUGCCUAUAUACAUGAUCAUGCCUAGAUAAUCUCAUAAUUAUUUGCUUUUCUAUCAAUUGCUCGACAGUAAUUUGUUCACCCACCGUAAUACUUAUGCUAUCUUGAGAGAAGCCACUAGUGAAACCUAUGGCCCCCGGGUCUAUCUCUUAUCAUAUUUUCUUCCAAUCUAUUUUUAUUUGCAUCUUUACUUUUUGCAUCUAUAUUAUAAAAUACCAAAAAUAUAUUUAUCUUAUCAUACUAUCUCUAUCAGAUCUCACUUUCGCAAGUGGCCAUGAAGGGAUUGACAACCCCUUUAUUGCGUUGGUUGCGAGUUCUUUGUUUGUUUGUGUAGGUGCGUGGGACUUGUGAGGAGUCUCCUACUGGAUUGAUACCUUGGUUCUCAAAAACUGAGGGAAAUACUUACGCUACUAUCGCUGCAUCACCAUUUCCUCUUCAAGGAAAACCAACGCAAGCUCAAGAUGUAGCAUCGUACACCGUUACGGUGUCCCCCACAGCAUCAUCACCGAUAAUGGCUCCAACUUCACAGCCAACGAGGUGAAAACUUGGUGCGGCAACAUGGGCAUUAAGCUCGAGUACGCCUUCGUCUAUCACGUCCAAACAAACGGUCAAGUCGAACAAGCAAAUGAUCUUAUUAUGAGCGGCAGCAAACCCAGACUAGUGCGAUCUUUGAAGGAAUCAGAUAAGCACUGGGUCGAGGAGCUCGACUCCGUACUAUGGGGGCUGCGGACCACGCUGAAUCGCACUAUCGGAUACAGACCAUUUUUAUGGUGUACGGCGCAAAGGCGGUAUUGCCCUGCGAUAUCAUUCAUGACUCACCUCGAGUGCACAUGUACGAAGAGAGAGAAGCCGAGUUUGAUCGGCAGGACAGUUUAGAUGCCCAGGAGGAUGAGCUUGACGUUGCAAAAGCCCGUUCCGCAUUCUAUCAGCAACAGGCUCGAAGGUAUCAAAGCAGAGAAGUACGGGCCAAAACUUAUAACGUUGGCGAACUCGUUCUAUGCUUACCAGAGAAGAAAAAAGACAAGCUCAAGCCCAAAUGGGAGGGUCCCUUCACCAUUGAUAAAGUUCCCACUGGAGGAGCGUACCGUCUGCGUGAUGCAUCUGAUAAUCGACUUGAGCCAAAUCCAUGGAACGCGGCCAGACUCCGAAGAUUCUACGCCUAGUGCCGAACUCUGUGUCCGUCUCCUUACCUCCGCCUUUCUUUUUUAAGUUAUAUCCUCUUUCUCUCUUCUUUCCUUUUUUUCCUUUUUAUGGCCUUAAAGGCUUCAAGUGUGUUCUUUACUACAUAAUCUUGACGCGCCAUGCCUUCUCACUAUACCUGGGGGCUUCUUAUACAGAAGCUUAAUAUAAUUAUCUCCCGGACUUUAUGCCCACUACAUACGUGCCACUUUUCCAUAUGUACCUUUUUAUGCCAUUAUAUGCAUCAAUAUGACUUAAGUUUUGGCCAAGCUGGGUUGCCUGGCUCCUGUGUUUAUGCCCUAUGUUCCCGUUAGUUCGGCUAGGGCAUAAGGGGAGCACCUCUGCGAUUGUUACUGCCGGGUCAGCCGGACGUGUACCUUAGACUGGGUGAAGCCAAAAGCUACGUUCUUAAGAGAAUAUUCGGUCGGUGAACAAAAGAUGAAUUUUACCUAUUUACAAUACAAACCCCUAGAUGUUUCAUAUUCUGUGUCUCUGUUCGCAGUUCGGACAUGCACAUUAAUGCAUGUGUACCCAGGGAAAGGAACCCUUAACGGAACUAUUCUCCUGGAAGAUGUUUCUUACUAUCCAUGUAAUAUAACAUAACUAGUUGGGUACUUGUCUGUUCAAGCACUUAUGACCCCUACGCCUGGUUUCCACGUGUACCCCGGUUUACAUACUGAGCGGGUAUUCAGAUACACUCCGGACUGUCGGGUCCAGAGGUUGAAGCGAAAAGGUCCGCCAUGACAAAUGAUUUACAAUCCGGCUAGGGACAAAAUAUGUCAUUUGAAGUACACGGUCACUUAGGCUGACUAAAUUCUUCUUCUAUACCAUCCAACAGGCUGGCUAGCCUACAAUCAUGUUGGGAAUACUUUGCGGCUAAUCCUACCUGGUCAUAUACCAUACUAACGGGGAUCUCUUUCCCAUCUGAACCUACAGGUCUGACCUCGGCCAUAUGAUUCGGGUCAACCUUGGUGUACCGCGUCUUCACCAUGGCCCAGGCUUCCCUCGCACCUUGUCAGCAGGCCGAUAUCUUCCAUAAUAGUAAGUGCCGCCACGCUCCCUUGAGCAUCUCUACAAGCUCCCCCAUGCCUCCUGGCAGGGAGGCGGAUGGCCACAAGGCCUGGGUAAUACCCUGCAUCACCUGCCGAACUUGUUCGUGCAGUUGUGAGAGCUCUUGCAGAAGAUCGCAUGUGGAUCCAGGCAUCUCCUCUUCGAGACGACUUGUCAGCAUACCUACAAACAUAACUCUGUUAGAACGUCUCUUCGCCGAACUGUAUAAAGGUUCAUUCGAGCACUUACUAAAAAUGUCGCGUCGAAGCCUCUUAUUCUCCUUCACGGAGUCAGCAAGCUGGGCUCGAACAUCUUUUAAUUCAACGCCCAGCCAGGUAUUGGCGUCUUGGAGAUCGUUUUUCUCCCGCCUAACCCGUGUAAGCACAUGCUCGCCAGCCUCUAGUUGUUGUUUAGCUGGGUGCUCAUCCUCUUGUACGAUCUCUGGAUUCACUUCGGGAUUGUCUGCAGAAUCUAUUGUUAGAUUUGCAAACAUGCCGAAUACUAACUCGUACGUAUAAAUCUGUUCUUUUCGAUCAAGACAAGUAUUACCAGAUGAGGCCUUCUUGGAUUCCUCCAUUCCGGCAAUUGCGGCCCUUAGCAGGGCUUUGCACUCCUCCAGCUCUUGAGACAAAUUGGUGUUCUUCUCUGUAAGAACCUAUUCAUACAAUGAUCCUUAAAUCAAUUCUGCCAACUGUUUCAAGUCUCAGGGGCUACUGAUAUACAUAAUUAUGAGAUUUUCUUACCCGUAUAUCCUUUAAAUACUGGUCCAUGGCUCUAGCAAGACCACCUUGAGCAGCUCGGAUGUACGUGUCUCCUGAGUUGAAGGCAUUGAACGCCUCUUCGGAGAAAUUAGGGCCGCGUAGUACGACCCGACGACGCCUGUGAUUCAUGGCGCUCUCCACUUCGGAGUUUGUAGCGGAUAUUCUAUCUGCAUUUGUAGGAGGACCGUCCGACGUUGUCCCCGCGUUGGCCUCCGCCCCUAAGUUCGGCUCCGGAGUCCGGCUGGUGGAGGUGUGGCCGGCAUGCUCUCCGGACACAGUCCGGCGAGCGCUUUUUCUGCCUGGGAACCAUGGACAUUGUUAUAUUUUAAAAGACGAUAAUCACGUAGCGGGUUUUUAAUCAUACCUCUGCAAUGGCGUCUCGCCUGACCGCCUUCCUUUUAAGCCUACCCGGCUUCGGUGCCCCUUGUUGACGAGUCACCGCGGGUCCGGCACGGCACCCCGAUGGCCUUCCCUAUAAAAUGCAAUAGAUGUGCGGUGGGUAAGGCACAAAGAAGGGAUCCUUCUCGAAGUUUAGGACUCCGGUUUUACUUACAUGUGAUGCAGGGAGUAGGCCGGGAUAAUCAGCUAUGAUGGCCACUAAGGCACCGCCACAGCUUAACUGGUAAAACAUCCUGUCGACAAGCUCCACAAAUAUGUCCGGAUCUUCUUCGAGUCCGGGGUCGAGGGCCCGGUCAGGGUCCUCUGGCUGUGGAGAUAGGCUGUGGACCUCCCUCACAGCUUUUCGCAGUUCCUGCUAUGAAUUAGCAAGGUAAAUAUUUGUGAUGAAGAAUGCAGGAAUGAAUGGAGUUGAGUAAAAGAUAGCAGCUCACCUAGCAUGGGGGGUUGUACAUGGAAAAUCCAUCCCGUGGCUUAAUGCGGAUAAACUCCUCUUCUUCUCCUUUAUACAAAUCGGACAAUAUUUUCGCCAGAGCGGUGGUGGAGUCCAGACCUUUAUGACCACAGCGGGUGGCAUCAUCUUCUCCUUUGAAGUGCCACAUGGGUUUCCCCCGAUACUGGAGUGGCUGCACCCCCCGCAUUAUGCAUAUUGACAUAACCUCGAUUAUUGUCAAUCCUAAUUUGGCCAGCAUUUUUAUCCUGCCCAUCAGAUAAAGGAGUUCUCUGUUAUUUUCCUCCUGGGGGCUCCGGGGAUGCCAGCUGCGGCGUUUCUUCAGUGGGGCAUUGGCAAACUCAGGAAGGCCCAUCCGGAUAGGGUCCGGAAGGGGAUGUCGUCUAUAUAAAACCAUUCCGAAGGCUAGUCUUCAGAUGUCUUCUUCGGAGUGCCAGACAGGUAUCAGGUCCCGACGAUGUGCCAUAUUUCGGCUCCACCCACUUGAUAUAUUGAUCCCUCCUGAUUACGAGGGACGAGGCAGAAUAGCCUCUUCCAUAGCUCGAAAUGAGCUUCGCAGCCUAGAAAUAGCUCGCAAAGGGCGACAUAACCUGCGAUGUGCAGUAUGGAAGCAGGAGUGAAGUUAUGCAGCUGGAGGCCGUAGUACUCCAAGAUUCUGCGGAGGAACGGAUGGAUUGGAAAUCCGAGGCCCCUCAGCAAGUAAGGGACAAGGCAUACUCGCUCUCCCCUGGAUGGGUUGGGGAAACUCUCUGCUUGCUCCCCACCAUCAUAAGUGGCUAGUCUGGCUCUGACGGGGACCAGAUAGGUAGGUAGGAGAAACCCCUAGGUCUGCAACUCCACUAAACGGCCAUGGGGUACAUAACACUUCUCCCAAUCACCUGUCUUAGCGCUACGGGAGCGAGAGGAGGAGCUGCGGCGGCCGGCCAUGGUGGGAUGGCUUUUUUCGGGCGCGCUCUGAUGGAUCCUUGCUGGGGGAAGAUGGUGUGAUUUGGAUCUGAGGAUCCUCAUCCCUUUAAUAGACAAUUUAUUUACAUGGUCAGGGUGGCAGAUGUAAAAAUUCCCCGACUUCUCGCAUUCGCUCGACACGUGGAGACUGCCAUUAUUAAGGUACAGAAGCCGAGGACUGCAACAUUAAUGGGAGGCCGGACACUGCUUGUUACAACAGGUACUCCGGGAUUUUGCAGAAGAACCCGCCUUGCAAUGCCGAAGGAAAUCUGCGCGCCAGACUCAUCGUCAUUGAAGCCUAGUUCAGGGGCUACUGAGGGAGUCCUGGAUUAGGGGGUCCUCGGACGGCCAGACUAUGUACUUGUGCCGGAAUGUUGGACUAUGAAGAUACAAGAUUGAAGACUUCGUCCCGUGUCCGGGUGGGACUCUCCUUUGCAUGGAAGGCAAGCUUGGCAAUUCGGAUAUGUAGAUCUCCUUCUCUGUAACCGAUUCUGUGUAACCCUAGCCCCCAGAGGGUUUAGUCCGUAGGACAACAACAAUCAUAAUCAUAGGCUAGCGUCUAGGGUUUAGCCUCUACAAUCUCGUGGUAGAUCAACUCUUGUAAUACUCAUAUCAUCAAGAUCAAUCAAGCAGGAAGUAGGGUAUUACCUCCAUCGAGAGGGCCCGAACCUAGGUAAACAUUGUGUCCCCCGCCUCCUGUUACCAUUAGCCUUAGACACACAGUUUGGGACCCCCUACCCGAGAUCCGCCGGUUUUGACACCGACACUAAGCGCUUGAGAAAGUAUCUGUGUGUGAGAGCUGGGAAACGACAGGCAAAACUUUGUACAAUGGAAGGCAGGACCCGCAGGCUGAGAGGGGAGACUUGUUGCUUCUGCGAUGCGCAUAUAACUUUGAAACUUGAUAAAGAGCGUGACGUUUGGUAUGUCAGCAGUUUCAGUGAUGAUCACAGUCACGUUCUAGCUAGACCAGAUGAAGUCACGUUUCUUCAGUCUCAUAAUCAGAUAAAAGAAUAUCAGAAAGCUGAGAUCUUAACUAUGGCAGGUGCUGGAAUCAGGAAACAUAUGAUUUAUGAUAAUCUUGUCACUAGGUACAGGUCAUAUGCAAAGGCUGGUUUUGGGAGGAAGAAGCUUUAUAACAUGUGUUAUAGUGAAAAAAUGAUGUUGCUUGCACAAGGUGAUGCAGACACUGCCAUUGGGAUCAUGAUGACCAGAAGAGAGAGGGAUCCAGAUUUCUUCUUUGAGCACACCGUCGAUGAUGAAGGAAGGCUGAAAAACAUAUUCUGGUGUGAUUCUGAAUCACGUUGAGACUAUGUUGACUACGGUGAUGUGACCGUCUUCGAUAGCACAUACAGGAUGAAUAGGUAUGGCAUGCCAUUUAUACCUUUUGUCGGUCUGAACAACCACCGUUGCACCACGGUAUUCGGUUGUGCUCUUGUGUCUGACGAGACGGAAGAUACAUAUGUUUGUCUGCUUCAGACGUUUUUGAGGGCUCACUGUCAGAAGAGGCCCAGGUUAGUAAUUACUGAUGGAGAUGCAGCGAUGAUUAAGGCCAUCAGAAAGGUACUUUCGGAGAUUUGGCAUCGUCUUUGCUCGUGGCAUAUUGAGAAGAACAUGCAGAAACACCUUCAUCAUAAGUCUCUAAAGGAGUUCAAGUCUCUACUUUAUUAUGCCACUUCAAAAAAAGUAUUUGAGGAGGGAUGGGCAACGUUUACCGCCAAAUGGUAGUCGGAGAAAACAAAGACAUGGUUACGUAGGAUGUACAAGAAGAAAAGGCUUUGGGCUGCAUCAUAUCUGUCUGGUGGGUUUUUCCUAGGUAUGCGAAGUAACCAGCGAAGUGAGAGUCUGAAUUCAUGCCUUCACUUGCAUCUAGACUCCGGUAUGACUAUUGUUGAUAUGAUUGUGCACUAUGAGAACUGCAUAGUUCGUCUCCGUGAGAACGAGGCGCAUGACGAUUACACAAACUCAUAGACAGUCCCAGUACCAGUAUUGGACGAGUGUAAAGAUAUUGAUAUAUCAGCUACCUGUGAGUUCACUACGGCAAACUUUUAUAUCUUACAGGAAGAUAUGAAGAAGGCACGGGAGCUUGAGGUCCUUGAGAGACCGAGAGAAGCAGACACUCACAGAUUCAUACUGACGUGGAAGGAAAAUAGGGAUAUCAGAUUCACUGUGGACUACACCCCAGGUAACUCUGAAGAAACCGUGAAGUGCAGUUGCAGAAGUAUGUAUCGCAAAGGACUUCCUUGCAAACAUAUUCUUCAUGUUCUGAUUCAGCUACGCUUACGUGAGAUACCUAAGUGUUUAGUACUGCGGAGGUUGAGCCAAGUUGCAAGGGGUGGACUUCCCGUGAAGCGCACUAGCGAUCUGUUUGCGUGGGGAUUGGCAGGUGCAGGGGACAGAGCUAGGUACAACGAGUUGACUAUCUUAUCUGCCGAAGCAACUCAUAAAGCAUGCCAUAAACCAUUUUUAUUCGACAAGUUGAAGGCGACUCUGAGGGACAUAAUAGAUAAUCAUUACACUGAGGAGGAUGAGCCUGGUGCGGAGGAAAAGUUUGUGAACGACGAUGCAUUUGAGCCUAAUCAAGAUCAUGGUCUUGUUCGUGAUCCCGCAAAAGUUAACACCAAAGGCGCACCAAAACAGAAUGUUAAAGGCCCCGGUAGGGAUGGUCCUGAUGUCACUAAAAAUGGGCGACCUAAAGCUUUUGAUGAGAAAAGCAAACGUUAAUGUGGACAGUGCGGUCCUACGGGUCAUUAUAAGUCCACGUGCCCUCAAAAUCCUAAGUAUGAUUUUCGUAUGUUCUUGUAAAUCUUAUUGUUCAAACCAAAUUUGUUUGUUUAUUGUGAAUUAACACAUAUCUUACUGUCUUGGUAUGUAGGAACUUUGCUUGAAUUCUGGAGUAUGGAAGAUUGCUUCACCCUUUGAUUGAAGACAAUUUUUUGAUGGAUUGCUUCUAUUUAUGAGAUCUUUUUUAAUUGUUAAAUUAUGUUAUAUCAGACUUAUUUUACUUUGUUGAUGUCAAACUUUGUUCAUGUCAGACUAUUUGCUAAGAUACCCACAUAAGUAUUUGUUCGAUGACAGACUAUGUAAUGUAAGAAGUAUUUUUACUUUGUUUAUUUUGAUGUGCUCAUUAUGCAUUGUAGUGCCGUCGCUGUUUACUGUUGGUUUUCUGCACUGUCGCCGUCGCUGUUUACUAUUGGUUUUCUGCACUGUCGCUGUCGCUUACAACCCCGUCGUUUUUAGAUUUUUUUUUAAAAAGCCCGACAAGUGCGCCGGUGGCACUGUCCCACAAGACAGCGUCGGACGACAGCACUGUCCCACAGGGCAGCGUCGGACGGCGGCAACAUAGCAAGUUAAUUAGAGGAGUUUGACUGCCUAUGUGCCGCCGGGUAUAUAAGCUGGUCGUCACGCGCUCCGUCGGGCGAGGUGGGACUAAACAUUUCCUGUCGCUCCGCGUGGUACUUGGGUCGUCGUCGCGCGCUCCGUCAGGCUGUAAAGUGUUAUUGGGCCGGCACACGCGAUCAGGCGCGUCGCUGCCGACACGGAGGCGGCGAUGGGAAAUGUUUAGUCCCACCUCGCCCGACGGAACGCGCGAUGACCUGCUUAUAUACCCGGCGGCACAUAUGCAGUCAAACUCCUCUGAUUAAAUCGCUAUGUGAUGUCUACUACACAACCUUCUUUUUGUAGACGUUGUUGGGCCUACAAGUGCACAGGUUUGUAGGACAGUAGCAAAUUUCCCUCAAGUGGAUGACCUAAAGUUUAUCAAUCCGUGGGAGGCGUAGGAUGAAGAUGGUAUCUCUCAAACAACCCUGCAACCAAAUAACAAAGAGUCUCUUGUGUCCCCAACACACAUAAUACAAUGGUAAAUUGUAUAGUUGCACUAGUUCGGCGAAGAGAUGGUGAUACAAGUGCAAUAUGGAUGGUAGAUAUAGGUAUUUGUAAUCUGAAAAUAUAUAAACAGUAAGGUAAGUAAUGAAAAAAGUGAGCGUAAACGGUAUUGCAAUGGUAGGAAACAAGGCAUAGGGUUCAUACUUUCACUAGUGCCAGUUCUCUAAACAAUAAUAACAUAGAUAGAUCAUAUAACAAUCGCUCAACAUGCAACAAAGAGUCACUCCAAAGCCACUAAUAGCGGAGAACAAACGAAGAGAUUAUGGUAGGGUACGAAACCACCUCAAAGUUAUUCUUUCGGAUCAAUCUAUUAAGAGUUCGUACUAGAAUAACACCUUAAGACACAAAUCAACCAAAAUCCUAAUGUCACCUAGAUACUCCAUUGUCACCUCAAGUAUCCGUGGGCAUGAUUAUACGAUAUGCAUCACACAAUCUCAGAUUCAUCUAUUCAACCAACACAAAGUACUUCAAAGAGUGCCCCAAAGUUUCUACCGAAAAGUCAAGACGAAAACAUGUGCCAACCCCUAUGCAUAGGUUCAUGGACGGAACCCGCAAGUUGAUCACCAAAACAUACAUCAAGUGGCACGUGAUAUCCCAUUGUCACCAUAGAUAAGCACGGCAAGACAUACAUCAAGUGUUCUCAAAUCCUUAAAGACUCAAUCCGACAAGACAACUUCAAAGGGAAAACUCAAUUCAUCACAGGAGAGUAGAGGUGGAGAAACAUCAUAAGAUCCAACUAUAAUAGCAAAGCUCGCGAUACAUCAAGAUCGUGCCAUAUAGAGAACACGAGAGAAAGAGAGAGAUCAAACACAUAGCUACUGGUACAUACCCUCAGCCCCUAGGGUGAACUACUCCCUCCUCAUCAUGGAGAGCGUCGGGAUGAUGAAGAUGGCCACCGGUGAUGGGUUCCCCAUCCGGCAGUGUGCCGGAAUGGGCUCCCGAGAGGUUUUUGGUGGCUACAGAGGCUUGCGGCGGCGGAACUCUCGAUCUAUCUUCUGUAUCGAUGUUUUUAGGGUACGUAGAUUUAUAUAGGCGAAAGAAGUCGGUCGAGGGAGGCUCGAGGGGCCCAUGAGAGGGUAGGGCAUGCCCAGGGGGUGGGCGCGCCCCCCUAUCUCGUUGCUUCCUCGAUGCUCCCCUAGCUUGCACUCCAAGUUUCCUGAGUCACGUUCGUUUCAAAAAUAAGUUCUCCGAAGGUUUCAUUCCGUUUGAUAUUCCUUUUCUUCGAAAUACUGAAACAGGCAAUAAAACAGCAAUAUGGGCUGGGCCUCCGGUUAGCAGGUUAGUCCCAAAAAUGAUAUAAAUGUGUAAAAUAAAGCACAUAAACAUCCAAAAGGGGUAAUAUAAUAGCAUGGAACAAUCAAAAAUUAUAGAUACGUUGGAGACGUAUCACUAUGCUACCGUCGUCCGACGCUGCCCUGUGGGACAGUGCUGUCGGUCCAGUCUGACGUCAGACUGGCCAGCGCACUUGUCGGGCUAUUUUUUUUUAAAAAAAGCUAAGAACGACGGUGUUAUAAACGACGGUGUUAUAAGCAACGGUGAAAAUGCAAAAAAACAACAGUAAACAAUGACGGCACUACAGUGCAUAAUGAAUACAUGGGCAUUUUUUAAAAAUAUUUACAAGUAUAGGAAAACAUGGACUGUUAUAUUCAAACAAGUUGACGACGACAGAAGUAUGAAUAUGAAUAAUUCAAAUUUAAAGACGACGACAUGAAGACAAAAUAAUAACCCAAAUGUCAUUCUCGACUUAAAUAUUCAAAAUAGUAGUGCCUUCCUCGUCACAAGAUAUCAAAGUCGAAAUAAAUGUAAACAUCAUUUGAGCCUACAAAAUUUUCUAGUACAUAAAUUUUGCCACAUUUAUUUCUUCUUUGCAAGCCGGGUAACUUUGUCCUUCACAUCGUUGAGCGUAUUUCUCUCCGAAAAAAUAAGCUUCGCAAUCAUUAAGUCCCUCGAUUUAUCAAUUCACCCCUGUUAGAACUUUAUAUUAGUACAAUCCAAAUAGUAUUACACAAUGAAUUCAAUUGAAUAUAAGCAUUUGAAAUAAAACCAGACCUGCGAAAAACGGCUUGUCCAUUUUUCACCGUUCCAAUAUUGAAAGCAUCGAAGAACAAAUAUUCCACAUGAAUUGUUGGUCCAUACAAACAACGGUUCAUAAGUUUGCAUUUUAGGUAAGAUAUUAAAAUAAUAUGAAAGUAUUUACUCACAUGUCUUCUUGUUGUGGCAUGUAAUACGUUUUGAUAGGCCAGGUAGACACAUCCGGAUAAUUCACAGCACCGCUCGCAUUCGCAUCGCGUAUGUCAUAUCCAAGUUGUUUUCUCUGUUCAUAUAAAUGAUAGCACGAAAAGGAUUUAACAUAGUUCAGUUACUAAAUGAUAGUUUCAAUAUGCUCAUGUAAAUUUAUGCCGUACCAGUUCCUCAACUUUGUCUCUAAUUUCACUGUCAAGUUCGGGUCCCAUCAAAGAAUCAAGAACCUGGAACUCUUCCUUCGGGCGAUGCAUGACGACCGAAACCCAGUGGGUAUUUCCCUUAUUAAGAGGAAUAUAAGUCUGCAUCACAACGAAAAUAUGAUGUAAUCAACAUAUACUGUCUUAUUAUUUAUAUCCCAUAUAUGCAUACAUUAAGCCAGUCGAACUUACCUUAUCUUUUUUUAAAAUAUUCAUCGGUGCAUUUAUUCACGGGUCCAUUCUUCUUCGCCAUAACUUCGUUGUCAUUUUUUCCUGGCUCAGUGUCCGGUCUAAAUUCAAGUAACCAAUUGACCAGUCAGGUCGGCAUUAUAUGACAAUCAUCACCAAAAACUCCCAACAGAUACGACGAAUAAGCAUUGAUAACUUGAAAAUAAUUUAAAUGAUCUAUAACAAUUCCAAUUUGCGUUGAACGCUAAUAGAAAACACAACAAUAACUUACAACACCGGUUAGCCAUUGAUGGUCAAGAGUCUUACAAGCCCUCUCUGGACUGAGACAUUUCCGCAUGCCAUCAUUGAAUAUUUCAUUCUUUUCUAUGUUUUGCUGACUGCUCAUAAGCACGGACAAACUUAACACUAGCUUUAAUCAUAUCGUAAUCAUCUUGAAAGACUUCUUUCUCGAAUAGUUCUGCAAUACAUAACGAUAAUAUGUUAAUAAAUCAAUGAUAAGUAGUAAGUUCAGCUCGAAAACAAUAUGAUAAAACUCACUUGCUUUUGCUGAACGUUGUGCACGCUUUGUCGGUAUAGCUUGCACAUAAGGAGACUUUAUAAGGUUUGAUACCUUCCGCUUCCGUUUCCCUACAACCUCCUCUGGUACCUCAUCUUCUCCAAUAGAAUCUACGGAUCCACGUGAUGCAAUUUCAUCUGUUCCUAAAGAUGUAACGGAUUUCUCAUUAGAUACCUCAGGAACUUCGAUAGGAUCUUCUUUAUCACCCUUUAAACUAUCCCAAUAAUCAGGUGUGCAAUAAUAAGGUCUCUUCUCUUCAGAAUCAUUAAGAUCAUCUUCAUCAUCCUCUUGCACAUUCUUUUUUCCUGAUGUUUUGAAAUUGUCCAUAUCAGGAUUAUAUACAAAUUCUUUACGAGGUUUUCCGCCAUAGUUUCUAGUUUCACUAUUUUCACCAUACUCAUUCUCUUCUUCUUUUUCAAUAUCACUGUCUUUGUAGAAUACAACGCUUUUGUUUAAUUUCUCUAUGACCCUCUGUGAUUAAAAAUUAGUUGUAGUUACUUAUGUGACACAUCAAAAAACAAAGUGAACGGCAAAAUAAGAAAACUUGUACCUGUGUGCAUAGCUCCGGCAUACGAAGCAUGUCCUUACGAAUGUGCUUCAGCUCAGUCAAAAUCCGAUCCAUAAUAGGGUUCUGGAUAGCGGAAGCCUCAGAUGUACUCACGCCUGUUCCCCUUCCUGUAAUGUUAGACUUUCUCGUACUGGAUUUCUUGUUUUCUUCAGCCUAUUCCACUCUAAUUUUGUUUAAUCGGUACUCUUCAGUAAUGGUGUCAUCGAUCUACAACAUAAAGAAGCAUACAUUCAUAUUUAAUUAAUAAUUAAUUGCAGACUUUAAAUGAAAAAAAAAUUAACGUAUUACCAUCCCAACACCAUGACCAUAUUGAAAGUCAUACUUGUCUCUUUUCUCGGCUGCCUCUUCUUUCCAAUUCCCCAUCAAGGGGCUCAACGGCGCUAAAGGAUCAUACUGCGGACCGGUGCUUGGUUGCACCUUCUCCCAAUAUAGAUACUGCAAAACAAAAAAACAACCAUUUAGCAUGUGUUACACUAUUAUUACAUAAUACAAAUAUUCAAUUUAAUAAAUAAAUCAUACCUGCAGAAGUGCGAGGUUGCCACGUGGCCAUACCCUAACACGGCCGGGCUGCAAGACCAUACCAAUCUCCAACAAACAAAAUUGCAAAGUGAAUGCGUUCCAGUUGAACUUUUUUAUGAACCUGACAUCUUGCACUAGUGCAUAAUAAUUCUUCGGAAUAUAGUCAUUAGACACUGGUGCAAUUAUAGUCCCUAAUAGGACGAGAAACGCCAUCCGAACAAAUUCAUCAUCCAUGUUUUUAUUUCUCACAAUCUUCUCAAUAAGAUCAUCCUUCAAUAUUUUACCAUUCUUCUUGUUAACAAAACUAGUUGGAAUUUUUUUAUUGCUUUGCCUUGGUCCAUACUCAAAAAACUAGAAACAUCCACUCCUUCAUUCUUCAAACCAAAUAUAGCAAACACAUCAUCAGGCCUCAGUGGAAUCAACCCUUUUUUCCGGCUGCCUCUUGGACCAUAAAUUUUUUACUACUAGGAUUUUAACCUCGAAUCAUAUGCGCAAGCAAAUUAUCACGCAUCUUGACCGAAUGUAUUCGUAGCAUGCCCUCCAUCUCCGUUUCGUAAAAUGUAAAUCGCUGACUUGGUGUUAACUUCUUAACAAGACUAACCCACUUUUCAACGGAACAUGCAAUCACAGCAUCGAUGUCCAUACUGCAUAUAAUAAUAUCUAUGUGACGUUGCAUGCAGCUAAGAUGUUAUAUUAUGAUGAAAAUAUUGAAAGAAAUACCUACCCGACGGCGACUAGUGUGGGCGACGGCGACCACUGCGGCUGACGGCGGGCGCUAACGGCCGGCGCUAACGUCGACUAAUGUGGGGUGACGACGGGCGUUGACGGCGGGGCGAUGCUGUCGGGCGGGGAACGACAGUGUGGGCGACGGCGGCCAACACGGAUCAGAUCGGGCGCGUCGUCGGCACGUACGAGGCAAAAGUGCAUGCGACGUGAUUGGGCACCGACGUGCGCGAUUGUUGGGAAUAUUCCCUCAGAUAGUGACGGCUCAUGGAGAUAUUUCUGGCGUCGGGCCCGCGACGAUUAGUUUCCUAUCAGUACACGCGACGUGAUAUAACCGCCGGUCCUGAUUUCGUCCAACAUCGGUGUGGGCGACGGCUAGUUUAGUCCCACCUCCGCCGCCGAACGACGCUCGACCAGCUUAAAUAGCCGCGUCGGUUAACCCAAGCAUGGUCAUAUUUAAUAUUGUGAUAUGACUCUACAUAACUGCCCGGCAGUACACUGUCUGGGUACCGCCCGGACAGUUGUACUGCCCGGGCAGUUAUGUAGAGUCACAUCACACUAUUAAAUAUGUUUUUAUUUUUUCAUACAAUUUUGUCAUUGUGUGUAUUUUUUUAACUUUACACGAAAAACAAACAUGUUUCUAGUAAUUUUUUUUACUCCGUCAAACGUCACGAAACUUUUUCCACACGUUGACAUCACCAUCCACAGCACCCAUGCCAAUUUACAUAUUUUUCCGACGGUCGAUGCAUUUUCUAUGAUUUUCCGGGUCGAAAAACCCCAAAAACACUGCCCGGACGUGACGCAACAUGCAUUCGCUGUCAGAUUUUGUUCAUCUCUGGCGUGCGGUACCCGGGCGGGGCCCCACACGCGCUUGCAAAAGUUGGGUGCAUUCUGGGAAACUGCCCAGGCACUUGGUGUGGAAGGCGGUGGUUUCGGUAUGGGUGGAGCGGACCCUCGGUCGUACGUCUCUCCGUCGCAUCCGCCAAACUCGCUUAUUUUUUACCACCGGCCACAGUGACCAUGCAGGACACGCAUGCCAAAAUUUAUUUCGAAUCUCUACGGAUUUUCUAUGAUUAUCCGGGCCAAAAACCCCCAAAACACUGCCCGGACGUGAUGCAACGUGCGUUCGUUGUCGGAUUUCGUUCAUCUCUGGCGUGCGGUACCCGAACAGGGCCCCACACGCGCUCGCAAAAGUUGGGUGCAUUCCAUGAAACCGCCAAGGCACUUGGUGUGGAAGGCGGUGGUUUCGGUGUGGAAAGGUGUGUCCGGCACACCAUUUUUUUCUAUAACCUUCAAAAUGCCCAAAUUUUUUGUAUCGCAUUGUAUCUACAUGAGAAUCAUGCGUGCCAAAUUUCUGUGCAUUUUGGGUCUGUUUGCAUUUUCUACGGUUUUUGGCGUCGACAGUCCGAAAACACUGUUAUUAAUCAAAAUUAUUUCAUACUAACUUUUUCAAAAAAUUGUGAAUUCCCUGUUCUAAUUUCAUUUUUUCCUUUUCCUUUCUUGCUCUCUUCUUCUUUUCUUUUAUAUAAUUUUUAUUAUUCUUUCAAUUUUCCUGGUAAACUAUUAAAUUUUAGUUUCUUUCGCCUGACUUUUAUUUUAUAAAAUGAUUCAAUUUUUUUUCACAACAUUUCAUAAUAAUUUUUCAUUCCAACAUAACGAUAGUUCAUUAAACCUUACGACGGUUAAUUUUACAUUAGAACAUAAAAAACUUAAUUAAACAGGACCUAACCGAAAUUAAUUAAACAUAAGGACCUAAUCUAAACCUAAUCUACUCGUCGUCGGAGGCGGCGAGGUCGACGAUCUCGCCCGCACCGACGUCACCGUCGUCGUCGUCGUUGCUACUCUUGCCGCUGUCAUCCCAUUCGCCGACGUCGUCCUCCACCGGAGCUGCCUGCGGCUGCACCGCUCCGAUGGCCGCCGCCGCAUCUAGUGCGGCCUGCAGCUCGGCGGCCUCUGCUGCCACCGCCAUAGUCGCCGCGACGUCGAGUGCGGCCUGCAGCUCGGCAGCCUCUCUCGCCUCGGCGGCCGCCACUUCUGCCUGCGAUGCCCGCAGUGUGAUGAGGUAGCCGGGGCAGUCGUCGGGGUCGCCGUCCUCGCGCAGUGCGAACUGCUCCGGCAGGAUCUCGACGACAGGAGGGGAGGCGGUCCCGGCGAGGGUGGGUACCAGACGGCGGGACGAGCUUGGAGAUGGCGCGGCUGCCGGAGGGGGACGGCGGGGCCUGUGCGGGGCAGAGGACGAGCCGCCCGGGGCAGAGGACGAGCCGCCUGGGGCAGACGACGAGCCGCCCGUCCGCGACUCCCGACGAGCCUGCGCGACGACUCUCCAGUAGUCCUUUCCCUUCCAAAAUCUAGUGCGGCCGACGAUGUUCCACCAGCCGCCCUCAUGCCGGCGGAGCUCAUCCGGCGACGCGUCGGGCCCCUCGUCGGGUACCCGUCGGCGGUCAUGCGGAAGGCGUGCGGCAUACGGUAGCCCGGCGGCACCAUCUGCCCGAGCCGGAUGAGCUCGUCGGUCUCCGGCGUGCUCAGGCUCGUCGGCCACGAGCCGCCGCUGCCGUCAGACGCCAUGGAGGACACCGGGAAGGGAGCGCGUCGGUGGUGGAGUGCGUCGGCGGGUGGGGUGAGUGGGGUGAGGCGCGCCGAGUGGAGUGGGGGAGGCAGACGGGAGAUGAGUGGCGCUUUUAAAGACGGGCGUCGGGUGGGGGGAGGCAGUCGGGUAGGUGACCGAUGCCCCGGCUUAACGUCGGCAUUAAUGUCGCAUCGGGGGCGGCGGCCGCCUCAGGAACCGCCCUUGACCGACGCCUAGACGGCACGCAACCGUCCGUCCACACGUCGCGUCGUGCUUUUUUGUUUUUUUUUUCUCUAGCCGGCGCCACGUCUCCACGGAAACGUCGCUCGACAGGUCGCGUCGUCUUUUUUUUUCUUUGGUCGUCGUCGUACGUACGUGGACGGCCGCGUGUACGGGGAGUCGACGUACAGCCCCGUCGCGCGGGUACAGCCCCGUCGUACAGGCGGGUACAGCCCCGUCGUGCGGGCGACAGCUUUUUAAGUGCUGGGACGAUCUUAUCCUUUUUAAUGGAGGGCUACGGAGCGAUCUCAGCCAUUGUUGUAUUUAGGGGGUUGUACCGAAGAAGAAGUGUAUAAAUAUUUACCAUAAAAACUUUAUAUGAUGUGAAAGUACAUUCAACAAUGAAUCUAAUGGUAUUAAUUUGUUAUUGUAUAUGUUAAUAUUUUUGUCUAUAAACUUUGUCAAAGUUUGCAAAGUUUGACUUUGACCAAAGCUAAUAUGCAGAGUAAAUAAAAACGGAGGGAGUAUAAAAUAAACACAUUUGGCGUCUAGACUUAAGAAUUAUGUUUGAAACUAAGUUGCCAUUGUUUCAUGUAAGAUGAUGCAAAAACAUGAAAAGAAAAACUGAAAUAAUAAAUAAAUUUGCCAUGGGAUGUUCAAAAUAAAUUUGCCAUGGUGUAAAAAUGGGUACCAUGAUUUGUUCAACCAAUGUGUACAAAAGAGGAAUUUACCAUGGGCUGUUCAACAAAUUCGCCAUGUUCCAAAAAAUUAUCGACCAUGGUCAACAAAUAAAUUAUUGACUUUUUCUUUUUACGAAAAAGAGCGGAACUACUCAUUUAGUGAAAAGAAAAGAAGAAGAAAAAAACAGUGCUCAUUUUGUUAUGAGCCUCGAGCAUUUUCUGUCAACGGUCUAAAUUAAAGGGCAGAGAUAUCUGAAACAUGCUGGGUGCCUCUGAUCAUGAUGAAAAGCGAUUAGUAUACUGUAUUAAUCAGAUACACACAAAUAUCCCCGCUGUGAUCUGGCAGGCUAUGCACUUGUAGUUUUAGUCCGGAGCGGAUAAAACCCACCGAGCUGCCUGUGCCUAGCGCCGCCGCGGCGAAAAUCAGGGAGCUCCGUUGGACGGCGGCGGCGGGCUCGGGAGCUCGCUCGGAUCAACGCAUCAGGCUUUGUUGGAUCAAGCGACAAGAUGGCCGGUCUUCCGUUGGACCAGACCAUCGACCGGCCUCACACGUUGCAGUCAGACACAACAAUUUCUCACUCCAACAGUAGCAAGUAACCAGGGGAUUGACUUGAGCCAGAGAAACACCUUGUUAACAGAAAAUAGGCAAAGUAAAAUGAUAAUCAAACUACAUGAUUCUUGAUACUUGGUCCGAUGCUUCCAUAUUGCCCCUCCCUGCCAAACAAACCACUUACUGUAGAUGAACUAGACGUAUUGUUGAUUAUCUUAAUAAAUAAGAUAAGAUAGGUGAAGCAUGAACAAUUUGGGAGCAGCAAAUAGUAAAAUCAUCUAACUAACAUGACAUGGUUUCAGAAGUUGGCAAGUUCCUCUUUUGCUUGAAGUCCAAGCAAGCUUGCCCUCAGCAUUACCGGACAUAGCAAGAAGACAGCCAAUGCUGGCAUCCGUAAGAGAGAUAGGCGUGCAGUUAAAAGUCUUGCUGCUCAUAUCAGCACGGACCCAAAAGCUCGGCGUGGAUGGAAAGCAGAACUCUGGGUCCUGGUACAUGAACUCACCCAGUGCAAAGUAGAUGACAUGGUCUUCCUGCAUGCUGAGGAAGGGGUACAUGGGUGCCAUGGAGGUCGGCAGGUGUUGGUUCCCUUUGAAAGAACCCUCUUCACGCAGACUCCCUAGCUUGAGCUCGUAGUCUAAAUCCCAACUCAUAUCUUCCUCGAGUCGCCAGACCCUCACCAUGCGGUCAUCCACAAGAUCCACACGCUCAAGGAAGCCGGUGAUGGAGACAAACUUGAUGGAGUCCCCAACACAGCCUAUGGCUCGAAAGGCCCUCGCCUCUGGUAUGUCGUCUCUGUUGCCGAGGUACCUCUCGCACCCCACAGGAAGGUCUACGGAGCGGACGUUCACGGAAUGCUCGUCGGAGAGCAGAUCAGCGCAGUCACAGUACAUGCCACCGAGCAAGAGAUCCAUCCAGUAACCACGGACGGUGCGAGAACACCUCUUUGGCAACGAAGUCGCUUUUCUCCGCGAGCAGGUGGUCGGGGAACUCGGCACGCUUGGCUAUCUCCCACUGCAAGUCGGACGAGGACGGCGACACGAAGAGAACAGACUCCCGUCUAGAGCCUACGCCGCGGAUGGACCCCGGGAAGGCCAGGGCGUAGCAUGCGUCGCCGUCCCGGCGGCGCGCAACGAGGAGACGGGCUGUAAGGACGGUGGCGCGAGGGGGCGAGCUGGGCGGAGACGGGAUCAUGUGGAGCGAUCUGUCGAUCGCGUUGUAGAUGAGAUAGAUGUUGCGGGGGUAAACUUUGGGAAAGGACGUUAUCAUAAGAAUCAGGUUCUUGUCGACGGCAUGGAUGCAGGUGGACAACGGGGGGACGCCUCGGAGCGUCAGGCGGCACAGAUCCGGCACGCCGGCGAGGUAUGCCUCUAGCGCCAGGCCCCGCAUGAGCGCGUCGCAGUCGAGGUCCGCAGGGAACCCGAACGCCUCCUUGGCUGACAGCAGAUUCUUCUGGUUGCCGGCUGUUUCGUCGCCGGGGCGGGACGUGCUUACGAAGGGAUGCAAUAGCAACAGGGAGGGCGAGGGCGGAGUCAUGACUGUGCUUUCGUCGGCUGAUUUCCUAUGGCAUUGGUGCGUGUGUCGAGGCGGCGGCGGGGCGGACGAUGAAGACAUUGAGGAGCCAGAGGGUAGACGGGGGCAAGGGCAAAGGAUGUUGGAUUUGGAGUGCUAGAACAAAUCCACCAGGAGGCCGAUGUACGUACAAACAAAACUAUUAAAAGCAAGCAAGCUAGCAGCUUGAUUUGAUCAACAGCGCACGCUCAUCCAGCCGGAACCGCACGUAGGUACGCGACCUGUAGAAGGUAAGCUCGUAACUGGCCGGAUCAACUUCGGCUCUCUCGGCGGAACCGGAGAACAGAACGAAUGCGAGGGCACUGGGUCUGGAUGGAUGAUGGCAAAAGGGCAGAUGCUCGACACGUUCCUGUUGAUUUUCUUUCUAUUGAUCUCGCGUCACGGUACAAUGUUUACAAGGGGUACUACGUAGCUAUAUAUAACAGUUUAGGAGGCACCAUGAGCCCUAGGAGGUACUAGUCCUACUCCGACACACACAUGCACGUGUAAUUACAAGUACACCCAGGAGUACAAAGCCGUGCAACUAAAGAAAAGGAAUACUAAGCCGUGUUUAACUCUAACAAGGGACGACAGGCUAUAUUAAACUAGGUUUGGAAUAGACACGAAGGUCCCACGAGUCCUGACCCGAUUCCUUAGAAAGACACCAUCUAGACUAGACAAGGAACAAUCUCACCGGGGCGUACGUGCCUUCGUCCACGGUGCCACCGCGAGGCUCGUCGGUGUCUACCGUGAUCCAUGGCCCGAUGUCUUCACCGUCAUCCCCGAUCAACAGGAAGACGCCUUAUGGCCACUCCUGUGCAUCCGGUCGGAGUUCCCCGUCUGACCAUAGAUAACCCUGGCGCAUUCUGCUUCUUGAUGACACAAAGGAUGUUAGGCCAAUUUCAACGCGGUCACCCAUUUCGUUUGUGUGGUCCGUUUGAAUCCGUGAGGCCGAAAACCAUGGCCCAACGCGCUGAUCCAACCGCAAAUACUGUCCACACGAUUUUAGUUUGGACACAUUCUUGUCUUAAAUUUGUGUGUGUUUUGCAUUCACACGAACACGUCACCGAGAUGAUGCUAAAAACACGGCGUGACGAAAGCGGGGCGAAGCGAAUCUUAUUACAUAUUAACCUUGUGGGUAGAGAAAAAACACCUUAUGUCACAGAAUUUUAAAAGCAUUGUACAAAUUAAGACGAACAUAGUUGAUUUCCUUUCAAACCUAACGCACUGCAAUACUAUUCGAUACAACACCUAAUAAUAGAACUAUUUUAACAAAUUAUUGCAGCCAUACAGCAUGGCCUAGUUGUGGCCCGACCACUAAACAAAUACAUGGAAAAGGUACAUGACAUAAGAUGAUGAUACUUGCUAAUAAAUACCCCUUCGUCCCAUAAAAUAAGAGUGAUUUUUAUACUGCUGUAGUAUAAAAAGGCUCUUAUAUUAUUGGACGGAGGGAGUACUAGAGUACUUUGCAAACAAAAUCAAAACUAUAUCCAUAAUAAUACAAGCAUGAGAUUAAGGAUCUCAACAGCAAUCUCAUGGGACAAGUUGCAGUCAAACACAACAAUUUCUCACUCCAACAGUAGCAAAUAAACAGGGGAUUGACUUGAGCCAGAGAAACGCCUUGUUAACAGAAAUAGGCAAAUUAAAAAGAUAAUCAAAAUUCAUGAUUCCUGAUACUUGGUCCGACCCUUCCAUACUGCCCCUCCCUACCAAACCAAACCAAACCAAUUUAAAACUUAGGUGAACUGGAUGUAUUGUUGGUUAUCUUAAUAAAUAAGAUAAGAUAAGAUAGGUGAAACAUGAACAAUUUGAAAGUAUCAAGUAGUAAAUCACCUAACUAGUAACAUAACAUGGCUUCAGAAGUUGGCUUGGGUGGAAGUCCAAGCAAGCUUGGCCUCAGUAUUAACGGACAUAGAAAGAAGACAUCCAAUGUUGGCGUCCGUGAGAGAUAGAGGUGUGCAGCUAAAAGUCUUGCUGCUCAUAUCAACACGGACCCAAAAGCUUGGCGUGGAUGGAAAGCAUAACUCCGGGUACUGGUAGAUGUACUCAACCAGUGCAAAGUAUACGACACGGUCUUCCUGCAUGCUGAGAAAGGGGUACAUGGGUGCCAUGGAGGUCGGCAGGUGGUUCCCUUUGAAAGCCUCUUCACGCAGGCUCCCAAACUUGAGCUCGUAGUCUAACUCCCAACUCAUAUCUUCCUCGAGUCUCCAAACCCUCACCAUGCGGUCAUCCGCAAGAUCCACACGCUCAAGAAAGCCUGUGAUGGAUACAAACUUGAUGAAGUCCCCAACACAGCCCACGGCUCGAAAGGCCCUCGGCUGUGGUAUGCGUCUCUGUCGCCGAGGUACCUCUCGCACCCCACAGGCAGGUCUAGGGAGUGGACGUCCACGGAACGCUCGUCGGAGAGCAGAUCGGCGCAGUGACAGUACAUGCCACCGAGCAAGAGAUCCACCCAGUAACCACGGCCACGGUGCGAGAACACCUCUUUGGCGACGAAGUCGCUGUUCUCCGUGAGCAGGUGGUCGGGGAAAUUAGCGUGCUUAGCUAUCUCCCAUUGCGAGUCAGACGAGGAUGGCGACACGAAGAGAACAGGCUCCCGUCUAGGGCCUACGCGACGGACGGACCCCGGAAAGGCCAGGGCGUAGUACAUGCCGUCGUCCCGGCGGCGCGCGACGAGGAGACGGGCCGUAAGGAUGGUAGCGCGAGGGGGUGAGCUAGGCGAAGACGGGAUUAUGUGUAGUGAUCUGUAGGUCGCGUUGUAGAUGAGAUAGAUGUCCCGGGGGUAAACUUCGGGAAAGGACGUUAUCAUGAGAAUCAGGUUCCUGUCGACGGCAUGGAUGCAUGUGGACAGCGGGGGGACGCAUCGGAGGGUCAAGCGGCACAGAUCUGGCGCACCGGCGAGGUCUGCCUCUAGCGACAUGCCCCGCAUGAGCGCGUCGCAGUUGAGGUCCGCAGGGAACCCGAAGGCCUCCUUGGCUGACAGCAAAUUCUUGUGGUUAUCGGCUGUUUCGUCGCCGGGGCGGUACGAGCGUACCAAGGGAUGCAAUAGCAACAGGGAAGGCGAGGUCGGAGUCAUCAUGACUGACGUUUCGUCUGGUGAUCUCGUGUGUCGUGGGGGUGGCGGAGGCGGUGGGGAGGAUGACGAGGACAUUGAGGUGCCAGAGGCUAAGACGGGCGCAAGGACAAGGAGUAAUACGUAAGUAAAUCUAACGAAGGGGUAUCCACCGUUGGCUGUCUAUUUUAGGAUUCGUGAACGUUUUAUAUGGAAACUCUUCUCCGAUCUGACGUCUGAUAUAUUUCAAUCGUGAGACCGAUCCAAAAACGUCGAUUCUUCUUUCAUCGCAUGGCGCUGAGCUUCCACCAAAUCCCUGUUAGAACCGCCCUAAUACUACAACCUGUUAGCUGUUGCACAAUGCCCGUCCGACAAAAAAAAAGUCCCCCAAUCGUUCAUGGCAUAGCUCAUCUCUCCGGUCAACUGCGCCGCCCCAUUUUUCUCCCUUGUGCUCCCUCCAGCUCCAGCGCUCGCACGCCGCACGCGACGCAGCCCUGUUCCACACAACCGAUGUAUUGCCUCGGUUGGAGGCCGUGGUGGCCAGGGUGUACGGGACGGGUAUGCUCACCUGGUGGGGGAGAGGGUGGCGGUUUGGAGUACCAACAACGGCUGAAGUCUUCUAUGUCGAUUGUGUCUUAGCCGGCCAUUUUGUUUCAGCCACGUCAGAUCACAAGGGUGACUGUACGAAUCAGCGGCAAGUAUUUGCCCUAGGUUCACAUUCAUCUCUUUCCUUGUCUAUCUCGAAGUUCAAAUCUGUGCAAUGCAUCAAUAUUUCCCAUCCAUUAUAUCUUAUUUUAACAGACACUCGCUUGCUUUAGUUUUUCUAAAUUACUGAUCAAAUGUUUGUACACCUCGGAUUUAUGCACCCACAAGCAUUGUUAAUAUCUGAUUUAUAAUUUAUAUCCUUCUACAUGGUGCAUCCAAAUAGGACCAUGCUUCUUAGGGCAUCUCCAACGGCGACCUUUAAACCACCCGCAUACGUUUAGACCACGGAAGUUAUCUAACGUGAGCCUGUCUUGAUUCGUAGAGCGGUGUGUUUUCUCCCGCAAAUGCCGCACCGCAUUCAUGCCGGCCAGAGCAUACAGCGGCCGGCAUUGAUGCCCAUGAUUCAUAAACAUCAUGUUGAUAUGAGGGAAUGAUGCAGUUGGACUGAUUUACUUGACAUAGAGAGGUGAUUUGGGGAGGGGACCAGACAAGUGAUUCUUCCGUAGUGAAACUAAUUAGAUUGUGGUCGUUUCAAUAAAUGUAUUUGUUGCAUUCCAGAAUAGUGUUUGCUUUUAUUGUAGUCUUUGUUUCGUUUUUGUAUUUGGGCCUCAUGAUGUUGUUAUAAGGGAGAGACUUGAUUUUCCUGUCCUGGUUCUAAGCGGGUUGAAACCCACUUCAAUAACUGUAUUUGUUGCAUUCCAGAAUAGUGUUUGCUUUUAUUGUAGUCUUUGUUUCGUUUUUGUACUUGGGCCUCAUGAUGUUGUUAUAAGGGAGAGACUUGAUUUUCCUGUCCUGGUUCUAAGCGGGUUGAAAUCCAUGUCAAUGUAAACCCUUUUUUGGCACGGCCGUUAAGCUGGUGCGGACAACAUACAUACAUUCAGGCAAGAGACAUACAUUUGGGCAAACAUACAUUCAGGAGAGGGACAUAUAGUGGACAGGGACACUUGUCAAGUUGUAGUUGGUUGAAAAAAUGAUUGAAACCCAAUUGGUUUUCAUCCGACUGUGAAAUAGACAGUCCCUUCUUUUAAGUACCCUGCUGAUCUUGCGUGCAAAAUGAUUAAUUUUUUUAAGCUAAUGAGGCCUUUGGGGAGUCUGCAGGACCAACCGCAACAUGAUCUACUCAUCCAUAACCUGCAGAGCAAGUGCGGGCAGUUUCGCGUGAGGCCACGAGACUUGGGUCCGGAGGAUAAGGCAAUCUUCAACGUUACCACAAGCCUUUUGGUGUAUGAUCGAGUAGAGUACAAUGCUGCCUCGCUAAGCAAGUCUUUUGGUCAUUCGUGACCCUAUAUCACUCUUUUUCCUCUUCUUCCUGCUUCUCUUAGCUUCCGAACUGUAAUAGUUGCACUUGUAUUUGCUUUUGAAUCUUCCUAAGGGCCUCAUUUCAAGGCCGGGCAAAUAAACAUGGGAUUGACUUGAGCCAGAGAAACAUCUUGUUAAUAGAGAUAGGCAAAAUAAAAAGAUAAUCAAACUACAUGAUUCUUGAUAUUUGGUAUGAUGCUUCCAUAUUGCUCCUCCCUGCCAAACAAACCAAGUUAAAACUUACUGUAGAUGAACUGGAUGUAUUGUUGAUUAUCUUAAUAAAUAAGAUAAGAUAGGUAAAACAUGAAAAUUUUGGGAGCACCAACUAGUAAAAUCACCUAAGACAUGGCUUCAAAAGUUGUCAACUUCCUCUUGGUUGGAAGUCCAAGCAAGAUUGCCCUCAGCAUUGCCGGAGAUAGCAAGAAGACAACCAAUGCUGGCGUCCGUGAGAUAGAAAAGUGUGCAGUCAAAAGUCUUGGUGCUCAUAUCAACACGGACCCAAAAGCUUGGCGUGGAUGGAAAACAGAAAACCGGGUCCUGGUAGAUGUACUCACCCAGUGCGAAGUAGAUGAUACGGUCUUCCUGCAUGCUGAGGAAGGGGUACAUGGGUGCCAUGAGGGUCGGCAGGUGUUGGUUCCCUUUGAAAGAACCCUCUUCACGCAGACUCCCUAGCUUGAGCUCGUAGUCUAACUCCUAACCCAUAUCUUCCUUGAAUCUCCAAACCCUCACCAUGCGGUCAUCCGCAAGAUCCACACGCUCAAGAAAGCCGGUGAUGGAUACAAACUUGAUGGAGUACCCAACAAAGCCCAUGGCUCGAAAGGCUCUCGGCUGUGGUAUGUCGUCUCUGUCGCCGAGGUACCUCUUGCACCCCACAGGGAGGUCUAAGGAGAGUACUUCCACGGAACGCUCGCCGGAGACCAGAUCACCGCAGUCACAAUACAUGCCACCGAGCAAGAGAUCCACCCAUUAACCCACGGUGCGACACUACUAUGGAAAACCUUAUACACAACAUCUUAGCAGUAGCGUUGGACAAAAUCAUGCGCUAUCGCUACUUAGUAGCAGCGCGUGUAAAUAAAGCACGCUACUGCUAUAAUUUUAGCAGUAGCGCGUACUAGCAAAAAGCGAUGCUGCUAUGUUUGAAUUGGACACACAUGGCUAGCCCUACUUAGCAGUAGCGCGUAUCCUCGCCCAGUGCUACUGCUAUUCUCCUUAGUUGUAGCACUUUUCUCGAACCCGCACUACUACUAACCCUACCUUAUCCUCCCCACGCGACCGACCCUCUCACUCCCUCUCCCUCUCAGUCACUCUCGCCCGCGCCGAUACCCAUCGUCCGCCGCCGCCACUGUCGUCCGUGUGCCACCGAGGUACUCCCUCCAUCCCUCCUCCUCCCAUCACGCCCUCCUCCCUCCUCAUCCCACCGCUCCCUCCUCCCUCCGCCUCCGGCCGCCCCCUCCUCCCUCCUNNNNNNNNNNNNNNNNNNNNNNNNNNNNNNNNNNNNNNNNNNNNNNNNNNNNNNNNNNNNNNNNNNNNNNNNNNNNNNNNNNNNNNNNNNNNNNNNNNNNNNNNNNNNNNNNNNNNNNNNNNNNNNNNNNNNNNNNNNNNNNNNNNNNNNNNNNNNNNNNNNNNNNNNNNNNNNNNNNNNNNNNNNNNNNNNNNNNNNNNNNNNNNNNNNNNNNNNNNNNNNNNNNNNNNNNNNNNNNNNNNNNNNNNNNNNNNNNNNNNNNNNNNNNNNNNNNNNNNNNNNNNNNNNNNNNNNNNNNNNNNNNNNNNNNNNNNNNNNNNNNNNNNNNNNNNNNNNNNNNNNNNNNNNNNNNNNNNNNNNNNNNNNNNNNNNNNNNNNNNNNNNNNNNNNNNNNNNNNNNNNNNNNNNNNNNNNNNNNNNNNNNNNNNNNUACCUUGUCUCUGUUCUUGCAAAUUGUAGGUAAUUUAAAUGUGGAUUUUAGAAUGUAGACAAUGUAGAAUGUAGGUUUUUUAAUAGAAUAAUUUUUUUGACUAUUUUAGGUGUUUUGAAUAAAAUAGAAGUAAGAAAAAUUAGGGUAGAACUAGGGUAGUAGAUUUUUUAGCAAGUGUUUAAUAGAAAUAAUUUAUUUAGUAAGUGAUUAAUAUAACUAGUUUAUUUAUAUUAAGUGCUUAAUAGAACUAGUUUAUUUAGUAAGUGCUUAAUAGAACUAGUUUAUUUAUACUAAGUGCUUAAUAGAACUAGUUUAUUUAGUAAUUAGUUAAUAAAACUAGUUUAUUUAGUAAGUAGUUAUUAAAACUAGUUUAUUUAGUGUUAGGAUUAUAUAUAAGAUAUUUUGAAAUGUUUUUGUUCAUAUUUUGAACCAUUAAAAUGCAAUGACCAUCGAUAAGUGUGGGGACCCCGACUCAUAAGUCGUGAUCACCGAAUGCACGUGUAUAGUGAUCCCAGAGAUCAAUGCUCACUGAACACACAGAAGCUGAAUAACCAGAGUCUUACAUCCAUACAUACUGUCUUACAUAAAUUAUAACCAUUAUGGUCAAGUCUUGAGUAUAACAUUGCAGCGGAAAUCUUCGUCAAUAACUUGGACCCAUGCCAUCUGCCUUAACCCUAUAGGCAUUCUGACUGGGAAAGCAUCCUAGCUCGCACGAUCGUCACCAAAGAACUCUUCAAUAUAUCUUGUCUUUCAUGCCUGGCCAAUAAAAUAACCAGUGGCAAGCCAAUGAGUACUUUGAAUGUACUCGCAAGCAACCCAAGGGUGAUAACAGAAUAAUUUAUGCAAGGCACUACUACUAAAUUGGCAUUCUUGCGAAAAGCUAGUUUUUCUCAUGCAAGUAUGAUCAACAUUUAUCAAGGACAUGAAUGUGUCUACAACAAGCAUCAGGAGGUUACAGACAUUAUCAUCAAAAAGGAGUUGUGAACAACUCGUGCUCAAGCUCAUCGUGACUUCCUCACGAAUCACAUCAUCAUAUUUACCAAACCGUGUUGUUUGUCAGAAACAUAUGGACGUAUUCUAAGCAGCACCGCCCAACUGUCCUUGACCAUGGACACGGCUAUUCGAAUAGUUUUACACUCUGCAGAGGUUGCACACUUUACCCACAAGAUUCGGGGAACUUCCGUGUCAUCCACGACCCGCGGUACCUCAAGUACCCGGGGUAAGCACCCGAUCACUAUCUUUCCCUAGACUACACUAACAUGGAGUCCACUCGAUUGGUAGUAACCCCCCGUGCCUAACAUUUCACAUCUUAAGAUUGUGGAGCCUCGCUCCCAUAUUCAUCACAUACCACAAGCACGGGGUACCAACGGUGUGUCCGGUGCCCUGUGAAAACAGUCAUGACGCCCUACCUGGCACGACCCCGUCCCGAGAGAGCGCAACAACAACUCUCCCGUCACUAGUAAUGCGGACUCCAAGUUAGUAUCGGCCUAGGUAAUCAAUAAUGCCCUUUCCCAUAUAAGGGUAGAGUGGUUGCGCAUGUAAGGUUGGGACGGUCAACAAAUCUUAAAUCUAAUCCGUCUCUGUAAACAACACUUUUAUCAAACCUCGGUACACUACUUCUCCACCAAGUAGUGACCUAAUUCAUCAUCAUCUCCCAGGGGCAUCAGUGUCACCCACUGGGGCUGUUUGCAAGUAUGUCAAACCACACUUGUUUCUUUCCAUGCAUGACCCUGACCCACUUUGCGUAGCCAUCUACUAUAGCAUAUUUCUACAACCCACCAACACAACUCUAGCAAGGGUAGAGUCAUGAACAAUGCAAGUAUCAAUGGAGUAUGCAACGGAGGCAAGCUUAGCAAGGUUGCCAUUCAAGGUAUAUCAUGCUCAGUGAAGCAACGAAAAUGCUAUUAUGAUGUAAAAUGGUUCAUCAUGGUCAAAGGGCUGCUUGCCUGGUUCAUCAGAGUCUUCAAAUCUUCUGGUCCUUCUCCAAGUAUUUUGUCUACUUCGUCAACUAACGCUGGAAACAAUUAUAGUAAGCAACACAAUAAGGCAGAAAAUAAAAGUGCUCUAAAAAUAGUAAUUUGACUUUUCUAGGACAUCUCUUGUUAUAUGAAAAAUAACCAUAGUGGUUUCAUUGGAAUUGGGUGGGUGGAUAUUUCUAAACAUUUUGACAGGAUGUAAUCAAGGGGUUUAUGGAUGAGCAAAGACACCCUUUUAACAAAUCAUGAUUUUAGAAGCAUCUAGGAGUUGGUUUCACUGGAUUUGGAGUUCAAAUGAUUUCUCUAUGAAUUUGCAAAUUGGCUAUACGUGAAGAAAUAGACCAUUAUUUGAGGUGAUAUAGAAAGUAUUAGUAAAAAUGUUCAAAAACUAAGUUCUGAACUUAGAAGCAUCUAGGAAUUUGAAUCAUGGCAUUUGGAUCAAAUUUGAGCUCUCUAUGAUUUUCUAAAGUUCAUCACAGAAAUGGAAAAUGUGAUUUUAUUUAAUUAGUGUGAAGGAAGGUUUUCUGAAAAAAAUGUGCAUGUUGCACCAACAGGUAGAGCAUGAUUCAUGGAGUCCCUAGAAAUUUGAAUCGUCAAAUUUGGAGUUAAUUUGAAUUAUUUAUGGAUUUUACAAAUUGUACAAAAAAGAAAAAGGAAAAAGGGUUUUACCCAAACGGGCUGGAUCUUGGGCGGCAACAGCGUGCACUGGGCGAGGCUUAACGGCAGGGCGCCACUGGGCCGGCCCAGCAGCUCAGCCACGCGGACGAUAGGGCGACGUUGAAGGCGCCUUCGCGGAAUACGCUUCCACUUAAACGGACGGGCCCGCUUGCUGGGUCGCUGACGUGCGGGCCCCAACGGCAGGUCGUCUUCCACCUCCCGCGCGCGCUCUGGCCGCGGGGAGGAGCGGCUCCCACCGGCGAUUGCCGGGGCUACAGAGCGUCUCCGGCGACGCGCCGCCCACCGGCGGGCUCAGGGGGACACGCCGCACCCAUCCAUGUGCUUAACGCAUGCCGUGGAGGGCUGCAGCGGCGAUGGCUUGGGUGGCCGCGGAGGAGGCCGUUGGCGAGGUUUGGCACUGCGCGGCAGGCGCGGGGAGGAGGGAAUGGAGUGCGGGGUGAGUCGGUGGUGGUAGUGAGGGGGCACUGGAGUGGCUAAGGAGAGAGGAGAGGCUCGGGAUAGCCCGGAUUUAGGCGGAGCCCGAUGGCGGCGCUCCGGCCAUUGCGGUGAAUGGAAGACACGGGGAGAGGUGUGGGUUGGUCCAGGGGUGCACGAGAGGGAGAGAGAGCCAAAGGAGUAGAGAAGGGGCUCGGGGUGGCCUUAAAUAGCCGUCUCGUGGCUCACCGUGGACGCGGCGCACGGGGACCGUGGCAACGGCUCGGGCGGCCAGGGGAGAGAGCGAGGGGUUGUUUUCGGUGCUCGUGGGGUGGUGUUCCAGGAAGGGAGACCUCGUACCAUGGAUUCCCUCGUCCCAGUUUCACUGGAACCCAUGCAAAAUAGUAUGAGGUAGUACUCUGAUCCGUGGCUCUGGCCCUGUAGAGCUGGCCGGAUCAAGCACGGGGACGGGCUCGGUUUGGAGUUUGGUACCGUCGCGCGGCUGGUGACCGCGUACAAGUCCGCCUGCCCCGGCGCACUCGAAUCGCUGGACGUGUCUGCCCGCCUAGGCGACGAGCGAGUUUACGUGGCUGUUGUGUCCAAAGCGCAAGAUUCCAAAUGUCGUUAUACUGACGGUGGACCUGAUCAAGGAGGUUCUCGUACAACACUGAUUAGUUAUUCACUUGCGUCCUUGCUUUCUGUGAAAGGAAAAUCUUUCCUUUAGGUACUUAUAAAGAAGUAGCCAAAACUAGGAGAAUAAAUGAUUUAGCAAAAAAAAAGUGUUCAUUUAGUUACUGAUAGUCACUUGCAUACUGGAGUGAAGGGCAUAAAUAUCUGAAACGUGGUGCUAGUGAUCAUGGACACUUUGACAAAAAAAAGUGCUUUCGAUACUACAUAUUCAACCAGCUGCACACAAAUAUCCUCGCAGUGAUGUGGCAGGCUAGGGGGUGACGACUUACGUGGUGGAUGCGUCCAACACACAAGAUUCCAAAUAUCGGUAUACUAUUGUUAAUGUGCUCCUUCAUGUAAGAAGUUUUUGUGCAUCAGUGGUGUACAUAAAACUAUAACGAUUAAUUAUAAGUUUGGCAUUCGUCUUCAAUAUAUCCACAACUCCGGAAUGACACGGGCGAUAUCAUUUUUUCUUCUUGCAGAGAACUCCGGACGUGUUCGGAUCCUCUGGAAGCCAAGCUGCAGGCCUGCAUGGAGGGGCUCAACUUGGCACUUCAAUGGACCGCUUUGCCUAUUGAGAUGGAGACAGACUGCGUGGUUGCGGCACAUGCGAUACUAGUGCUGACGAGGGAUAGAUCUCGUUUUGCUUUGCUUGUCAAUCGGGUUAGGCUUUUGAUGCUAGGAGGAAGGGAGGUUAAGCUAGUUCAUAUCCGUAGAGAACAGAACGGUGUGAGUCAUUAUCUUGCAAACUUUGGUAGAGUUCAUAAAUGUAUGGUUGUUGGGAUCUGGACCGGAUGAGGUACCAGACUUAUGUAAUGCCGAGGCACUUUAUGUGUGAGAAAUAAAAUUUCUUUCACCCGCAAAAAAAUAUAUAUAUAUCCACAACUACGUAGUAUCAUCUUUGCUUUCUUGCGCAGGGUUUAGCUGUUUAACUAAGUGAUACUACUGCUUUUUUUGAAAAGGGGGGAUUCCUCGGCCUCUGCAUCAAAACGAUGCAUACGACCACAUUUAUAAAUAAAUAAAGUAGUUCAAUAAUGUCUUGCAAAGUGCUGCAACAAAGGAUGCUGGCUCACAAAGAGCUAGCAAAGUAAAACAAGGCUCAAAAGCCACAACCGGCUGGCAUAAUAAAGAGAGAUAGGUAAACUAAGUGUCUAUCCUAUUACAUGAUCGCCAUCCAAACCGGUUGAAGAUAUCCCGCGCUACCAUCUCCCAUCGGACAGAUCCAGUAACCAAACGCGCCCUGGCCUCCGUCGGAGUGAGUAAUGACCACGUACGGAUUAGAGCAGUAGACCGGAAUAAAACCUGCAAAAAAUGAAUAGUUGUUGUUCUGUUAAAAGCCAAGUCAUUUCUGCAGUUUCAAAUUUCCCAUAACAACGCACAUGCUCCCACUCGAAUUUGUCUAGCUGUUUCGGCCUCUAUACCAACCAGCCACGUUCCAAAAAACGACCUGACCGAAUUCGGAGGAGUAAUGUUAAAGGCAAUUUGCACCGAGCGCCACCACACCCUCGCCAUCGGGCAAUCAAAGAAAAGAUGCUUGAUAGUUUCAUCCCGAUCACAGAAACUACACCUAGUAGAUCCUGUCCAGUUGCGCUUAAUCAAAUUAGCUUUCGUUAGAACGACUUGUUUAUGCACAAACCACAUAAACACUUUGAUUUUCAGAGGAACCUUAACUUUCCAAACGUGUUUGGAACUAGAAAUAACACUAGAGUUGAUGACAUCAAUGUACAUCGACUUGUCUGUGAAUUCACCAGAUUUAGUAAGCUUCCAACACAACUGAUCAGGCUGAUGAGUAAGCUGAACCUCCAUGAGUCUACUCACCAGAUGAAUCCAAGCCUCCCACCGAUCACCCACAAGCACCCUCCUAAAUUGGAUGUUAAGAGGAGCAGAUUGCAAACUCGUUGCAACCAGAGCAUCCCGUCGCUGCACAAUGCGAUAAAGCGCCGGAUACUGGAGUGCUAGCGGUGCAUCACCUAGCCAAGUAUCUGUUGGGGAACGUUGCAAAAAAUAAAAAAUUUCCUACGGUUUCACCAAGAUCCAUCUAUGAGUUCAUCUAAGCAACGAGCGCAAGGAGAGAUGCAUCUACAUACCACUUUGUAGAUCGCAAGCGGAAGCGUUCAAAAGAACGGGGUUGAAGUAGUCGUUCUCGUCGUGAUCCUAUCACCGGAGAUCCUAGCGCCGAACGGACGGCACCUCCGCGUUCAACACGUACGGUCAGCGUGACGUCUCCUCCGUCUUGAUCCAGCAAGGGGGAGGAGAGGUUGAUGAUGAUCCAGCAGCACGACGGCGUGGUGGUGGAUGCAGCAGAACUCUGGCAGGGCUUCGCCAAGCUGCUGCAGGAGGAGGACGAGGUGUAGCAGGGGAGGGAGGCGCCAAGACACAAGGGUGCGGCUGCCCUCCCCCCUGCCCUCCUUUAUAUAGGCCCCCAGGGGGGGCGCCGACCCUGGGAGAUGCAAUCUCCCAAGGGGGCGGCGGCCAGGGGGGUGGAGUGCCCCCCCAAGGCAAGUGGUGCGCCCCCCCCCCCUACCUAGGGUUUCCAACCCUAGGCGCGGGGGGCCCAAGGGGGGGCGCAGCAGCCCACUAGGGGCUGGUUCCCCUCCCACUUCAGCCCACGGGCCCCUUCGGGAUAGGUGGCCCCACCCGGUGGACCCCCGGGACCCUUCCAGUGGUCCCGGUACAAUACCGGGUGACCCCGAAACUUUCCCGAUGGCCGAAAUAGCACUUCCUAUAUAGUUCUCUUUACCUCCGAGCCAUUACGGAACUCCUCGUGACGUCCGGGAUCUCAUCCGGGACUCCGAACAACAUUCGGUUUGCUGCAUACUCAUAUUCAUACAACCCUAGCGUCACCGAACCUUAAGUGUGUAGACCCUACGGGUUCGGGAGACAUGUAGACAUGACCGAGACGGCUCUCCGGUCAAUAACCAACAGCGGGAUCUGGAUACCCAUGUUGGCUCCCACAUACUCCUCGAUGAUCUCAUCGGAUGAACCACGAUGUCGAGGAUUCAAGCAACCUCGUAUACUAUUCCCUUUGUCAGACGGUAUGUUACUUGCCCGAGACUCGAUGGUCGGUGUCCCAAUACCUCGUUCAGUCUCGCUACAGGCAAGUCACUUUACUCAUACCGUAAUGCAUGAUCCUGUGACCAGACACUUGGUCACUUUGAGCUCAUUAUGAUGAUGCACUACCGAGUGGGCCCAGUGAUACCUCUCCGUAAUACGGAGUGACAAAUCUCAGUCUCGAUCCAUGUCAACCCUACAGACACUUUCGGAGAUACCUGUAAUGCACCUUUAUAGUCACCCAGUUACGUUGUGACGUUUGGUACACCCAAAGCACUCUUACGGUAUCCGGGAGUUACACGAUCUCAUGGUCUAAGGAAAAUAUACUUGACAUUAGAAAAGCUCUAGCAAAACGAACUACACGAUCUUGUGCUAUGCUUAGGAUUGGGUCUUGUCCAUCACAUCAUUCUCCUAAUGAUGUGAUCCCGUUGUCAACGACAUCUAAUGUCCAUAGUCAGGAAACCAUGACUAUCUGUUGACCAACGAGCUAGUCAACUAGAGGCUUGCUAGGGACAUAUUAUGGUCUAUGUAUUCACACGUGUAUUACGAUUUCCGGAUAAUACAAUUAUAGCAUGAAUAAAGACAAUUAUCAUGAACAAGGAAAUAUAAUAAUAAUCCUUUUAUUAUUGCCUCUAGGGCAUAUUUCCAACAGUCUCCCACUUGCACUAGAGUCAAUAAUCUAGUUACAUUGUGAUGAAUCGAACACCCAUAGAGUUCUGGUGUUGAUCAUGUUUUGCUCGCGAGAGAGGUUUAGUCAACGGAUCUGCGACAUUCAGAUCCGUAUGUACUUUGCAAAUAUCUAUGUCUCCAUCUUGAACAUUUUCAUGGAUGGAGUUGAAACGACGCUUGAUGUGCCUGCUCUUCUUGUGAGACCUGGGCUCCUUGGCAAGGGCAAUAGCUCCAGUGUUGUCACAGAAGAGUUUGAUCGGCCCCGACGCAUUGGGUAUGACUCCUAGGUUGGUGAUGAACUCCGUCACCCAAAUAGCUUCAUGCGCUGGCUCUGAGGCUGCCAUGUACUCCGCUUCACAUGUAGAUCCCGCCACGACGCUCUGCUUGCAGCUGCACCAGCUUACUGCUCCACCAUUCAACAUAUACACGUAUCCGGUUUGUGACUUAGAGUCAUCCAGAUCUGUGUCGAAGCUAGCGUCAACGUAACCCUUUACCGCGAGCUCUUCGUCACCUCCAUAAACGAGAAACAUGUCCUUUGUCCUUUUUAGGUACUUUAGGAUAUUCUUGACCGUUGUCCAGUGUUCCUUGCCGGGAUUACUUUGGUAUCUUCCUACCAAACUUACGGCAAGGUUUACAUCAGAUCUGGUACACAGCAUGGCAUACAUAAUAGAUCCUCACUACAACAAAACAGACUUUAAGUAACACAAUCAUGUAACAGAUUGAAAAAUGUGUGACAAGGGAAAUUACAGUAACACAACAUUUUGUGUCGAACGACAGGCAGUAAAACAUACUAUAUAAGGCCUCAAAAUGUGUUACCGGGAUAUUGUAAUAGUAACAUGUAAAUAUGUGUUGGUCAAGUGUGUUACAUAGAUCUUGACGUGGUAACAUAUGAAUAUGUGUUACCGAAAUGUGUUAUGUAGUUCAACAAUGGUAGUAACACAUAAUCAUGGUUGAUACAUAGUGUUACAAGCUCUAUUAUAGGGGGAGGGGGGGACUAGAAAACUAAAAUCAAGUGCAUGCAUAGAUCACAAAUACCUUGACACAUAGGGCCCAUGUGUCAACGAUAAUACGUUCUUGUUUUGAUAAAUAGUAUUUUCAUUCUUUGGUAAUAUGGUACGAAAAAGAAUACAUUUUGGUUGGUAAAUACCAAACUAUUUUCGGUCUGGUUGCAUUGAAUAUCAUAUUAACUAUAUUUGUACAUGAAUUUUAGGAUAACUCAACAACCAUAAAUGUGAAAUGCAAACUUUAAAAUGAUCAUAUGAAAUUAAGUAUUUGACGUGAAUACUCACAAAGGAGUGGAAGACCAACAGCGAACGAGAGCUUAAAUUUGAAGAUAGUUUUAAGAACCGGACUGGUGGUUCGACUGGAGAAAAGGGAACCAAGGCCUCGUUCGGUUAAGGUGCGUUGGUCCUAUAGGUCUUUAGCAUGAAAAAUUCCCGACUGUCUACUACAACAAGUUGUGCCCGACUCCGGCGAGGGAGGAGCGAUGACAGCGGCACGCCUUUGGCUCGCUUCAGUGCUUGUAAUCAUCGCUAGGUGGUCUCUGAAUCUAGAUGUAAUUUUUUAUUUCUGGUGUCCUUUGUAUUGCCAUGAUUGAAGUUGAAUAGAUUUAACAGUUUCUCGCGAAAAAAAGAUCAAGGGGAGCCACACUUUCACAGAGAGAGAUAAGGGCAAGAGCAAGAAGGGAAUGUCACGCGACCAAGGCUACUUUGCUACUGUUUUUCUUGAACACCUCAACCUCUGCUUCUCUUCUUUGAGCGCCUCUGCUGUAGUGCGUCCCCAUGGCUCCUCUGCUGUAGUGCGUCCCCAUGGCUCCUCUACUACUGGCCAUUGCAUCAGCAGUUCAAAUGCAUAUCAUCAAUAGUUAGGCACCCGAUCUGAGCGGCAAGAUGGCUAGCAACCAGCUGCAAGUGUAAGCAACAGGCACAACAGCUAGCACCUAGCUGCAAGUGGAAGCAAAAGAAGUAACACGUGCAAUGGUUGGUUCACAACAACAAAGAAAAUAUUGAAUCAGGUUUUGACAGCAAACAAGCAUCCCACAUAAAUUAGAACGCCAAUUUCAAACAGACGUAAACUAAGUUUACAAGAUGGUAAAUCUGACAUAAUACUUCUUCAACAAAAGUGUAUCUAUUUCCAAUGACAAUAUGUCGUACAAUUUUCUGAAUUUUUCCAAGCUUCAUGUUUGAGGAGCAAAUACUAUGCAAACAUAUAAAAGCCCGCUAAAAGAACACAUUGCUUCAUCCACCAGUUUAGAACAAUCCUUGUAAUCUUAACUUGCAAAAAUUUCUGAAAAAGAAGAUUCACUGAAGCGCAUGAGAAAAAGUUCAUAACAAAUCAACAAGAGUCAAGUUAAAUUCAAUGCAUAUAGGGAUCCACAAUGGCAGCAUCUAUGGAAAAUAGGACGAGAAACUGAAAAGCAAUAAAGAAAAAGAAAAAUUGGGUUUAUAUGUUGAGUGAAAGACCUCAUUCCUUCGAAUUUUUUGAAGGGUGUAAGCUCAGCCAACGAUCUGCAAGAACAUACAAUGGUUAUUAAUGUCCUGCAAACUCAGCUUUGACUUUAGCUAAAACUACAAUGUAUAUAUAAUCAAGAAAAUGUUGGUUGAACAGAGAAAUACCUUUAUAUGAUGUACCAUCACCGUUCUUCAUCGAUCAAAGAAUUAUCAUUAGCAUCCACAAUUGUUCCCUCAAUAUCAGACCUUACCCAUAUCAGACCUUACCCAAUGUUGAUCUUUCCUUUUUGUUUUAAACAUAUCCGUGAGGUGAGAAACAUGGAAUGGCUCAGCUUCUACAUCUCGUGUGCAUUCAUCAUUUCCAGUGUCAUAUCAAUCUCUAGGUAGUUUAUUCUGCAUCACCACUGACCAACCUGGGUUCAGUUCGUCUUCUAGGUAAAACACUUGAUCGGCUUGGUUAGGCAAAAUAAAAGGCUCAUGCUCAAUCUUGUCUCCUUUGUGCAUCAAAUGUGAGAAGUUAAUAAGUGUGUAGCCAUACUUGUCCUUUUUAAUUCCUUUUUCAGAAAUAUCAACCCAUUCACACUUAAAUAAAUCCACCAAAAAUUGUCCAGAGUAGUUCAACUAAAUAAUAUCAAUUAUCCUGCCAUAGUAAGUCACAUCACCUAAAACAGGGGUCGCAUCACCUGGUGCAGCAUAUGUAGAUGUUUUGGCAUGUACCACCACUCCACUAUUUUGACUCACCCUGUCUAACCGUUUAGGCCUAAACCGAUAUCCUCUGGAGUUGUAAGCGCGGUACCUUUUUGCUGCAUCUACUGGGCCAUGUGCUAGCCAUCUAAUAUCAUUAUUAAUACUACCAAUACCAUUUUCCUUCUCCAAUUUAAUUAUCUGUAGAUUAAGAAGUUGUUUAGUAAAUGGCUUCAGUUGUACAUACAAAGAAUAUGAAAUACAGACUUACAUGAGCUUUGAACCAGUCAUUGAACUUAUCAUGUUGGAUGGACUCGACCAUGUUUGAGACACCACGCUCGCUAGUGAUCUCAUCGGCGUGAGCUCUACAAAGUAAUUUUAUAAUUAGUUUUGAAGUCAGAGAAAGAGUUGUGAAAACAUGUCAAAAAAACUGAUAUUAUUUAGAGGAUUGAGGUACUACCGAAGGAAUGGGUUGACAUCUGAGCAGUUGAACAACACAUAUCUAUGUGCUUGGAAUUUAGUCAUCCCUCUAAGAACAUAAUUGCCAGGCUUUCCAAGUGGUUUUCCUACCGAAGGAAACAGAGUUGAUCCUUGUUCAACAUCAACCGCCUCAUCGUCAUCGUCAUUCCUUGAAGGCCGAUUAUGCUUGGUGGCGAAACCAUCAAUAUAUCUUGAACAAAACGUCAUGCACUCGUCUGCAAGAUGUGCUUCAGCGAUAGAUCCUUCUGGAUGUGCUCUAUUACGCACAUAUGACUUCAGGACACAGAGAUACCUGCAUAAAUAAAAAAUGAAAAAAGAAGACAAAAAUUGUUAAUGAAUGUAGUACAGUAAUAAUUAGAAAAUAUAUAUGUCUCAUUUUUGACAAAAUACCUUUCCAGAAACCACAUUGAACGGUAGGCCACAGGGCCACCUAUUUUUGCCUCUGUUGCUAGAUGAAGAACCAAAUGCACCAUAACAGUAAAAAAUCCGGGCGGAAAUAUCAUCUCCAUACGGCAUAAUGUUAUCUCUAUACGGAACAUGCCAAAGGGGCAGAGAAUAGUUGUGAAAUGCAAUGAAGAUAGCCAGCCUAUAGGAGAUGAAGGUGCAAUCUUGGGGAAGUUUCUGGGCCCGAUUGCUAGAAAUGGAGGAUUUUGCCCACUAAACAUAAAUGAUUGGCGUCAUGUCAAAAAGAAUAGUGGUGAGGAAACAAUAUUGUAGUGCGUACAGGUACUUCACAAUUAACAAGAAAACAAAAUAUGUUAUUUGCUGCCCUUCUAUUUAUAUCUAAUUUAUGUACAUGAGAUGUAGUGUGGUCUGCAUGUCUAUUUACAUCUAUUCAUUAUUUUGUACUUUCAGACAAAGUUCGUGUAUCCUCGAUCAUGUGAAAAAUGGAUACUCAAAUCAAUUGGAAGAGACUGGAGGAAAUUUAAGUCUAGUUUGAAAGAUGCUUUCUUCAAACCCGCCAUUGAAAAAAAUCCAAACAUCAAGCGAAAGGCUUUGUAUAAGCUCUGUCCAGAAGAUGUGGACAACGAUCAAUGGCGUGGGCUUGUUAAAUAUUGGAAGUCCAAAAAAGGAAGGGUAAUGAAUGAGAUACUGUACUUUCAUGUUUUGACAUUUAAAUGUGAGUUCUCGGGCUUAUCUUAAAAGUUGCAUUUACAAUAUGAUUACAUCAUAACAUGCCCUUGUUGAGAAGAACAUAAUUAGUCGUUCCCUCGUGAAGGAUUCACAUAAUGCUGGCACAAAGAGUUAUGCUUGUUGGGGUGAAGACAUGGUGAGUAAUCUUGAUUCCUGAAGUGUUUUCCUGUGUCUCUUUUGUCAUAUGGGUGUUGUUUCUGUUUUGUAGAGGCAAGCUGAUCCUGAAAAGAAACGACCACACAGAUCAAAGGAUUAUUUAGCAACUCACAAGAAGAAGGACGAUGCUGAUGCUAAAAAUAAAGAUAGAAAUAAGCGCCUGGUAGGCAAUUAAUAUAGAAAUUGUAUAAUUGUUCUCGGGAUCAAGUUAUGGUUCAAUCUAACUAGUGUAUGCAUGAUUCUUUGCUUAUAGGAUCGAUUGGAGAAUCUAAUAACCGAACGACCAGAGUUGGCACAAAAUUUGAAUGGAAGAGUCGCAUGGGAAGGUGAUGCCCUGCAGGAAGUGUUAGGGAAAGAAAAGAUUGGACAAGUGCAUGGCAUGGGUUUGCUUCCAACUCCUAAGCAAGUCUACGGUCGGACGCCACGGUAUCUAAAGAACAUCAAUAUGACUAGAACUGAUGGAUCACCAUAUGAAGUUGAACAUGACGUUUGGGAGGUAAUAGCAAAGAUGCAGGAGCAUAUAAAAAAGCAAGACCAGAUUAUUAAAGAUAUGAAUAACAAAGAAGGUUAUGUCAAUAAUGGCAUAGAAGAGGUAAAGGACUUCUUUAUCCCACCCUUUGCAUGCAGUUCUAUCAAUAGUUUACUUAGAUUUGUUAGUUCUGUAGGAAAACCUCCAAUCAAAUGAUAAUGGUAUUUCUCGCUCACCAGUGCUGCUUGGUAAAACAAAGGUAAUGUUAAUAAAUGCCUAUAUCAUUGCUUGUCACUUGAAACCUUCAUAUUAAUAUUUCAGUUUGCAGAGAAUCCAGUGCAAUGGACCCGUUGAGGCAUGCUCGUCUAUGCAACAUGACAUUCCUGAGGAUAAUAAUUUAUCACGUUCGCAUGAAAAGGUUAUGCAUGUAGUUACUCUUACUCAUGUCACAAAGAUAGAAUAUAAAAUAAUUUCUUGCUCACCAUUGUUGUGUCAUGGAACUAUGUUGGCAACCAUGAUGUCAACCAAUUACAAAUUCAACAAAAUUCAUCAUCACCACAAGACCUUGUUAUUGAUUCUGUGCUAGAGGUAAUUUUCGUGCCUUUUGAGUUUUGAAGUUGUAGCUUUCUGUAGCUUCAAGGUAUGAAUAUCAUUCCAUCUAAUAUUAUUGUAUCUUGGUAGGUGAUGGAAACGAGGAAUAUUACGGGUGAAUCUGUUUCAAGACCGAACCAACAAAGGACUAGAACUGAACACCCACACCGCUCAAAAAGAAGGCGUUCUUCUUCCAUCAAGGUAAAGAUUUACCAAGUAGCAUGGUUUACUGCACCCAAAUUACCAACCCAAACCCUCAUUAUCAUGCCUGCUUGAAAAAUGGAUUUUUUUACAAUUUUUGCUCAAUCUGCUGUAUGCAAGUAACGAUAAAUUUAACCAAGCAUGAGCUAGCGAGGUGACCUUGGGCAUUAGACUUCGUUGCCUGGUCCAGUUUAUUUAGUUUCUUAGGGCACCUUACUGGGUUGAUAUUAAAAAGAUCUCAUAUUAUUCAUGCAAAUUAUAUUAUCAUGUCAUAGAAUGCUAAUAUUGAUCAUAAUAUAGGUUGCUUCCAAAGUAGUCUUAAAGACUUCAACAUAUCCCAACAAGCGGAAUGUUGCGUAUGGUACUAUUCGGAGUACUGAUCCAAGAACUAAGGCUGGUGGUAUUGAGUUAGGUGCUGAAUUUGCUCUUGUGCGCAUAGACGAACCUAUUCUUGAUAAUGAGGAGUUGGUAAGGGAAGUUUCUGAUUGCAAGACAAUUGGCGAGGCUUUCACUUCAGGAUACUUAGUUGCCUGGCCUUCAGCUUUUGUAUGUUACAAUCUUCCCUUCCACAUUCUGAAAUCAUAUUUGUGUACAUUUAAUCACACAUAUCUAAGGUGCAAUUUUCUUCUACAGAUUCGAGAGAAGGAUGGUUGAUUUGCAGCUGAAUUCUUGGAUCAAGAAGCAAAUAAAAUUUGAAGAUUUGAGCUACCAAUAGUUGUAGUUUACAUUGAUAGAUUUAAAAGUGUAAUAUCAUCCAGAAGAUCUUUUUCUUUCAUCGAAUUGAUGCAAAUGCGACAGUGUAAUAUUCCCCAUAGUUGUGUUUUCUAUCCUCAAAUUAUAUGACUGAUAUCUUUAUUGUAAUGCAUAUGUAUCAUACACUCUUCUAUAUUCGUAAUAAAUAUCUUCGUACGAAUUUUUGUAUGUGUUCUGCUUUAGUUUAAAUAAAUAUCAUUUUGAUAUGCUGCCAAGCAUAAAAUGAUUAACAAUUUAUGCAAUUGCAUUGAUUUUAUUAAAGAAAUUUAUACUCCAUAAAAUGGGUAUCCAAUUUUGUGGUUACUAAUAAAAAACAAAUACAUUAAUUAUGUUACCAUAUUGAUAUAGUAGUGUUACUGAUGAUGUUACUAUAGCUACAAAAUUUGUUACUAGAGUAGUUGACAACUAUAAUUAUAGUGUUACAAUACAUGGAUAUUAUGUUACUAGUUGUGUUCCGAUGCUAAAAAAUGUGUUACCAGUUGUGUUACGAUAGUUACAGAAACAUGUUACCACCGAUGUUCUAUGUCUAUCAAAAUAUGUUACUACGGUGUUACUAUAAUUACAAAAGUGUGUCACCGGUGUGUUCGGUAACACAUAACACACGUGUUACUAUAAUGCAAAUGUAACACAUUUUUUAACAUAUGGUAACAAUUAUUAUGUGUGACAGUUGACACCACUUAGUAACACGGUCUAAUGGAACACAUUUGAAACUGUGUUACUAUAUGGCCUAGUAACACACUUUUGGACCUGUAGUAACACAAGACGGUGUUACCAAAGGUCUGUCCUCUUGUAGUGCCUAUGGCUGAAGCAUAGGGGAUGACACUCAUCUCUUCUUUAUCUUUUGACGUGGUCGGGCAUUGAGCUGAGCUCAAUCUCACACCUUGCAAUACAGGCAAGAACCCUUUCUUGGACUGAUCCAUUUUGAACUUCUUCAAAAUCUUAUCAAGGUAUGUGCUUUGUGAAAGACCUAUGAGGCGUCUCGAUCUAUCCCUAUAGAUACUGAUGCCUAAUAUGUAAGCAGCUUCUCCAAGGUCCUUCAUUGAAAAACACUUAUUCAAGUAGGCCUUAAUGCUGUCCAAAAGUUCUAUAUCAUUUCCCAUCAAGAGUAUGUCAUCUACAUAUAAUAUGAGAAAUGCCAUAGAGCUCCCACUCACUUUCUUGUAAACGCAGGCUUCUCCAUAAGUCUGCAUAAACCCAAACCUUUGAUCAUCUCAUCAAAACGAAUGUUCCAACUCUGAGAUGCUUGCACCAGCCCAUAAAUGGAUCGCUGGAGCUUGCAUACUUUGUUAGCAUUCUUAGGAUCGACAAAACCCUCCGUCUGCAUCAUAUACAGUUCUUCCUUAAGAUGCCCGUUAAGGAAUGCCGUUUUGACGUCCAUCUGCCAUUUCUCAUAAUCAUAGUAUGCGGCAAUUGCUAACAUGAUUCGGACGGACUUCAGCUUCGCUACGGGAGAGAAAGUCUCAUCGUAGUCAACCCAUUGAACUUGUCGAUAACCCUUAGCGAUUAGUCGAGCUUUAUAAAUGGUAAUAUUACCAUCCGCGUCCGUCUUCUUCUUAAAGAUCCAUUUGUUUUCUAUCGCUCGCCGAUCAUCGGGCAAGCCUGUUAAAGUCCAUACUUUGUUUUCAUACAUGGAUUCUAUCUCGGAUUCCAUGGCUUCAAGCCAUUUGUUGGAAUCUGGGCCCGCCAUCGCUUCUUCAUAGUUCAAAGGUUCACCGUUGUCUAACAACAUGAUUUCCAUGAUAGGGUUGCCAUACCACUCUGGUGUGGAACGUGUCCUUGUGGACCUACGAGGUUCAGUAGCAACUUGAUCCGAAGUACCUUGAUCAUCAUCUUUAGCUUCCUCUCUAUCCGGUGCAGGCACCACAAGAACAUUUUCCUGAGCUGCACUACUUUCCGGUUCAAGAGGCAGUCCUUCAUCGAGUUCUACUUUCCUCCCACUUACUUCUUUCGAGAGAAACUCUUUCUCCAGAAAGAACCCGUUCUUGGCAACAAAGGUCUUGCCCUUGGAUCUUAAGUAGAAGGUAUACCCAAUGGUUUCCUUAGGGUAUCCUAUGAAGACACAUUUUUCUGACUUGGGUUCGAGCUUUUCAGGUUGUAAUUUCUUGACAUAAGCAUCGCAUCCCCAAACUUUUAGAAACGACAGCUUAGGUUUCUUCCCAAACCAUAAUUCAUACGGUGUCGUCUCAACGGAGUUAGACGGUGCCCUAUUUAAAGUGAAUGUAGUUGUCUCUAGAGCGUAUCCCCAAAAUGAUAGCGGUAAAUCGGUAAGAGACAUCAUAGACCGCACCAUAUCCAAUAGAGUGCGAUUACGACGUUCGGACACACCAUUACGCUGAGGUGUUCCAGGCGGCGUGAGUUGUGAAACGAUUCCACAUUUCCUUAAGUGUGUACCAAAUUCGUGACUUAAGUAUUCUCCUCCACGAUCUGAUCGUAGGAACUUUAUCUUUCGGUCACGUUGAUUCUCUACCUCAUUCUGAAAUUCCUUGAACUUUUCAAAGGUCUCAGACUUGUGUUUCAUCAAGUAGACAUACCCAUAUCUACUCAAGUCAUUAGUGAGAGUGAGAACAUAAUGAUAUCCUCCGCGUGCCUCAACGCUCAUUGGACCGCACACAUCGGUAUGUAUGAUUUCCAAUAAGUUGGUUGCUCGCUCCAUUGUUCCGGAGAACGGAGUCUUGGUCAUUUUGCCCAUGAGGCAUGGUUCGCAUGUGUCAAAUGAUUCAUAAUCAAGAGACUCUAAAAGUCCAUCAGCAUGGAGUUUCUUCAUGCGCUUGAUACCAAUGUGACCAAGGUGGCAGUGCCACAAGUAUGUGGGACUAUCAUUAUCAACAUUACAUAUUUUGGUAUUCACGCUAUGAAUAUGUGUAACAUUACGUUCGAGAUUCAUUAAGAAUAAACCAUUGACCAUCGGGGCAUGACCAUAAAACAUAUCUCUCAUAUAAAUAGAACAACCAUUAUUCUCGGAUUUAAAUGAGUAGCCAUCUCGUAUUAAACGAGAUUCAGAUACAAUGUUCGUGCUCAAACUUGGCACUAAAUAACAAUUAUUGAGGUUCAUAACUAAUCCCGUGGGUAAAUGUAGAGGUACCGUGCCGACGGCGAUCACAUCGACCUUGGAACCAUUCCCGACGCGCAUCGUCACCUCGUCCUUCGCCAGUCUCCGCUUAUUCCGCAGCUCCUGCUGUGAGUUACAUAUAUGAGCAACGGCACCGGUAUCAAAUACCCAGGAGUUACUACGAGUACUGGUAAGGUACACAUCAAUUACAUGUAUAUCAAAUAUACCUUUAGUGUUGCCGGCCUUCUUGUCCGCUAAGUAUUUGGGGCAGUUCGGCUUCCAGUGACCCUUCCCCUUGCAAUAAAAGCACUCAGUCUCAGGCUUGGGGCCAUUCUUUGACUUCUUCCCGGCAACUGGCUUACCGGGCGCGGCAACAUCUUUGCCGUCCUUCUUGAAGUUCUUCUUACCCUUGCCCUUCUUGAACUUAGUGGUCUUAUUGACCAUCAACACUUGAUGUUCUUUCUUGAUUUCAACCUCUGCUGACUUCGGCAUUGAAAAUACUUCAGGAAUGGUCUUCACCAUCCCCUGCAUAUUGUAGUUCAACACAAAGCUCUUGUAGCUCGGUGAGAGCGACUGAAGGAUUCUGUCAAUGACCGCCUCGUCCGGGAGGUUGAUCUCCAGCUGGGACAGGCGGUUGUGCAACCCAGACAUUUUGAGUAUGUGCUCACUGAUAGAACUGUUUUCCUCCAUCUUACAACUAUAGAACUUGUCGGAGACUUCAUAUCUCUCGACCCGGGCAUGAGCUUGAAAAACCAUUUUCAGCUCCUCGAACAUCUCAUAUGCUCCGUGUUUCUCAAAACGCUUUUGGAGCCCCGGUUCUAAGCUGUAAAGCAUGUCGCACUGAACGAGGGAGUAAUCAUCAGCACGUGACUGCCAAACGUUCAUAACGUCUUGGUUCUCUGGGAUGGGUGCUUCACCUAGCGGUUCAUCUAGGACAUAUGCUUUCUUGGCUGCUAUGAGGAUGAUCCUCAGGUUCCGGACCCAGUCCGAAUAGUUGUUGUCAUCAUCUUUCAGCUUGGUUUUCUCUAGGAACGCGUUGAAGUUCAUGUUGACAUGAGCGUUGGCCAUUUGAUCUACAAGACAUAUUUUGCAAAAGUUUUAGACUAAGUUCAUGAUAAUUAAGUUCAUCUAAUCAAAUUAUUUAAUGAACUCCCACUCAGAUUUGACAUCCCUCUAGUCAUCUAAGUGUUACACGAUCCGAGUCGACUAGGCCGUGUCCGAUCAUCACGUGAGACGGACUAGUCAUCAUCGGUGAACAUCUCCAUGUUGAUCGUAUCUUCCAUACGACUCAUGUUCGACCUUUCGGUCUCUUGUGUUCCGAGGCCAUGUCUGUACAUGCUAGGCUCGUCAAGUUAAACCUAAGUGUUCUGCAUGUGUAAAUAUGUCUUACACCCGUUGUAUGUGAACGUAAGGAUCUAUCACACCCGAUCAUCACGUGGUGCUUCGAAACGACGAACUUUAGCAACGGUGCACAGUUAGGGGGAACACUUUCUUGAAAUUAUUAUAAGGGAUCAACUUAUUUACUACCGCCGUUCUAAGUAAACAAGAUGCAUAAAACAUAAUAAACAUCACAUGAAAUUAUAUGGUAGUGACAUGAUAUGGCCAAUAUCAUAUAGCUCCUUUGAUCUCCAUAUUCGGGGCUCCAUGAUCAUCUUCGUCACCGGCAUGACACCAUGAUCUCCAUCAUCAUGAUCUCCAUCAUUGUGUCUUAAUGAAGUUGUCACGCCAAUGACUACUUCUACUUCUAUGGCUAACGCGUUUAGCAAUAAAGUAAAGUAAUUUACAUGGUGUUCUUCAAUGACAUGCAUGUCAUACAAAAAAUAAAGACAACUCCUAUGGCUCCUGCCGGUUGUCAUACUCAUCGACAUGCAAGUUGUGAUUCCUUAUUACAAGAACAUUAUCUCAUACAUCACAAUAUAUCAUUCAUCAUUUAUCACAACUUCUGGCCAUAUCACAUCACAUGACAAUUGCUGCAAAAACAAGUUAGAUGUCCUCUAAUUGUUGUUGCAUCUUUUACGUGGCUGCAAUUGGGUUCUAGCAAGAACAUUUUCUUACCUACGAAUAACCACAAUGUGAUUUUGUCAACUUCUAUUUACCCUUCAUAAGGACCCUUUUCAUCGAAUCCGCUCCAACUAAAGUAGGAGAGACAGACACCCGCUAGCCACGUUAUGCAACUAGUGCAUGUCAGUCGGUGGAACCUGUCUCACAUAAGCGUACGUGUAAGGUCGGUCCGGGCCGCUUCAUCCCACAAUACCACUGAAGCAAGAAAAGACUAGUAGCGGCAAGCAAGUUGACAAGAUCUACGCCCACAACAAAAUUGUGUUCUACUCGUGCAAUAGAGAACUACGCAUAGACCUAGCUCAUGAUGCCACUGUUGGGGAACGUUGCAGAAAAUAAUUUUUUUCCUACGGUUUCACCAAGAUCCAUCUAUGAGUUCAUUUAAGCAAUGAGUGAAAGGAGAGAUGCAUCUACAUACCACUUUGUAGAUCGCGAGCGGAAGCAUUCAAAAAACGGGGUUGAAGUAGUCGUUCUCGUCGUAAUCCUAUCAACGGAGAUCCUAGCGCCGAACGGACGGCACCUCAGCGUUCAACACACGUACGGUCAGCGUGACGUCUCCUCCGUCUUGAUCCAGCAAGGGGGAAGGAGAGGUUGAUGAUGAUUCAACAGCACGACGGCGUGGUGGUGGAUGCAGCAGAACUCCGGCAGGGCUUCGCCAAGCUGCUGCGGGAGGAGGACGAGGUGUAGCAGGGGAGGAAGGCGCCAAGACACAAGGGUGCGGCUGCCCUCCCCCCUGCCCUCCUUUAUAUAGGCCCCCAGGGGGGGCGCCGGCCCUGGGAGAUGCAAUCUCCCAAGGGGGCGGCGGCUAGGGGGGUGGAGUGCCCCCCCAAGGCAAGCGGUGCGCCCCCCCUACCUAGGGUUUCCAACCCUAGGCGCAGGGGGCCCAAGGGGGGGCGCACCAGCCCACUAGGGGCUGGUUCCCCUCCCACUUCAGCCCACGGGCCCCUUCGGGAUAGGUGGCCCCACCUGGUGGACCCCCGGGACCCUUCCGGUGGUCCCGGUACAAUACCGGGUGACCCCGAAACUUUCCCGAUGGCCGAAACAGCACUUCCUAUAUAGUUUUCUUUACCUACGGGCCAUUCUGGAACUCCUCGUGACGUCCGGGAUCUCAUCCGAGACUCCGAACAACAUUCGAUUUGCUGCAUACUCAUAUUCAUACAACCCUAGCGUCACCGAACCUUAAGUGUGUAGACCCUACGGGUUCGGGAGACAUGUAGACAUGACCGAGACGGCUCUUCGGUCAAUAACCAACAGCGGGAUCCGGAUACCCAUGUUGGCUCCCACAUACUCCUCGAUGAUCUCAUCGGAUGAACCACCAUGUCGAGGAUUCAAGCAACCCCGUAUACUAUUCCCUUUGUCAGACGGUAUGUUACUUGCCUGAGACUCGAUCGUCGGUAUCCCAAUACCUCGUUCAGUCUCGUUACCGACAAGUCACUUUACUCGUACUGUAAUGCAUGAUCCCGUGACCAGACACUUGGUCACUUUGAGCUCAUUAUGAUGAUGCACUACCAAGUGGGCCCAGUGAUACCUCUCCGUAAUACAGAGUGACAAAUCCCAGUCUCAAUCCGUGUCAACCCUAGAGACACUUUCGGAGAUACCUGUAAUGCACCUUUAUAGUCACCCAGUUACGUUGUGACGUUUGGUACACCCAAAGCACUCUUACGGUAUCCGGGAGUUACACGAUCUCAUGGUCUAAGGAAAAGAUACUUGACAUUAGAAAAGCUCUAGCAAAACGAACUACACGAUCUUGUGCUAUGCUUAGGAUUGGGUCUUGUCCAUCACAUCAUUCUCCUAAUGAUGUGAUCCCGUUGUCAACGACAUCUAAUGUCCAUAGUCAGGAAACCAUGACUAUCUGUUGACCAACGAGCUAGUCAACUAGAGGCUUACUAGGGACAUAUUAUGGUCUAUGCAUUCACACGUGUAUUACGAUUUCCGGAUAAUACAAUUAUAGCAUGAAUAAAGACAAUUAUCAUGAACAAGGAAAUAUAAUAAUAAUCUUUUUAUUAUUGCCUCUAGGGCAUAUUUCCAACAGUAUCUUCCCAGAAACAAGUGUUAUUGCCAUCACCAACAACAAACUUUGUUCUGUUAAAGAAAGUAGCUUUGACCCUCAUUAGCCCCUUCCAGAAAGGCGAAUCAGUGGGUCGAGCUGUCACCUACGAGAAGGUCUUAGAGUACAGAUACUUGUUACGAAGAAUCUGCGCCCAGGUUGCCUCAGUCUCGGCAGAUAACUUAUAAAGCCACUUACUGAGAAGGCAUCUGUUCUUCACUUCAAGGUUCUCAACCCCAAGACCCCCUUGGUCUUUUGGUCGGCAGAUGACAUCCCAUUUGGCUAGACGGUACUUUCUCUUAGUUUCAUCGCUCUGCCAGAAGAAACGUGACCGAUAGAAGUCCAGCCUUUUCCUAACUCCAACUCGUACUUCAAAAAAGGAAAAAGAAACAUAGGCAAACUCGUGAGCACCGAAUUAAUGAGAAUCAAUCGGCCUCCAUACGACAUAAGUUUGCCCUUCCAGCAGCUCAGUUUCUUCUCAAACCAAUCCUCGAUACACUUCCAUUCGCUGUUAGUCAACUUAUGAUGGUGAAUGGGGAUACCCAGGUAAGUGAACGAAAGAGCCCCCAAAUUGCAACCAAACAGUUGCUUGUAUGCAUCUUGUUCCUCUUUGGCUCUACCAAAGCAAAACAACUCGCUUUUAUGGAAGUUGAUCUUCAGACCGGACAAUUGCUCAAAAAGGCACAGUACCAGCUUCAUAUUUCUCGCCUUAACCAAGUCGUGCUCCAUAAAGAUGAUUGUAUCAUCGGCGUAAUGCAGAAUGGACACACCAACAUCGACAAGAUGAGGCACCAAGCCACCUACUUGCCCUGCCUCCUUUGCCCUUCCUAUCAAGAUUGCCAACAUAUCAACAACAAUAUUGAAGAGGAUAGGAGACAUUGGAUCACCUUGCCUCAGGCCCUUGCGUGUCUGAAAAUAAUGACCUAUAUCGUCAUUCACUUUAAUUCCAACACUUCCUUUUUGCGUGAAAGAUUCAACUUGGCGCCUCCAAGCUUCAUCAAAACCCUUCAUACGUAAGGCUUGUUGUAGAAAGGGCCAUUUGACUUUAUCAUACGUCUUCUCGAAAUCCACCUUAAAAACCAGUCCAUCCAGUUUUUUCGUGUGAAUUUCAUGGAGCGUUUCAUGCAGGACCACCACCCCUUCAAGGAUGUUCCUAUCCGGCAUGAAAGCAGAUUGAGUAGGCUGCACCAUAGUAUGUGUAAUCUGUGUGAGCCUAUUCGUCCCGACCUUGGUAAAAAUUUUCAAACUCACAUUAAGAAGACAGAUUGGCCGAAAUUGCUCAAUCCGCAUUGCCUCUGUCUUCUUGGGAAGAAGUGUUAUCGUUCCAAAAUUCAGCUUAAAAAGGUGAAGCUGGCCAGCAAAAAGAUCAUUGAACAAAGGCAAUAGAUCUCCUUUAAUAAUGUGCCAACAUUUCUUGUAAAACUCGGCCGGGAAACCAUCCGGGCCAGGAGCCUUAUUAUUCUUCAUCUGGGAAAUGGCCUCAAAUACCUCUUUCUCAGAGAAAGGAGCAACUAAAAUAUCAUUCUCAACAGCUGUCAGUUGAGGCACAUCCUCAAUCCUAGACUCAUCCAGCGACACACAGUUCUCCUCUGGAGGUCCAAACAGUUGCUUGUAAUACUCAGUGAUAUAAAGCUUUAAGUUUUCCUGACCCAGAAUCGUUCCCUCAUCUUGUUCAAGAUGAAAGAUCCUCUUCUUUCUAUGCUUACCAUUAUCAAUCAUGUGAAAAAAUUGUGUGUUCGCGUCCCCCUGGACGACCCGUCGGACCUUGGCCCGAAGCGCCCACUUUAAUUCUUCCUCACGAAGUAGCUCUUUCAGCCUCAUUUCCGCAUCGAGCUUCGCCUGAAGCUCCGAGGCUGGCAGGAUCAUGUUCUCAGCUUUUACAUCAAGGGACUGAAUAAGUGAAAGGAGUUGUUCCUUCUCAAUCUUAUAAACCCCACUAAGAUGUUUAUCCCACCCUCGUAGGAAACUUCUCAAGUCCCUAAUUUUAUUCUGCCAGAGCUCAAGUGCAGCUCUACCUCCUGCAUCCUUAGCCCAUUCUCUGGCUACGAGAUCUAAGAACCCUUGUCUCUCAAACCACACAAGCUCGAAUGAGAAAACAUACUUAUUUCCCACAUGGGUGGCCUCCCCAGAGUCAAUGAAUAAAGACGUAUGGUCGGAAAUACCCCGGGUAAGUGCCUGCACCGUUACACAUGGGAAUUUCUGUUCCCAUUCGACGCUAGCCAGAACCUGAUCCAGCUUCUCAAACGUCGGAUUUGGCAGGGCAUUAGCCCAAGUGAACUUCCUGCCUGAAAACUCUAUCUCACGCAGAUCCAAACUUUCAAUGAUGGUGUUAAACAUGAACGACCAUCUACCGUCGAAAUUAUCAUUAUUCUUCUCAUCACGCCUUCUGAUGAUAUUAAAAUCACCCCCCAAUAGGAUAGGCAGUUGCUCAGAACCACAAAUCCUAACCAAAUCAGCCAAAAAAUCUGGUUUAAGCUCGGGUUGUGCGGCUCCAUAAACCGCCACCAAAGCCCAGUUAAACCCAUCGGUCUUUGACCUCACCCUAAACUUAACCGCGAAAUCCCCCAUGACCACGCUUCGGACAUCUAACGAGUCACAUCUAACUCCGAGUAAAAUCCCACCCGAUCUUCCUCGCGGCAGUAGACAAUGCCAAUCAAACUCAAUACCUCCCGACAGCGUAUUGAGAAAUUGAGGCGAAAAUUCUGCUCUACCAGUUUCCGAUAAAGCAAUGAAGUCCAACUUAUGCUCAAUAGAAGCCUCAGCAAGAAACCUUCUUUUAGCCAAGUCUUUCAGACCUCUGCUAUUCUAAAAGAUUCCUUUCAUAACUCGUCAUGGAAUUUUUUAGCCGUUCUAAUCCGCGCUCCUACGCACUGCGGAAACCGGGUAAAUCUUCCGCUUCCAUUUGCGUUUAGGAAUAUUGAAACUCUCCAGCUGGUCCUCACAACCAGUCUCAGAGGCGCGCACUUCUACAAAGUCCACUCGCUCAUCUUCCUCCUCAGGCUCAGGAGACGAAUGAGCGAGAUUUGCACACAGAUUAUCGAGCACCCUAACCCCCAAAGCAUCAAUCUCAGAGUUAUUCAUGGGUUUAACCGCAGCUAAGUUACGAAUCAUCUCAAGCGCUCGCUCAGCCUCUAAAUCCAAUAAAUCAUUAACCGAAUUUGAAAUUUCACUAUCAUUGCUACCUAGUGAAAUUCCUAGCUUAUUUGCAUUAUGAAUAAUCUCAUCAUUGGAAAAAUGCACAAUAGAAUUAGAAGUAUUGACAGACAUACCAGUAGUGACCUCCACGCCACGAAGCUUGGCCGCCCUCAUAGCGUACCGCUGCUGAAUGUCGUCCACUUCCGGAUGGUCCUGGAGACGGCUGCUCAACCGUCGCCCCUCAGAGACCGUAUCUGGGAUACCACCGAAAGCAAUCACCUCCUCGCGAGAAGCUCUACUGGGGUGCACCAUGCCGGGGGACGGAGAAGCCAUGGCCUCCUGCCCAAGCUCCCCCUCUACCCCGGCCACAGCGCAAACUGUCAGCAUCGGCGCCGCCGGCAAACAAGGCCCUCGUGGCGCCACAGGUGAAGAGAACCCCGAGGCCACCUGCCCCGAGUCCUCUCCGGAACGCGACUCCAGCGCCAGCGUCACCGGACCGGAAGAAGGAGAUAAAGGUGUCUGGUCAAGCAACCUCGGCCUCCCAACCAAAGGCUCAAGCUGCACCAUCGGAAGCUCCCCCACCGCAGGCCCUGAUGAGGGGAGCGAGGCCACCUGCCCCACAUCCCCAUCAGUAGCAGGCACCAUCGGCUGCACCUGCGCUGUCGCGGCCGCAGAGGAGUAGUCCAAAGUCACCAUCUUCAGACUCUCUCCUACGCGAACGACCUCCUCCUCCUCAGCCCCGACCAAGAUCGGCGACUCCCCCAAAAGAGGAAACACUAGCUCCUCAAACUCCAGUGCCGGAAGCGAGUGCUCAAACACCUCAUCCGACUCCACCCGAUCACUCCACAGUCUCGGAGGUGCAGAUGCCGGCUCGAAAGAACCGAACCUGAGAGUAGUCGUAGGCACCGUAGAAGGAGUAAUCGUCCCAUCCGCAGACGUGUGAGCAUCAACACCUUGCGUAGUGGCCAACUCACGUCCACUAUCAUCAGCUGGUGCCUCCUUAAGUGCCGAACUAUCAUCAUCCUUGUGCAUAUCAGAAUCAGACCUGUUGGCCACCCCGGCAAAGAUACUCUCACUACUAGGAAAAGGGCUAUAGAUAGGAUUGAUACUAAUGGUACACCAGGUAAGUAGUGCGCCACUACUAUAUACUAAUGGCGCAUCGGUCGGUGAUGCGCCAUUAGUGUGGAAGACACUAAUGGCGCACCGGACACACGGUGCGCCACUAGUAUUAAUUUUUUUUCCAUUUUUCAUACAUACUAAUGGCGCAUGAGGUCGAAGUGCACCAUUACUAGUUCUAACUAGUAAUGGCGCACCGUGCAGACAGUGCGCCAUUAGUAUAUUUUUUUUACUUUUUUGCAAAACUACUAAUGGCGCACCGUGUCAAAGUGCACCAUUACUAGUUUAAACUACUAAUGGCGCACUUUUCCACAGUGCGCCAUUAGUAUAUAUUUUUUUACUUUUCUGCAAAACUACUAAUGGCGCACCGCUUGUAGGUGCGCCAUUAGUAACCAGGGUUACUAAUGGUGCAUUUGCUGGUGGUGCGCCAUUAGUAACCUGGGACCAACAAGAUAUUUUGGACAGCCCACCUACUCACUCACUUUCCCCACUUCAUUCUCUCCACCUCCUCCUCCAAGCUUGUCUCGGCUGCCUCCUCCUUCUCACCUCAUUUGCACCAUAGAUUCAUCAAAAUUAAGUGGUGAAAUUACCUUUUUUUUUGAUAGGUAAGUAAGGAGAAAGCUAUCUUCAUGAUGUAGAUCUACUUUUUUUCUCCCUAGCUCGCUCCAACAACGUGCACAUGCACUUUUUGUGGCCUAGCUAGAUCUAUGUAUGUUUGUGGUGUUGCAUGUGUUUGUGGUGUUGCAUAUAUGUUUGUGUUUGUAGGUACCGGUAUUUGAAAUGCGAUAGUUGCCAAUAUUUUGCCGGAAUGUUGAUUCAUUUCCGUUUCGGCGAGAAUUUUGGCACUAUGCAUUCUUUUUGGUCCUAUUUUUAGGGAAGGUCAUGCCAAAUAUUUUCUUGGUUCUAAAAUAUCGUUUUGCUCUACCCCGCAGGCCAUCAUGGUCCGCACGAUGACCGAAGGCAUCGUGAAUAGGUUUUUGAGCUCCGCAAAGGCUGAGAUGCUUCAAAAGAACGAGAUGGAGAUAAGAUGUCUGUGUCGAAGAUGCAAGCUGAAGAGCCUUAUUGUGGACCCGGAUUCCGGGCAGGUGCAGGACCACCUGCUCUUGGGUGGUUUCAUGGAUGGCUAUCGGUGGCAAGGUGAUGAAGAUGACUAUGAAGUCGUCCAUGGGGGCCGGGCAAGAAAUGAGGAAGGGCAACAAGACAAGUACCACUGCGGCGAGGGCGGGCGAGAAGACGAAGAAUCUCCAGGACAUGAUCACGGCGGUGAUGCUGUACACAGUCAUCAUGUAGAAGAUGUCGUACAUGAUGAUGAGGAAGAUCAAGAUGAAGGGCAUGAUCAUGAGGAUGAAGAUGCCGGAUCAGACGAUGAUGGAGGCUGGGUGCAGGACCCUCAUAUUCAAGAGCUGCUUCUCAAGCAGACGGAUAACGCAAGAGCUGCCGCCCGAGAGAAAGCCAAGCUGGAUCAACUGGAGAUAGACGCGGUUACUCCAUUGCAUGAAGAAUGCAAGCCCGAGGAUACCCGCCUGAAAGUAACGCUCAUGGCUCUGGAGAUGAAGGUACAACACAAAAUGACCGAGGCAUGCUUCGACGAGAACAUGUCAUUCUGGCACGAACGUCUUCCCAAGGGGAACAAGUGCCCGACCAGUUUCGAGGAGGCGAAGAAAAUCGUGUGUCCUAUGGAUUUACCGCACGUGAAAUACCAUGUGUGCAUGAACAAUUGCAUCAUUUAUCGGGACGAGCACGCGGAGUCUACCAUAUGUCCGGUGUGCGGCGUCACUCGAUACAAGAAGAGGAAGAAAGCUCCUCGAAAAUCGGUGUGGUACUUUCCGAUCACUCCUCGUCUGCAGCGGUAUUUUGUGGGCCCUAAGGUAGCAAAGCUCCUGCGUUGGCACGCGGAUAGGGAGGAGAAGAAGCGGGAAGAUGACGGAAAUGAUCCGGAGAUAAAUAAAAAAGACAAGAUGAUGAGUCACCCUAAGGAUGCGAGCCAGUGGAAAGCGUUGAACUUCGAAUACCCAGAAUUUGGGAAGGAUCCAAGCAACAUCAUGCUGGGCACGAGCACCGAUGAAGUCAAUCCGUUUGGCAGCCAGAGAAGCACACAUAGCACCUGGCCUGUGUUUGUGUGGAUGUACAACCUUCCCCCUGGUUGUGCAAGAAGAGGAAGUACAUUCACAUGAGUAUGCUAAUUGAAGGGCUGAAACAACCAGGGAACGACAUCAAUCUGUAUCUGGGGCUGCUGAAGGAGGAGCUAGACACGUUGUGGAAAACGCCAGCCAAUACGUGGGACGCCGCAAAGAAAGAAUAUUUCCCUAUGAGAGCCGCACUGCUCACGACGGUGCAUGACUAUCUCGGUUACGGAUAUCUCGCGGGGCAGGUAGUCCACGGAUUUUCUGGAUGCAUAAGGUGCAUGGAUGACACAACGUAUCACCAGCUAGAUAGAGAUCCCGGGUCUUCGAAAACCAUGUUCAUGGGACAUCGAAGGUGGCUUCGCGAUGAUGACCCGUGGAGGAAACGCAAGGAUCUGUUCGAUGGUGAAACCGAACCCCGAAAAUGCCCGUAUACAAGGAGCGACGAGGAAAUAGAUGAGCUGUUAAAAAAUUGGAAAGACUUCCCACUACCAGGAAAGAAGCAAAAGGCGCCAGAGCCGGGAAAGAAGCGAAAGGCGCCAGAGCCGCUGCUGAAGAUAUGGAAAACGAGGUCUGUUUUCUGGGACUUGCCGUACUGGAAGAUCCACCGUGUGCCUCACAGCCUUGAUGUCAUGCAUAUCACGAAGAACGUGUGCGAGAGUCUGCUUGGUAGCCUGCUCAACAUGCCAGAGAGGACCAAAGAUGGGCCGAAAGCAAGGGCAGACUUGAAAUCAAUGGGCAUCAGGCAGGAGCUUCACGCUAAUGAUGAUGAUGAUGAUGAUGAUGAUGAUGAGGCGAAGCAGGACACAGAAAGUCGUCGCAAAGGCAAAAAGGCCAAGAAGACCGGAAAUGACUACCCUCCCGCGUGCUUCACUCUAAGUCAGGAGGAGAUCGAGCAGUUUUUCACCUGCCUCCUAGGAGUAAAACUUCCUUACGGUUACGCGGGGAAGAUAAGCAGAUACCUAGACCCAGCGAAGCAGAAGUUCAGCGGGAUGAAGUCUCACGACUGUCACGUGCUGAUGAUGCAGAUACUUCCAGUUGCAAUACGUGGGAUCAUGGAUGCGCACGUCCGUGAAAUGCUAUUUGGCCUAUGCAACUUUUUCGAUGUCAUCUCUCGGAAGUCGAUUGGCGUGAGGCAACUCAGAAGGCUACAGGAAGAGAUCGUGGUGAUACUAUGCGAGCUUGAGAUGUACUUCUCGCCCGCAUUCUUCGACGUUAUGGUGCAUCUGCUGGUCCAUAUCAUGGAGGAUAUCAUCCAACUUGGGCCGACGUUCCUGCACAGCAUGAUGCCGUUCGAAAGGAUGAAUGGUGUCAUCAAAGGAUACGUUCGAAACAUGUCACAUCCAGAGGGAAGUAUAGCCAGGGGCUUUCUGACCGAAGAGUGCAUCUCCUACUGCAUGAAUUAUCUAGGCAUCGAGAACCCCGUUGGUCUGCCCGUCAACAGGCACCUCGGCAGGCUCGCUGGAUGGGGUCACUGUGAGGGUCGCCGCGAAAUGCAUGUCGAGUUCGAGGGUCGACUCGCCGACUUUGAAAGAGCAAACCUAGUCGCGCUACAACACAUAGACGUGGUCGAUCCUUGGGUGGUAGAGCACAAAACCUUUAUUGAGAAGACGUACAAUGACUGAGGCCAACAGCGGAUGGAGGGAGAUAUAAUCAAAGAGCACAACUCAUGUUUCACGCGUUGGUUCAAGCAGAAGCUUCUGUCGUACCAUUUACAUGAGGAUUCUUCCGCAGAAGAACAACUCAUAUUCGCCUUGUCACAGGGCGCCGAGCACAACCUGAUGACCCAUGAGGCGUACGAUAUCAACGGCUACACAUUCUACACCGAGAACAAGGACAUGAAGAGCGAUGGUUAUCAGAACUCCGGGGUAACGAUGGAAUCCUACACCGGCAACGACAAGGACAGAUACUGCGGAAGGAUCGAGGAGAUCUGGGAGCUGAGCUACGCUGGAGAGAAGGUCCCGAUGUUCCGUGUCAGAUGGGCCAAGAGCGUCCUAAAAGAAGACCGGUAUUUCACCACCAUGGUUAUACCCGAAGCCAAAUCCAAGACCGCGGGCGCAAACGUCACCGCGAAAAAUGAGCCAUGGGUACUGGCUUCCCAAGUGGACCAAUGCUUCUUCAUUACCGACCCGCCAAAGCCCAGUCGUGUUGUCGUGAGGAGAGGCAAAAGGAAGAUCAUCGGAAUGGAUGGAGUAGCCAAUGAGCAAGACUUCGACAAGUACGGCGACCCGAAGAUCGAACAUGACGACGAAAAUGAAGUAGCAGCACACACCACAAGAAGAAGCAGGACCACCCUACCUAAAGGACGUCCGUUCCACAGAAGAACUCCAUUUGCGAAAAAGAAGGGCAAGAAGAUUGUGAACAGAUAGCUAGCUAAGAUCGAUUGUAUUUAAAUCGUAGUCUUCAUUUCUCGAUUGUAUUUCGACAUUUUGAAAUGAUAUUUCUUCUGUUCUAGUCCUCAUGACUAUUGAAUUAUGUUUAUUAUGGUAUUGAAUUUCUAACUCACAAAAAGUAUUGAAUUUGUUAAUAUUUUGUGAACUCAUUAAUAUAUUUAAAUUUUUAUGAUAUUUUUUCAAAUAUUUUCAAAUAACAAAUUUGAUGAUAUUUUUUAAUAUUCAUAAAUAAUUUCAAAUAAGAAAUUUGAUGAUAUUUUUCACAUUCAUAAAUGUUCUCAGAUUUGAUUUGCCAUUUUCUAAAAAAAUAUUAGAUGAAACUUAAUAUUUUUUCAUGACCCCCCCGCACCCGUCAACGUAUGUAAAUGCUCCCUCCCUCCCUCCCUCCUCUACUCAUCUCCUGUAUAUAGUGUAGUAAUUUUUAUCAAUAAAAAAUAAAAAAAAAUAAAAGUUACUAAUGGCGCACCAGGAGAGGGUGCGCCAUUGUUAUCAAUAAAAAAAUUACUUAUGGCGCACCCCUCGGUGGUGCGCCAUUGCUAUGGAUGUACUUAUGGCGCACCACUGGGUGGUGCGCCAUUGCUAAGCCUCCCCCCACACUAAAAUCCCCAAUCUCUCUAAUCUCUCCCCUGCCCCAUCGAUCUCACCCGCUGCCCCCCGUGUUCGCCGUCCCCCUCGCCGCCCCCCUCGCCUCCUUCGCCGUCCCCGAGCCGAGCGNNNNNNNNNNNNNNNNNNNNNNNNNNNNNNNNNNNNNNNNNNNNNNNNNNNNNNNNNNNNNNNNNNNNNNNNNNNNNNNNNNNNNNNNNNNNNNNNNNNNNNNNNNNNNNNNNNNNNNNNNNNNNNNNNNNNNNNNNNNNNNNNNNNNNNNNNNNNNNNNNNNNNNNNNNNNNNNNNNNNNNNNNNNNNNNNNNNNNNNNNNNNNNNNNNNNNNNNNNNNNNNNNNNNNNNNNNNNNNNNNNNNNNNNNNNNNNNNNNNNNNNNNNNNNNNNNNNNNNNNNNNNNNNNNNNNNNNNNNNNNNNNNNNNNNNNNNNNNNNNNNNNNNNNNNNNNNNNNNNNNNNGAGCGCCGCCUCCCUCGCCGUCCCCGAGCCGAGUGCCCUCGACGUCCUCCCACCCAAGCGCCCCCUCCCCCCGCGGCCCCGCCUGCGCCCUCGACGUGCUCGCCAUCCAACACCGCGCGGCCUACCCAGGAGGACCGCCGCCGUCUUCCUCUUCGACUACGAGGACCCGGACGAGCUCGGACGCCCAGGAGGACCGCCACCGCUCGACGCCCUCGACCGCGCGGCCUGCCCAGGAGGACCGCCACUGCUCGACACCGAAUUCACGCUGCCUCGACUAGCUCCGGCUGCCCCGAGUCGCCCUCGACCUCCCAAGUGAGCACCCAAGCCGCUUCCCCCUCUUCCCCCUCUUUAUUUCCUUCUGAUGUGUUCUAGGGUUGGGGGUUGGAGAAAUUUGGACAAGGAAAGGGGGUUGGAGAAUUAAGUAGCUAGGGUUUUCCAAAUGUUCAAAUCUCUGAGCUUGCUGCAGUGCAACCAAGAUGAUAUUUAGAUGCAUUUUAGAGGAUACUAGUCUCAACUAAGCAUCCGCCUAGAGAUUCUUUCUUUAAGUAGCUAGGCUCAAUUAGUGAAUUUUCCAGUGAGUUUGGAUUCAUGCAACAAUAUGAAACAUUAAUUACUAUUCUUUCUGACCACUAAUGAAGUAGAAAGAAGGGAUCGUCUCUUUCUUUGGUUACCAGGUUGCGAAAUCUACCCAAAACUCUGAGAUUACCCAUGAUAGAUGUAACAUGUAAGAAGUCCAUAAUUGAUUAAUGGAUCUGUUAGUUUGAUAGUUUUUUUAGUGUUGCACCUUUUCCUUCUACAACUUGCAGAUGUGCAUACAGUUUUUUGUGUUCAGUUUAGGAGUUGGUCCUUGGGAAGCAUAAAUAAAACAUUAUUGGCAAGUGCAGUCUUGUUACUCCUAGGUAUCUACAAAUGAGUAGAUGAAUAUUUGUUACCAGGAGGGGUUACAAUAUCUUUCAAACUGAUGUUGUUCUCAUGAUCAUGCUUUCUAAUGGUUUGAUAUCACCCAAAGUUUGGCAUGGAAACUACAGAGGUACUAUGUAGUGUUGUAUUACUUCUUCCGGAUUCAGGGUGUUUAAAUGUGCAUUAGUUCUUCUGAUAAUUAAUGGUUAAAGUCCUUUGACAAGAAUGUGAACAAUAAGAGAUGUAACCAAUCCCAGAAGUAGAACCAUGCAUCCUUUCUCUCUACAAUUCUCAUGCAACAAUAUGGAACUAAUUCUUUAAGUAGUUAAUGAGAACACUUGGUCCAUAUUCAUUUGCAGUGAACAUACAUUUUCACUGUUCUUAUAAUAUUUGCUUGAUGUCAGAUUAUGCUAUGAGGAUAUUAGUCUAAGCCCAGUCUUGGAUGCAUUGUUUUAUCCUGCGGUGGUUAAACCGAUUCUGAAAAUUAUCUAGUUUGACCUGUACUUGUCCAACUAUCACAAUCUAUUCUUUGACCAUGGCAGUAGCUGGCAUUUUGUUAUGAUAAUUUCAGUAUAUAUCUUACUGUCCUUUGCUGAUCUCGUUGUAUUUUCAAUUCACAGGCAACUCUCCGACAAAGUCUCCUCCAGGUAAUAUACGUCUCAUGCUUUCUAAAGAGUACUAGUAUACUGACUAAACUAUCCACUUGCUAUGCUUAGCUGCUCUGUUGUCUGAAUCGUGACACUUUGCCAGCUGAAACUUUCCUAUCACACUGUCACUGUAUUGCUCAACUAAAAACAUAAAUAUUUGUAGUUUUUGCCUGUCAUAAUGCAACUAAGCAUACUAGUCUCAACUAAGCAUACUAGUUUUUUGUAGUGAGACAGUAAGAUAGUGAGACAGUAAGAAGGAAACUUCCCAGAUUAUGUAGAAAGAAAAUACUUGGUUUGACAACAAGUACCAUGACAUGAAUCAAAAAACAUAUAAGGUGGGAAAAAUAAAAUGGCAGAAACCUGGGAGGUUCAAAAAUGCCAUUACGAAGCGAGGUUGCUUGUUACUUUCCUAAGAUGUGCAUCUCAUUUAUUUGUGUUUUUAUUUGUAGCUGUAUUGCUCAACAAAGCAUACUAGUGUCGCAAUACACUGUUUUGCAGGUAAUAGUGUCGCAAUAUUUGCCUGCCAUGCCAGCUGAAACUUGACAGUGUUUCCCAAAAACACUGUCACUCACUGCCACUAAAAGCAUGACAAUAUAAUUUCUUGUUUGUGUUUUUAUUUGUUCACACUGUCGCUGUAUUGCUCAACUAGACAAUUAGUGUUUAUGAAGAAGAAGAAUAAACCUGCUGCUACUGCUGUUAUGCCUGUAUUCACUGCUGCUGCUGUACUUGUGAUAAUGUUGUACUUGUGAUGAUGCUACUUGUGAUCUUCUGAAAUGACCCAUUGGCGACUUCACUGCUGCUGCUGCUGUACUUGUGAUGAUGUUGUACUUGGGAUAAUGAUUUUGCAGGUACCCCGAGAGGCCCUUGAGUUUGCCGGAAUGUUGAUUAACUUCCGUUCCGGCAAAUUCGGGUACUCCAUAUGUCCUAUUUUCAGCAAAGGUCAUGCUGAAAUUUUCCGUGAAUUUUAGCAUGACUUUGCUAAAAAUAGGACAUAUGGGGUACUUGCGACUAAUGCAUGGGCCGGGGUAUCUUAGUACUUAAUUAAGUAGGAUCAACUGCCCCUUUAUUCUUGCUGCAUUAAACCAUAGGUGGUAAUAGAGCCAAGUGAUUAGGCCCAACUUAGAAUUCUCCUUAGCAUCGAUAAACCCUAGAUGAUAAACCCAACAUAGGUGGCAAUAGAGCCAAGUGAUUAGUGCCAAGUGAUUAGGCCCAACCUAGGGUGCCUCGGCAUCGAUAAACCCUAAAUGAUGAAAACUUAACUUGGCUGCUCCGGAUGCCUCGGUGUCGAUGAGAACCUAAAUGAUGUAUGCUUAGGCUUUUAGGGUGCCUCGGCGUCGACAAACCCUAAAUGAUGAAAGCUUAGGCUUUUAGGGUGCCUCGGCGUUGACAAACCCUAAAUGAUGAGACCAUGAUCUUGUUCCUUGACAAUAACCAACUUUUUGACCAAACUUUUUUCCUAUUUAGAGCGAAACAUGGCCCACAACAAUGAGGCCGGUGGUUCGGGCGGCAAGCAAUUCUGGGAGCUGUCCCAGGAGAUGGAGGAACAACCUCACCGCUAUGAGGACGCCGCAGAAGACACCGAUUCUGACUACACAACCCCUAGUGGCGUCGGGGAUGACACCACUCAUGGUGCCGCCGAGGAUGCCACCACUGAUGAUGGCGGCGCACACACAGAUGGCAGCCAAUCGAAGAAGCAAAGGAAGGACCGGCGCCCGGAUGCACUCUGCACCCUCAAGGAGGAAUUCACUCAAGUGGACUCCGACAGGCAUCCAACGGAGCCCAAACAUAUAGUCAAGGGGUACUCGCCUCAGCUCGGGUGCAUUUUCCGGAGCACCGUCUCGAUCAACACCGAGAACCUUAGGCAUAAGGACCACGGGAAUUUGCUCAACCUCCUCUUCACAAAGCUGCACGAAUGAUACAAGUUCCCCGCCGAAUUUGAAAACACACGCCUCUCAGGGAAUAAAGUGAACAGUGCCUCCCUCACGAGGAUGAACACGGCCCUGUCUACUUGGAGAAGCGCAGUGAAGAGAAUGAUUGAUAAAGGUGAUAGAUAUGAGAAGAUCAAGGCGAAAUAUCCUUUGAUGAGCGAAGAUGAGUACAAGGAGUUCAAGAUCAAGUGCGAGAGCAGCACAACCUCCAAAUCAAGUCAGUGGGGGAAAGAAAUGCGGGAGUUGAACUUAGGGGAACACAAACUCGGUCCCGGCGGUUACAGAGUGGCGGAGCCUAUAUGGGACAAGGAGGACGCAGAGCAUGCCGAGCAAGGCCUACCGCCCCGCUUCAAGAAAUACAGCGGUGACAAGCAGACCAGGAACUUUGUCAGGGCCCGGUACAAGGAGGACCCGAUAUCAAAGGAGCUUACCACGGAUCCGAAGACCAGGGCGCUUGAGCUUGUUCUGGUAAGGAAUACACCCCUGCGUAAUUAGCUCCAUAUGGUUGCACUCUAAUUAAUCCCCAAUAUUUCUAAAUGGUUCACGUUCCUUUCGCAGGACACUGAAAGCAGUAGCGCGGGGUCGUCUCAGAGCUCCCCUUUCGACACCUCUUUAAAUAGGGCGUUGAACGUAAUAAAAAAGAAGGAUAAGCUCACUAAGCUGACGUCAGCUGGUCGUGUGGCCGGCAAAGGCUUGUCCACAAAAUGGGGGUCAUACUAUACCGCUGGUGUGCGGAAGGAGAAAAAGACCAGCUCGGAAAAGCCAGACGUGCGAGGUUGAAGCACUCAAGGCACAAGUGGCGCGGAUUUCGGAGCUUGUCCAAGAGCAAGUGGAACAACAACUGGGAACGAAGCUCAACGCCAUGGUGCCUACGUUGAUUCAUGGGCUGACGACGUGGAUUGUGGGCGGCCAACAGGGGCCUCCCCCGGUUCCCAGCUUCACGGCCAGCAACUCGCACAGCGCGCAGGCGGCGCCAUUGGUGUCUCUGGCGGCGCCAUUGGUGUCUCCGGCGGCGGCGCCAUUGGUGUCUCCGGCGGAGGCGGUAUUCGUGUCUCCGGCGCCGGCACGGGCAUUGGAUCUUAAUGCACCCGGGUGUAUGCCGGCCGGCACCUCGCCAGCAAGCGCCCCCUCCGUCAGUUGCACGCCCGCCGUUGGCGGUGCCUCGACAUUAGCCGAGCUCGACGACAUCACGGUAACUAAGCCUCUCGGCCGAUGACUUCAUCUCCUUGCCUUUGACUGGGCAUCCCUGACGCCCUGUACAUGUUUUCGCAAGGCGCCGCCGACGUUCCUUGCACUCUUCUGCACUUCGUGGGCGCCGAGUUGGUCGAUGUCGCCAAGGGCAGAAUCGUUCAACCGGGCAACCCCAUGUUCCACGGUAAUCCGAUGCCACCCAAAUUGUAUAGGGUUGAAGUGGUUCGGGUGCUGCCCGGCUGCGAUGAGCUAUUACCUCCGAUUCGACCCGCUGGGGCCGACGAAGAAGAUGAGAUGACCCUCAGCGCCUGCGUAAACUGGCCCCUGCUUUGGCCGAAGAGCCAGAUUCGUUUGGGGGCGGGGGACACCACCCCACAAACAAGACCGCCAGUCGUGCCGGCGCCAAGCCAUGGCAAGAACGCCGCAACGCUACCGGACCUGACGGACAUCACUAUGUCGGACAUCCCUAUGGCACAGGAUCCGAACAGCCCUAUGGCACAGGAUCCGGACGACGAUGACAACGACGAUGGUACAUUUACCAAGGUCGAUAAGUACUUUGCCGAACAUGGGUACACUGACGAGUUCUACGGGCCUCUUUCUCAAGAACCCAACCAAGACGACCGCAAUCUAGCUGGUACGGCGGAGAAAUCCAAUUGCAACAGGCGUCGUCUGGCGUUCGGUUCUCGAGAGACGCCUCCAGCUCCCGCCUUCACCGAGCCUCAGAUAGCUGAGGUGCGAAAUAUUAUCAGCCCCAACACGCUCAAGAAGGCGGUUUGUGAGCAGAACUCAGUCCCAUUACAGGAGAUCAAGAAGAAGGGACGAAAACGAAAGACUAACAAGGGCGCCGGUGCGAGCCAGCCGGCACCGAGUUCGAUCCGUGCUCAGGACGGGCCACCUUCACCUAAGGAUAUCUUGAGGAGGGUGCACGUGGCGGGUAGGGCAAUGCUACCGCCAAAUAUGCUCAAUGCUGCAACCGGUGCUAUGCUGAGUCUGCACGACAGUGUUCUUUCUUUGGAGAAGCGGCGUCUCAGAGAGAAUGAUGUGGCAUACCCGGUUUUCGUGGCCAAGUUGCCAGAGGGCAAGGGCUUUGUGGAUGGCGACAUCGGGGGUACGAUCGUCCUGCGGUUUGAUGACAUCUUUGCUAUGUUUAACCUUCAUCCGCUCCACUACACCUUCGUUUGGCUGCUUUUGCUGAGUAUGGAGAUGCGGAUCAUUAGAGACAAGACCCCGGACAUCGUGAUAGUCGACCCCUUCUACAUGCGUGCCAAGCACUUGAGCAGCGCUGGGGACCGCCAAGUUGCGAGUUCACACCUCGAAGGCAUCAUUCUGGCAAAUCCAGAUAAGGAUAACUUCCUUGUGGCUUACUUUCCCGAGUAUCCCUUAACCGCCCCGUAACAUAUGAUUUCUUAGAUUUCAAUCGUUCUUUUUUUUCUAACAUUCCGUGUUCUGUGCAGUGACACACAUUGCACACUCAUCCUCUUAAGCCCGAAAUAUUCCAUGGCCACGUAUUUUGACCCAAACCGUAACUCCAAGAUAGACUACACAAAUGUCAAGAAAGUUCUUGAUGAUGUUCUCCCCGGCUACGCCAAAUCUGGAGGCACCUUCACCAGGGCAGUUCGUAAGUACGGCAAGCACACCUUCUCACACAAUACGAAUUUCUGCUGCGUCAAGCAGUCGCCUGGCGGUCAAAAGGAUGCCUACUACGCCCUCCAUCACAUGCGGGCGAUCGUAAGGGACCAUCAUCACCUUCUGCUACUAGAUAGUCUCAAAGAUUGGGCCGCGAGGUCGUCGGCAACCCAGGACGCGGACCUCAGACAAGAAUUCUUUCGCAUUCAGUCGGAGUUUGUGGACAUCAUCCAUCAAGAUGUCCUUCAUACCUCGGGACAGUUCUACCUUAGAUAUCAACUGUCCAACAAUGAGAUAGAUGGAAUGCUACAAAUGCAGGGUGACAACGACCGCGAUUUCAUGACCAUCACGACAGACGGCGGCUUCAUCCACGCUCCUGUCCGAUGAGUCGAGUCGAAAGUAGUGAUGUGUAGUUCUGAAAUAUUGAUUGGCUCAUGUUGUAAUUAAACUUUAAUGAAUUCGUAUGUCUCUUUGGUUUGGACAGUCGUUCAACUUAGAUGUAAUCGACGCUAUUUAUUAGUAGGACCAUGAAUCGUGCUAUUAAUGUCUUGCUUUUCUCUUCCGAUCCUUUUGUUGCAUACUUACAUAUUGCUUAUGUAUUGUCUGUUGUUUGGCUUGUGCAUAAAGAUGCCGUCGUAUGUCGUGUACAAGGGUAAGGUUCCCAGAGUCUACGACGACUGGGAGGAGUGUCGGAGACAGGUUCACUGUUUCAGCGGUAACAGUUACAAAGGGUACACCACUAGGGCGGAGGCCGAAUCUAGAUACGCCCGCUAUCUAGCGGGAGAGAGGAGGGAGCGUUGGAGGAACCGGAUGAAGACCAGUUUGAUCGCGAUGAUGCUCAUCGUGAUGACCGCAGCUCUCUUUUAUGUGAUGGUAGUUUAGAUGAUCGAUAUCGAUGACAAACUCGAUACUCGCGGUCUUGAGACUUGUAAUGUUUUAUCUUUGUUCGGUCUUUUGAAUUCGGAAACUAAUAUGAUGAAUUGUAUUCAGAGACUAAUCUUCCAUUGUAUUCGAUGAAUCUGCUGUUGUUGUGUGCUGCUGUCUAUAUUCUGUCCAAUAAUAUAUUUUGUAACCUGUGCAAAAAUCAGAAAAGCAAAAAAAACCCCAAAUAUUCAUACUAAUGGCGCAUCACCACAACGUGCGCCAUUAGUAUGCCAAAGGAUACUAAUGGCGCAUCAAGGCAGGGUGCGCCAUUAGUAUGACAAAGCACAUGGUUACAUAUGGGCCCCCGGGAGGCAUACUAAUGGCGCAUGGUGUUACAUAUUAAUGGCGCACUGCCUGGUGCGCCAUUAGUACACCAAAUACUAAUGGCGCACCAGAGGUACGCCAUUAGUAAAAAAUCUAGUGGCGUGCUACUAAUGGCGCACCGGUAGUGCGCUAUUAGUAGGCAAAACCGGUGUGCCAUUUGUAGGCCUUUUCCUAGUAGUGUCUCAUCCUCGAACUCAAUAACAAGGUCAUAUAUGUGUGUCCUCGAUAAGCCCACUUAACCACCUCCGGCACAAACUCGAUGUUCAGCACACUGACCAGUACGCGGGCAAUCCCGUGGGCUCUCGUAAAGUCCAUAUCCAUACGCUCCGGUCUGCCAAUCAUGAUACCCAAACUGGCCACGACCCGGGCAUCCUGCAUCGGCUUGGAUGGAGCCCCAGAGAAUCGCAACCAAACCUGAGUCAGAGGCUUGCCCGUAGGCUCAACCCCCUUCCACUCAUGAAACUCAAGAACACCAUCAGUACCUGGCACCUUGCACAUCCCGAAACUUAGAAGCCUCUGAAGGUCCUCAACUGACGGAAACUCAACCCGAAACAGCUUGUCCUCCACAGUCGCAAGCUCCCACCGGAACUCCCCAGGGGCUAACUCCUUAAACCUCUGAAUAAUCUGCGACUCCGAAACCUCUCCUCUAGCAAUCUUAACUAACCUAGUUGUCAAACUCAACGUCUUGUCAGGAACCUCCAUCUCCGUUCGAGAUUCAAAGAACGUAAGCUCGGCACAGUACACCCCAUACAUCAUCACUGAUGGUGCCUGCUCUCUCAGAAGCGGACAGUCCCCCGCAUCGUGUGCUGGUUUGCCACAAGUGGCACACAACUCGGCCACACACUCAGCAAUAAAAUGUCCCUUACCACCACAACGAUAACAUAGCAUAUUCUCCUUCUUGUAUGCAUAUUUUGAAGCUCUGUCAGACUCAGCCCUAGAAGAAUCCUCCAGAGACACAGUCACCCCGGAACCAUUCCCCGGUAACUCAGAAUUGGCAAGCGCCGAAACCACCUCCAAAGUCUGGCCUGUCAAAACCUGCUGCUCAGCAUCCCCAUCAACCACCAUCGGAUCAAUCACAGGCGGAGUAGGCAGUCAUGGGCAAUACCGGCCCCCUCGACCCCCAUGCCCACCACGGUGACCGCGGAAGCCACCCAGUGGUCGGAGACCCGGGCCAGCCGCCCCCUCAACAAAUCCUCGUGGGGGCCCCAUGAACGGGCGCUCCGCCGAGCCAUCGCUCUGCCAAGCAUGGCCUCGACCACCGCCAGUCGACGAGGAUCCAUGGUGCUUACCAACUCCAUACGCGUUGACCCCAUCAUCACCCCACUGACCCUGAGGUGCAGCCGUGACUUGAGUCGGUGGACGUGCCAGAUGCUGCACAGUUCUGUCUUGAUUUUGCAGAGGCAUAGCGACAAGGUGAGGUGGUGGAGCUGGCCUCGGCUGGCCAGCCAACAGCCCCUGAGCGAGAGGCCGCGGCGCAGCGCCUCCCCGGACCGCAUUGUUCCCUGCUGCAGAUGGCGCCGGAGGCCGUUGACCCACCGGAACCGGCGCCGGCGGCCGCAAUCCCGCCGGAGUAGGCGCCGUCGGUCUAGGCCCGGGCAACACGCCGCCCCGGCCCGCCGCCGCCCCCACCGAAGCCACGCCCCUGCCAGCGUGCAGCGGGACCGCAACCCCGCUGCCAGCCCCCGGCGGCAGCAACGAUGCUCCAUGGCCGCUGCCAGAGGCCACGGGAUUCAGCCCAGCGCCGACAACAGGUACCCCAACGCCACGGCCCCCGCCGCUGCCCUCCUGCGGCGUGGUCCCAAGGCGGCCGGCGUCCUGAUUCGCCAUCGUUCUCUUCCCCGGUGGCAAAGGUCCUCCGUGACCCACCAUCGAGCAAAGUGGAGAAUACGUCUCGCUCGUGCCGUCCAGCCGAUCGAAAGCUUCGACUUAGACGACGAGGAACCCUAGCAUGCGGUACGUGAGACGACGACGAUCGAGAAAGCGGAUCCUCCUCGCCCUCGAUAGCGUUCGGUUCUGGCCUGCUCUGGGCCUCAUACCCAAGCACCUCCGGCCCACAGACCGCAAGCCUCUCCAAGCAACUCUCUGGACCUACAUCUAUUUUUUUUUCUCCAAUGCAAGCUACCACUAGUGGGCCUCAUUAAGAAAAUAGAAAAAUAAAAACUCUAGUACACAUGCAUCUCUACUUUUCACUCCAACCUUUUCAGCUUUUGUCAUUGUACCACACUUUUUCUUUUCAAGCACCCGCCUUCUGGAGAGGAUCCCGUUUCCCUAUCCGAACCUACUUUACGUCAUAUCCGAUCCUAAAUGGCAUGCGAGGCAUUACCUUGAGGCUAUGCAUUGUAUAUGCCCUAAGCUACUAUCUUUUGGACAGAUUUGUCCACGAUGGCUCGUCUCUAACGUGAAACCCAUGAAGCAGCUAUCCAGGCUGGCGCAUUGGCCAUGCCCUAACUAUCCACGCCAGUUAAUACGUGUAUUACGUAGCUAGCUUUAAGUAAGUCUACCAUUGCUCCGAGUAGGAGUAUGUACAUGGAGUUGACCACUUGCCUAGCUGACGGACGGAGCGGGAUAGAUCAUCAAGCGACGAGAUGGCCGUUCCGGCGGGCGUUGGACUGGAUCCGUCGACCGGCCGAUCGACGAGGCCGCCGUCCCGCGCGAACUGGUCCGUCCGGUGAUGCGGUGGACCCGUCAUUAUUUUAUAGAGCUCAAGGCUGGUCGGGUUUGAAUACUACGGGCAAGUUUAACGGAAAGUACUUACAGACAUGAGGUGGAAAUAUACCUGGCCAUGGGAAGCCCGGCCCGGCCAGCCCAAAAAAGCCCGACCCGGCCCGGCCCGACGCUGCCCCCGGGCCGGGCUCGGUCCUAGAUUUUGAGCCCAAAGGCCGGGCCGGGCCGGGCCUGGGCCCGUCGUUUUGCAUUUCUCUGAAGGUCGGGCCGGGCCGGCCCGGAGCCCGACGGGCUUUUACGUGUUUGGGCCGGGCUCGGGCCCAGAAAACAGGCCCGAUGGCCGGGCCGGGCCGGGCUCGGGCCUGGUUUUUUUUUCGUCGGGCUUGGCUAGGUCAGGCCCGAGGUAUGGCCAGGUAUAGGUGGAAACCAAGGAUUCAACACGAUUUGGGCCCCACAACUAAAUUCACGGGGAAAGAAUCACUCAGAUUAAGGCGUUAAGUAUCAAACCUGUUAAUACGUAAGGCGAGUAAUGAGGGGGCGGCUGAAGUAUCAAACCUGUUGACUACUUACUGCAACGCUUCGGGUCAGAGGGUGAACAAUGAGAAAUCGUCCAUCGUUUACAGUAAGGGAUGUCCUCAGUCUGUUCGUGAAGGUAUAAAGAAUUCCGUUAAUGUGCACAAUGAACAACUCAAUGAGAGGUACUUGGGCAUGCCGACAGAUGUAGGUCAUUCAAGGAAUGGUACUUUUAAAUACUUGAGAGACAGAGUUUGGGAAAAGAUCAAAGGAUGGAUGGAAAAGUUAUUGUCAUAUGCAGGGAUGGAAGAUUUGAUAAAAGCGGUUGCUCAAGCAAUCCCAGUUUAUUCUAUGGCAUGCUUCAAAUUACCACGUGGCAUUUGUGAGAGCGUGACAUCUAUGAUUCGACAAUUCUGAUGGGGUAGUAAAAGGGGUAAGAGAAAGCCUUGUUGGGUCUCUUGGGACAUAUGUACUAGACCCAAAUCUUCGGGAGGGCUCGGCUUUCGGGAUAUAGAGAUUUUCAACUUGUCCCUCCUUGCCAGACAAGCAUGGAGGUUGAUUGAAGGUCCAGCCAUCUUGAGUGCAAGGAUAUUAAAGGCAAUAUACUACCCAUCAGUUUCACUUCUUGAGGCUGAACUGGGAGCCCAUCCAUCGCAGAUUUGGAGCGCGAUAUUGGAUGGCCGUGAUGUGGUUUCCAAGGGCAUUAUCAGAAGAAUUGGAACAGGAGAGAGUACUAGUAUCUAGAAACAUAAUUGGCUUCCGCGUUCGGGACUAAUGAGGCCAAUCACGUCACUAGUAUCCCAGCCGCCUGUUAGAAUAAAUCCGAGGCAUACCGUCGAUCAUCCGAGUCCCAAGCAAUCACACGAGCACGACACCGAGAUUUGUUAACGAUGUUCACCGAUAUGGCUACAUCCCCGGGGCUUGACUAUAUAUGGGCGCUCCUCCCCAUGACACCGCUACAAUACCGCACCGGGUCGCCCUGGACACCGGCACAUGCCGCCGGCUUCCCCUGCGUUCCGAUGCUAUUAUGUUGGCAUAGGUUACAUCGUGUGUCUACCCUCGCUAUAUAUGAGAGGCCUAGGAUACAAGUGUCCUACUAGAACACGACUCCAUAUCCUAUGUAAACACAAUACUACUCAGAGUCCAACUGUAACUUACCGUGUACACAAUAUUCGACACAACUCCAACAAACUCCACCUUGGCGAAUAUUGUCCACCACCUUGAAUUUGUCCAUGUGUCAAACUUCCAUGUACAUUGGACUUGAGCUUAUCCCAUGAGUACCGUUGCUACUCCAAAGACUCCAUAUGACUCCACCUGCAACUUGUAGUCCCUCCUUUUCUUGACCACGGUUAACACUCGAGCAAAAUUAACUUCCACAUUACUCUAGUUUGCGCUCCCAACUUCCAGAGUAUCAGUCCAACGCCAUCACACACCAAUCAUUGACCUGCGUGAAAGUGAACAACUCACAUAUUGGGUGUCACACAUAAGAGUUAACUGAACUCAACAUCGCCGCUCCUUUCUUCAUCGCCUGUCUGAAACUUGAAGGAAUUUCACCGUUGCUUGUUGUCAUCCCGAGUCAAAUUCGCAGUUGUCUCAUCACAUGUAUGACCACCAGAGCCCUGGCCUGUCUCCUUGCCCGUGCGUACCGCACCGCACGCCUCGCCGCUAUUACUACGUCGAGCCUCCGCUGUCCUGGUCGAGUCUCAAGGGUCGCGAACCCACACCACUCAACCUCCACUGCAGAGUACCAUCGAUCAUCACCGACCGAUGAUGAGUUUGACGCUUUCAUCAGACCACUGGGCUCCAGUCUGAAUUACGCGUCCCUCGCUUUUUCCCACUGAAUAGGCUUCGACUCUCUGUGCACUUACGCCGUAACCCCUCAAUCAGCACUGAGUGAAGUCCUCCAGACUCCAGCUCCACCUUCAACAUGAAUCCAUGGUAGAUGAUCAAUCCACCAUCGUGCCCCGUCGACUUCAACCUCCGUGUGUACAUCACCUUGAAUCAACCCCGCGCCAUAGUCUUGUCGAAGCCACACAAGCCUCGGGCUUGUGACACAUGUUUUCACGCCCAGAAGUCAGUCACCAUCAGCAUCACGCUCAUACGUCGUCGUCGUCGAUCCCACCACCGUCUUCUGUACCAACCGACUCACGUCGAUCCCGUCAGACUGCCUAGUCCGACCCAGCCAAACUUUCCUGACUACAACCAUCUGCAACUCCUCACAAACAUCAUCAUCCAUCUUAACUGGCUUGACAUCCCGCAACGCCUUCAAGCAUCCUUGUUGUGCCAAUAAAUCUUUCACCUUAUCUGUCAUAAUCCAAGGUUUUCUGUUCUGUCGAACUUCACACCUCAAACCUGAUACCCCUUUAUGCCAGAUUCUUUGUAUGAUUGACCUGUGAAAAAAUAACACAAAGCAAACAUACGUGCUCGCAUCCCAGUACUAGUAGCAAUUUCACGUGGUGUAGCUCCUGGCUCAAUCUGGAUGCUAGCUUGCUUUUUCCAAUGCCCUUUGCUCCGAUGUAUACUACUAGUAUCGCCCAUGGGCUUGCUUCUGUCCGGUAGGAAAAUAACUGAUGUUGCACGUCUGCGGCUCAUACACGAAGAGAACACAUCUCCUCCCGGGACUCGGUCCCUUUUUUCCAAAACAAAUCCUUCGAUACGAUCGCUUCCAGCAGCCUGCCUGUUGCCGCUCACCUGACCUACUCGGCCGCACGACCCAUCCUGGACCUGGCUACGGUUGCCGACGACUAUGAUCUCGAGCGCCACGCGCCCGACUUGGCCACCUGCCUCCGCUAGCCCGUCUAGGCCGCCGCACCACGUACCCGCCUUGCGCUUUCCGCGGCACAGCCCCGCUUUAGACCGAUCUGAUGCCUGACUCAUUUGAUCGCUCCCAUGAAGAUUACAACGACCAACUUCUGCUUUCAGGUUGCAACUCGCCGACGACUUCAUCCCGUAUUACGACCUCUUCCCGCAGAUUUUUAUCGUUUGUUUUCUUCCUCCUCUAGAUCAACUCUCGCCGCCUUCGAACAACCUAGCUCAUGAUACCACUUAUUAGAAUAAAUCCGAGGCAACCGUCGAUCAUUCGAGUCUCAAGCAAUCACACGAGCACGACACCGAGAUUUGUUAACGAGGUUCACCGAUAUGGCUACAUCUCCCGGGCUUGACUAUGGGCGCUCCUUCCCAUGACACCGCUACAAUACCGCACCCGGUUGUUGAGUAUAUUGUGUACGUGUAUAUUUGUGUGUAGGGUCCACCUCCUGUUUCCUUUGUAUAGUUGAGGUUGUGGCCCACCUUUGUACUUAUAUAUACGUGUCUGGUGCACUGAUCAAUACAUCAAGAUUGCACAGCCUAUAUCUUGUCCUUCUACAUGAUAUCUAUCGCAGCACGAUCCUAACCCUAAACGCCGCCGCCGCCGCGCCUCCGCGCCGCCGCCGCCGCUCCUCCACGCCGCCGUCACCCGCCGCCGCUCCUCCACGCCGCNNNNNNNNNNNNNNNNNNNNNNNNNNNNNNNNNNNNNNNNNNNNNNNNNNNNNNNNNNNNNNNNNNNNNNNNNNNNNNNNNNNNNNNNNNNNNNNNNNNNNNNNNNNNNNNNNNNNNNNNNNNNNNNNNNNNNNNNNNNNNNNNNNNNNNNNNNNNNNNNNNNNNNNNNNNNNNNNNNNNNNNNNNNNNNNNNNNNNNNNNNNNNNNNNNNNNNNNNNNNNNNNNNNNNNNNNNNNNNNNNNNNNNNNNNNNNNNNNNNNNNNNNNNNNNNNNNNNNNNNNNNNNNNNNNNNNNNNNNNNNNNNNNNNNNNNNNNNNNNNNNNNNNNNNNNNNNNNNNNNNNNNNNNNNNNNNNNNNNNNNNNNNNNNNNNNNNNNNNNNNNNNNNNNNNNNNNNNNNNNNNNNNNNNNNNNNNNNNNNNNNNNNNNNNNNNNNNNNNNNNNNNNNNNNNNNNNNNNNNNNNNNNNNNNNNNNNNNNNNNNNNNNNNNNNNNNNNNNNNNNNNNNNNNNNNNNNNNNNNNNNNNNNNNNNNNNNNNNNNNNNNNNNNNNNNNNNNNNNNNNNNNNNNNNNNNNNCCCUCCCCUCCCCUUCCAACCGCGCCGCCAGCCUCCCCUUCGUCCUCCCACCCGCACCGCACCCGCCCCCGUCUUCCACCACCCGCGCCGAACCAGCCAUGAGCUCCUCCUCGUCCAUCGUUUCUAACCCGUUUGCCGGUCCCGAUGUCACCCUCGUCCGCGACCUCAACAUCCAUGAGCGUGUUCCGGUAAAGCUUGAUCACACCACCGCCUCCUACUCCGCUUGGAAGCGGUAUUUUUCGCUUGUGUUCCGUGAGUACCUCCUGCACGGCCACGUGGACGGCACCGUGGACUCGGCGCUCAUGAUCAACGACGAAGAGUGGAUGAUCCUCGACGCCACCAUCAUCCGCUGGUUCUACCUCACCAUCUCCAGCGACCUCUUCCACACCGUGGUGAACGACGAGACGACGCCUAUGCGGUCUGGACCAAGCUCAACGGCCUCUUCACCGACAAUCGGCUGCAGCGCAAGGUCCUCCUCUAUGGUGAGUUUUACGGGUGCCAGCAACUUGACUCAUCCAUCGAUGAUUUUUGCAUGCGCCUCAAGAAGCUCGCCGAUGAGCUCCGUGAUCUCGGGGAAAAGAUCGACGACGAGCUCCUCAUCAGCACCCUCUCCGGCGGCCUCAACGAGGACUUCGGGAACGCCGCCUCCAACCUCACCCUCAUCCCGGAGCCCACCUUCGCCAAGAUGGUCGCGUACCUCAAGCUGGAGGAGCGUCGGAUGCGGGUGGCGCGGACUCGCGCGACCCACACCGCCCUCGUCGCAGGCACCCGCGGGGGUUCGGCCCCGCCACCGCCUCGCCCGACGCCGCCCCAGCCGGCGGCGCCCGCCUUCCCGCCCGGAUUCCCGCNNNNNNNNNNNNNNNNNNNNNNNNNNNNNNNNNNNNNNNNNNNNNNNNNNNNNNNNNNNNNNNNNNNNNNNNNNNNNNNNNNNNNNNNNNNNNNNNNNNNNNNNNNNNNNNNNNNNNNNNNNNNNNNNNNNNNNNNNNNNNNNNNNNNNNNNNNNNNNNNNNNNNNNNNNNNNNNNNNNNNNNNNNNNNNNNNNNNNNNNNNNNNNNNNNNNNNNNNNNNNNNNNNNNNNNNNNNNNNNNNNNNNNNNNNNNNNNNNNNNNNNNNNNNNNNNNNNNNNNNNNNNNNNNNNNNNNNNNNNNNNNNNNNNNNNNNNNNNNNNNNNNNNNNNNNNNNNNNNNNNNNNNNNNNNNNNNNNNNNNNNNNNNNNNNNNNNNNNNNNNNNNNNNNNNNNNNNNNNNNNNNNNNNNNNNNNNNNNNNNNNNNNNNNNNNNNNNNNNNNNNNNNNNNNNNNNNNNNNNNNNNNNNNNNNNNNNNNNNNNNNNNNNNNNNNNNNNNNNNNNNNNNNNNNNNNNNNNNNNNNNNNNNNNNNNNNNNNNNNNNNNNNNNNNNNNNUGCUCAGGGAGGAGCACCCUGUCCGCAGCAGCAGGCACCUCAGCCGGCCCCAUGGUACGCCGACCAGAACCCAUGGACCAACGUUGUCCACGCCUACUCCAUGUUGGUUCCUCGGGCCCCUGCUCCGGGCCUUCUCGACACUCGGCCUCCGUCACACCAGGCGUACUAUGCCGCGCCGCAGCCCUAUGCGGCGCCCUAAGGUCAGCAGCCGCCGCCAGGUGGGCCGCCGCUGCUGUCCCUGACGGCUGCGCCGCCUCUCCCGCCAGCACUGUGGGACCCGGCCCUUCUGGCGGCUCUCCACAAUGCUCCUUCCCCGUCCAGCUACAUCGGCGACGUCGAUUGGUAUAUGGACAGUGGCGCCACCGCUCACAUGGCGGCGUACCCCGGUAACCUCCACACCGCCCAUCCUGUCCACACCUCCAACCGCAUCACCGUCGGUGACGGUUCUUCUCUUCCCAUCACCCAUAUUGGACAUACAUUUUUUCCGUCUAACUCCACUCCUAUAUCCAUGUCUAAUAUUCUCGUUUCUCCUGAACUUAUUAAAAAUCUUGUUUCUGUUCGUUCUCUUACACGUGAAAAUCCUGUUACUGUUGAAUUUGACGAAUGUGGUUUUUCUGUUAAGGACGCUUGCACGCGGAUGAUGCUCCACUGAUGUGACAACCCCGACGAGCUCUACCCGGUUCACUCCGCCACCUCCACUACUUCCGCCGCCCCUGUCGCUCUCGCCACCGGAGUGGAUCUUUGGCACACUCGCUUGGGUCAUCCUAAUCCUGCCACACUUCGCCACAUACUUUGGAGUUUUUCUUUCACGUGUAAUAAGAACGAGGAUCACUCGUGUCAUGCAUGUCGCCUCGGCAAACAUGCUCGUCUUCCGUUUAGGCCUUCUUCCUUUGUUGCAUUGUACCCGUUUGAGUUAAUUCAUAGUGAUGUUUGGACAUCUUCUGUUGCAAGUAAUACGGACUUUCUUUAUUAUCUUGUCAUUCUUGAUGAUUUUUCGCAUUAUGUGUGGACCUUCCUGUUAUGCUGCAAGUCGGAUGUUAUAUCCACUCUCGCCGCUUUCUAUUCUUAUGUUCUCACGCAGUUUGGAUGACUCAUUCUUGCGUUGCAGACAGACAACGGGAAGGAGUUUGACAACAUCGAUGUUCGUAAUGUUCUCGCCACACAUGGCACGAUUUUUCGUCUCACUUGCCCGUACACCUCGCAGCAGAACGGUCGUGCUGAGCGCAUCCUUCGCAUUCUAAAUGACUGCGUUAGGACUCUUCUCUUUCAUGCCAAUGUGCCUCCGCGCUUUUGGCCUGACGCUCUAGCCACCACUUCUCUCCUAAUCAACAUCCGUCCAUGUCGCACUCGCGGGAACUUUACACCUCACCAUCUUCUCUUCGGUGCACCUCCUUCUUAUGAAGGGCUUCGCAUCUUCGGCUGCCUUUGCUAUCCUAGCAUCGCCGCCACUGCGCCUCAUAAGCUUGCACCCCGCUGUGUUGCCUGCAUCUUUCUCGGCUACCCACCUAACACUAAGGGCUACCGCUUCUAUGAUCCCGUCUCCCAUCGUGUUUUCACCUCCCGACACGUUUACUUUGAUGAGAUGGAGUUUCCGUUUCAGCAGCAGGUACCCCUUGUCAUCUCGUCGCUGCCGGCCACCGGCGGCCCUUCGACGACCUCGUCAGGUGGAUGAUCCCGCCUGGCCCGUGGACCGCCUCCGGGCAUUGGCGGUCCCCGCGCCCUCUUGCCGGCGCCCGCCCACUCGGCCUCCUCGGCCGGCUCCGACGGCGCAGCCGGCGCCCCGCCUUCACCCGCCGCCCCCGACUUGGGCGCCGCGGGAUCGGGCCCUGCAGGCUCGGCCGCCUCCUCCGCGGACUCGACGCCUACCUCCUCGCCNNNNNNNNNNNNNNNNNNNNNNNNNNNNNNNNNNNNNNNNNNNNNNNNNNNNNNNNNNNNNNNNNNNNNNNNNNNNNNNNNNNNNNNNNNNNNNNNNNNNNNNNNNNNNNNNNNNNNNNNNNNNNNNNNNNNNNNNNNNNNNNNNNNNNNNNNNNNNNNNNNNNNNNNNNNNNNNNNNNNNNNNNNNNNNNNNNNNNNNNNNNNNNNNNNNNNNNNNNNNNNNNNNNNNNNNNNNNNNNNNNNNNNNNNNNNNNNNNNNNNNNNNNNNNNNNNNNNNNNNNNNNNNNNNNNNNNNNNNNNNNNNNNNNNNNNNNNNNNNNNNNNNNNNNNNNNNNNNNNNNNNNNNNNNNNNNNNNNNNNNNNNNNNNNNNNNNNNNNNNNNNNNNNNNNNNNNNNNNNNNNNNNNNNNNNNNNNNNNNNNNNNNNNNNNNNNNNNNNNNNNNNNNNNNNNNNNNNNNNNNNNNNNNNNNNNNNNNNNNNNNNNNNNNNNNNNNNNNNNNNNNNNNNNNNNNNNNNNNNNNNNNNNNNNNNNNNNNNNNNNNNNNNNNNNNNNNNNNNNNNNNNNNNNNNNNNNNNNNNNNNNNGCCCUGACGCCGCCCCCCUCGCCAGCUCCGACGCCGGCCCCGACGCCGGCCGUCUCGCCGGUGGCUCCGGCGGCGCCGCCCGGCCCAGUCACCCGCGCUCGCACCGCCGUUCAUCGUCCGAGCCUCCGGUACUCGCGCGACGAGUACGUCCUCGCCGCCUCCGCCGCGGAGCCGUCGCCCAUUCCUGCGUCCGCUCGUGCCGCCCUACGUGAUCCUCACUGGCUUGCGGCGAUGCAGGAAGAGUUCGAUGCUCUUUAACGGAACCGCACCUGGACCCUGGUUCCCCGGCCUCCUCGCGCCAACGUCAUCACCGGGAAGUGGGUCUUUCGCCAUAAGACCCGCUCAGACGGUACACUCAAGCGCUACAAGGCUCGCUGGGUGGUCCACGGUUUCCGCCAGCGCGCUGGAGUGGACUUCACUGAGACGUUUGCCCCGGUUGUCAAACCGGGCACGAUCCGCACCAUCCUCCAGCUCGCCGUCUCCCGCGGCUGGCCCGUUCACCAGAUGGAUGUCUCCAACGCCUUUCUCCACGGCCAUCUUGAGGAGCAGGUGUAUUGUGAGCAACCCACCGGCUUCGUCGACGCCUCACUUCCCGGCCAUGUGUGUCUGCUGUCCCGCUCUCUUUACGGGCUCAAGCAGGCACCCCGAGCCUGGUACCAGCGGAUCGCCGGGUUUCUUCAGACACUGGGCUUCAGCGUUACUCGCUCGGACGCCUCACUGUUCGUCUAUCGCCACGGUGACACGACUGCAUACUUGCUGCUUUACGUCGACGACAU
rnacentral:lncRNA from 1 species